GGUCAGCCUGUGCAAGAGAUGUAACUAGUACAUACAUGCAUUUAAUGUUCCAUAAUGAGUGCAUAGUUACAAGUCACUCAAGUUGGAUGGGAUGACACUAUUUGAAUGGAGUCUUCUAUCACCUUACCAUUUGGGACUAUGAUUAUGUGCAGUGAAUGUGAAGUUAUUAUGUGGUAGGUGCAUCAUAAAUAUUGGUAAUAGGUUAUUAGUAGUUAUUAAUGAUCCAUAGUGGUACAAUCAAAUCAAAUUCUACAACAUUUUUCCAUUUUUUUUUUCUCUUGGACAUAAAAUGACCAAAUUCGGGAUGAGUUGCUGUAUACAAGGUUUAAAAUAUCGGUAAAUACCAUAUAUCAAUACUUAGAUUUUACAGAUAUAUCGAAAAUAUCGGUGGAUAAUUUGAUAAAAAUAUUGAUGAGACAAAAAUUAUUCAAAAUUCACGAGAAAACUUGAAAAAACUCCAAAAAAUGAUAAAAUAAGUAAGAAUAUAUAUAUAUAUAUAUAUAUUAAAGUUAUUUUGUAAGUGUAAUUGAUAUAGGUAUGAUUAAAGAUAAUAUUUAUGAAUUUUUUUAUAAAAAAAUUAGCAUAAAUUCUAUUAAUAUAUUUAAGAGAUUUAUUUUAAAAUUUUAAAAAUACUUUUAUUAAAACAUAUUUUAUUAAAUUUUCAAUAAAAAAUUAAAUUGAUUUAUAUAAAAUAUUUUAUUUGAGAUUUGAUUUCUAAAAAUUUAUUAUAAAUAUCUGGUGUCAAUUUUUCUAUUAACAUUAAUUUAUUUAAAUAAUUAAAAUUAUUAUUAUCUUAUCAAAUUAAUUUUAAGUUAUAAAAUAUUAGGACUUCAUUAAUUUUUUUUAUAUUGUAGCAAUUUUUGAGUAAAACUAUAUUUUUAAUAUUUAAAAAUAAAAACAUUUAAAAUUAAAUAAAAGUAAAUGGAUAAAUAAAAUAAAUUAAUAAUGAAGUGAUAGUAAUUUUUUUAAAAUAGCAUUAUUGAGAUAAAUAUAAAAAGUAGUUAAAAAUAAAAAUAUAAUUUAAAAUAAAAUGAUAAUAUAGAUUUAAAAUAAAAAAUAAAUUAAAAAUGAAUAAUAAUUUUUUUUAAAUGAUAAAUGUUAAAAAAAACUUUCAAAAAAUCUUUGAUUUUAAAUCAACAAGGAUUCAUUUCCAUCCAAAACCCACAUGGAUUGUAGAAGUGGAAAUCGUAGUACUAAGCUCCUUCUAAAGAGGUUCCUAUGAACACUAUACACUAUUCAUUCUCAAAUCUCAAUUUAUAAUGGCAUAGUACCAUGCUACCCAAAACCCAUUUCCAAAAGCUAACAUUGUUAAAUGCAACGAAAAAGGUAAAAAAUGACUACAUUUACACCUAGAAAAUGACACCACAACAAAUUAAUGAUGACACCCAUCCAUAAUAAUUAAAAAAUGCAGCCAAGAGAAAGUACGUACUAAGAAAUUCCUAUUCAAAAGAUUCUUCUUUAAUGGUUCGGCUCAUGGGUAGAGAGAGAUAGAGAGACAAAGAUACAGAGUGAGAGAUGUGAUUGCAAGAAAAAAUGAGGUAUGAUGUAAUAAAAAGACUGGGAAGAAGGGAAAGUAGGAAGAGGGUAGCAACUACUAGGAAAAGGCAAUUGAUGAGUAUGCAAACAAGUUGGAAAAUGCAUUCAAUUUUGUUUGCCACUUAUUUAAUUUAUUUGACUGCCAUAAUUUAAAUUUGGAGACAAAAUUGAUUUUCAAAAGAUUUUCUUAGGCAAUCCGUUUCUUCUAUAAAUUCAGCUCAUAUAAAUGUUUUUUUUCUUAAAACAACUACUUUUAUGUUCCAAAUGUAAUUAAAAUUUGAUCCAAGAAUCAUAAUUAUUUAACACACAAAAAAAAAAAAAAAAUCAAAGUCCAUGAAGUAUUCUCAACCACUUAAAAAUUAUGAAAUCUGAUCAGAUUUAAGUGCAUAUAACAAAUGUGGGAGGAAAAAAACAAGAUUAGUAAUAAGGAAAAUAAAAAAAAAAUACAGUUGAACGUACAUGUUAUGACAAAUGUUGAAACAAACAUUACUGAAGCAUGGUAGAACCCUUCGAAAGCCCUCACUAGACCAUCCAUGCCAGGAAUAAAAUCCAUUAUACACCCAAUCCUACUAAAAGGCCGUGCUUUACCCCCUUGGAUGUAAAAAUGAAACAAAAAUUCAAUUCAAGCUGAUACACAUGCAUGGUAAGAAACAUCCACAUUGAUGGAAAAGUUCAGUCACCAUAAAUCAACCUUUAAAUCAAUUGCUUGGCACAAACAUAAGACCACUUUUGCUUCUCAAUUGGACAAAAAGUGCAGGGGAAGAAAUAUUAUUUAAGGACAUAUUCAGUGGGAUCCUAAUAUCAUAUGAUAAUAUACAAAUGUAAUUCAUUUGAACAAUAACACAAGAAGAAACAAAUAACAAAAAGCAUAUGAUAGCUUCAAAAACAGUUUCUAUUUCUCAUUCUGCAAAUAGAAAUAAUAAAGCAAUGGAAUGUCCACGAUGAUCAAGACCAAAGAAAAAACCCUUUGUAGUGGAGGUAAAUACUUGUACCCAUUACUCUAAAUCUAUUAAUCAAAGAAGAAAAACAUUUAAAUGCAAGCUAAUCAGAAAGAAAAACAUUUGAUAAAGAGCCUUCCGAUUUUUCAUACCUGAUUAUCAAAUGAUAGUAACUAUCUUCACUAAGGUGAUUAUGAAAAUCUUGGAAGCACUUUUUGAUUGUAAUAGACCAUAGAUGUUCGAGUCUGAACCACUUGUUGAAGAGCCUCAAUCACAAUUGGACUCGCUGUAAAUGAUGCAUCUAUUUACUAAUGAAGCUGAAACGACUAAGAUAACUGUCUUGUAGGGUGCCUAUAUGUAUUAUCCAUUGGUCUUCCAGUACAAAAGAUUGAGAGGGUUUUAAAUAUUGUCAAUUUAGCUUUUCAAAUAAGUCUUGUAUGGAAAUUUCAAUUACAAAGAAUGAGUACAACACAACUAUACUCCUAAUAAACACUAAUUUAUGGAAGCAUAAAGAAAUAGUCAAUAAUAACCUGAAAAAAUAAAUAUGUCAUUUACUAUAGUUUUAUAUAUAUAGGGAGGGGAUAUCGGUUAACUUGGUAGUAAAAUGAACCAUGCAUGCACUGGAAGUAGAGGUAUUGAUAACUUAUCCCUUCUAUUGUGUCAUAAAGAAGGCAUAACAUAGCCUCAAAUUCUAUUAUUCACUAUUGAUGACCAAGUAAGAGUUUAAAUUAGAAUGUAUAGUUUAAGAAUUGAAUGAAAUAUAACAAAAUAAUUGAAUUGUGAAGGUUACCCAUUACUAUUAUGCAUUGUUGGUUGACCAAAUAUUAGAUGCAACCAUUUCACCAAAUUCAUUUUCGCUAUAAAAAACCAUUUGAAUUGCAAAUUUCAAUCUUUCAAGGCUCUUGCGUUUCUACACAUUAAACUUAUGUUAGGUCCUACAUCCCGGUAACGUUUAACAUGUAGAUUUGAAAAUAGAAUCAUAAUAUCAUAUUUAACAACUUAUAGAAUUAAUGGCUCUAUUAAGACCACUUCCAUCCCAAUGUUGCAUAUAGAGAAUAACAUACAUCCCAGUAUGACAUAUGCAAUAACAAGUAUACUUUGUGACAUGUUAUAAACGUAGGACCCAAUUAAGAUUGAAAAUAAAUACAUGAAUAAAAAAAACAAAUUUAAUGGACAAUUUUGGAUCUCCUACGAUAUCUGUAUACUGUGGAUGUAAAUUCUUUAUAUUCACAUCAUUCCAUUUGUAGGGAUUUUUUAAUAACUGCAACAUAAAUCCAACAAUUUUGGAAGCUUCAUUAAUAAAGUGAAUUAGUUGCAGGUUAUGAUAUGAUGAAAGUAGAUCCACCAUUUUAGCUUCCAAAUUGAUGACCAUAAUCACCUAUUCAUUAAAUUGGAAUAAGGGGAUAUAAAACUACAAAACACACAAUCAUCAUAACUACAAUGAAGGCUUAAAUAUUUGAAGUAUAAAUUUGAAAUUACAAAAAGUUGUCAUCAAUCUAUGUAAUCAAUACAAUAGCCAAGCAUUACUUGGUUGUAGUGUUCAAGAUCAACACAAUAGCCACCUAAUACUUUCUUUAGUGUUGGUUUUGAGGUUGACUUGCUCACUGAACCACAUAUUUCUUGUAAAAAGUAUUUGAGAUCAUAGUAACAAUGUAGGACUUAAACUAUACAUGCAUCUUAUAUUAGGGACAAUAUUUGGUGUACUAGGGAAAAAAAUCUCAUCCCAAAGUAUGGAGAAAAAAAGUGUCUACGACAAGGAUUCUCUUUUUUUGCAUUCAUAUAUCGACAAAACAUGGAAAUCACCUACAUAAUGCCUCUUCAUUAGUUAAAAUGAUCAAUGGAAAAAUGAGGUUAUUUUUUCUCAUUUAUCAUAAACCUUAUCGAAAUAUCAAUGAAUCUCUCCCCUACUAAGCAUUGAAGUUGUUCCCAUGUCACGCCAUAGCCAUCGUAUGCACAAAGCACCUCACUAUUAAUUACAUGAAACACAAGACGUGAGUAAUUUUUUUUAGAAAAAUCCAUAAUCAUAGUAUUCUAAGAAUAAUACUUGCUAAACUUGUGAUUUGGGACUAACCUAGGAUUUUUUGACUCAUCAAACACAUAGUUAGCAACAUGUGUCUCUUCCUCAUUCAACCUUUUGUAUUUUGAUACAUAUAAUUGUACAAAAGGUGACUUUCAUGCAACUGCUCAUUGCCUAUGACGACGUGCUUUAAUUUUUACUCUUCGUGGUCUUAUUUCUUCUGAGGUUUGUGGUGCUACAUCCGCAUUGUUGUCCAUGCAUGAUUGCACUAACACCAACAUAUUGUGUGGCCUGGGGUGAAGGUGAUCCUCGUUUACAAAGAAGACACCCUCUUCUAUGUUGAGUCUUUUUGACACCCCUUCAUUUGUACAUAUAAAGCCAUCUUCAAAAGAUGUUCUUUGACCACCAAAAUGAACAGGUGAAUGUUGUGCAUUAUUUGUAUCAAAAGGUGCACCACUUUCAUUCACAUGUUCAUGAGAACUCGACGGCUGGUCUUCAUCUGUACGAUAGUGUGAAGAGGUAAAAUGAGUCCUCAACACAUUCAUGUCAUGAUUGUAUGAUCCAAUAAGACUAUUAAAAUGACUUUGUGCAUCAGUGAUUUGACGUCACAUUGCCUCCAUGCGAGUAAAAAUAACCUAAGUAAAACAUAAUGAAGGAACAUUAAAUUACAUAUAUUUAAACUGAGACUUAAUAUAAGCUACUAUUCAUAAUCAUUAGGUAUGAAGGAUUACAUCAAAGUCUUCAGUCUCAUCUGGGUCAACUCGGUCAUCAACUGCAAGAGCCUCAUUUCUUUUUGUUUGAUCUUGCUCCGCCGAUGUGCUAACCAAUUAUCAUUGCAAAACAUGUAAAUUGUCAUCCCAAUAAUCCAAUUACAAUGUUCGUUAACUAUCUUAAUAUAACUAACAACUAGUUAUACCUCAACUUUGCCAAAUCCUCCAAGCAUUUCCAACUCCAACUUUAUGCGUUGCUUCACCAAAAAAUUGUUCCAUGCAGUAAUGCGAGGAGUGGUAAGUUCCACAUACAUGACUGGAAAAUUAGAUAUUGAAAAGUAGAAUAUUUGUUGCAUUAUAUAAGACAUAAUUAGUGGUAACAUCAUGGCCAACAUAGUGUAUAACCAUUAUUAAAUAUCAAAUACUUGAACAUAUACUUAUAAAUAAGACAAAUAGUUACUUGUAGAAACAUCAAACACCCUUUAAUCCAAACACUUUCCUUCCUCCUAUGUUCAUGUAUAGCUUGAAUAAAAAAUUCUAAUACAAAUUCUCCCCAAUUUAUGUUCCCAAGUAACUGCUCUCGAGGUGUAUACCAUAAUGCGUGACUACUUUCCAAAUGAGAUGUGGGUGCUAACAAGGUUGCACAUGUGAAAAUCAAGAAGACCCGCUUAAAUUCCUUAAGAUCAUCAAUGUCAACCAUCAAUGACUCUAUAUCCUUCAAAAUCGACAUUGGACUAGCUUUAAUAGUUUCCUUGUCAACAAUUAACAUCCUUCCACUAUGUGGAAUGCCCAUCGUGAUCCCAACAUCAUGCCAUGUCAAAGGGACCUUCUUACCCCCAAAGAACUCGAGUUGGGAAUAAGCAAUGUUUGUGUUUUUUAUCAACAAAAAACAUAAAUCUAAAUUCACCUCCUUACAACCUAAUUGCAAUAGCCCACCAACACCAAAUUCUCUUAUUAAAUCAUUCUUCACUUCUGAGAGCAAAUGUAUUCCAGAGAAGAAUCUACGGCCAGAACAAUGACACCGUCUGUUCAUAUUAUCACUGCAUUAAACAACCAUAAUUCAUUAAUAAAUGAAUCAACUGUUAAAGACAUGUGAAUGUGAAUAUAGUGUUCCUAUAUAUAUUCAUCAUAAUUAUUACACAAAUAUAACAUAUAUUAACAAAGAAGUGGGAAACAUUUUGUUACAUUAUGUAAAUGAAAAUCAUUAAAAUAGGUUUCCCCCAGCCUCUCAAUAAUAUUGUUAUCAAUAAGGGUCAACUUGUUAUAUAUAGGGCCACCCGCUAUGAUACCCACUGCCCAAAUAAAAACACACAAUGUGCAUUUCAGUGGGUCAGCUAAUUAAACAAAUGGUAUGCCUUAAAUUUACGUACUCAUCAAACCAAAUCAAUAUAGUUUACAUUAUUACAAUUUAGAAAUAACAGUUGAAAGUAAAAACUAAUGAUUAUUAAAGUGGAAUCCAAAUCAAUAUAGACAUUAUUUUUAUUCAUUAUUUAUAAUUAUAAAGUGUCUUGGAUAUAAAUUCUUAAAUUUAUUUUUAAAAUUAUAAGUAGUACUAAAUUUUGUAUAGCAUUGAAAAUGUUAUAAAUAUAUAACAAUUCAUGUAAAUUUUGAUUUUUUUAAAAAUAAAAAUAAAAAUAUAAUGUUUUUUUAUAUUGAUAAAUGAAAGUCAUAUCAUUUUAAAUGUUUAAAACAAUUUUUAAGAACAAAGUCUGUGAAAUGGGAACAACUUAAAAGGUCAAUUCUCAAUUUAGACCAAAGAACAAAAGGCCAGUUAUGAAUUUAGAAGAAAAUAAAAAUAGAUUAUGUAGGAGGAUAGGGCGACCUCAAUGGUAUGAGAGCUUAUAAGCUUGUUGUCUUAUUAGGAGCUCAAAUAUAGAAAUUAAAGACCAUAUUUUGGUUCAUGUUAUGGGAUGUUGUACAAAGCAACCAAAAAAAUCAUUGCGGUAUGAGAACCAUUUUUCCACACAAGAAUGAUAAAAACCAAUGAAGAAAAAAUGAAAUCACUAUAUAAAAUUUUAAUUUCUUUUAAAAUUAAUAAUUUAUGUAUGAUUUAAUUAUUGUACCUAAACUUGUUACCAUGGUAUGAAUUAUGUGUGUAUCACCAAAAUGAGAUAAUGUUUUAAAUUAUAUUUAAAACUUGAAUCCUUAAUUAAUAUAUACAUAUAGUCCAUUACUUUUAAGUUGCUAAUCAAUAACUGAGAGCUCUAUCCACCAACUUGAAAAGCAUAUUAUUGUGCCCCUAAUAUGACUCAAAUCCAUAUUUAUUGGUUAUUAUAUUAAUAUUUAGAUCAACUUUUAAUAAUUUCAUAUUAAAAUCAAUUAGUAUUCACUGAGAAUAAGUUGAAUCUCUUAUGAUAUUUAAAAUCACAUUUUAUAGUUUUGUUUCAAGAAUAUGACUCUUAUUUGUAAUACUAAUAUUUGGAUCGAGUUUGAAUCAUUUCAUCUUAAAAUCAAUUGAUGUUCAGUAAAGAUAAAUCAAACAUUUUAUGAUAUUUAAGAUCAUGUCUUAUAGGUUUAUUCUAAGAAUUAAUCAUCUUUAACUCAAACUUAAAAAAAUGUCAUCCAUAUAACUCCAAGUUCCAAGAAGUUCUUUUGAGGAGAGGUGAAAAAAUAUACUAGCUAGUUUCCUGUAGUGGGAAUCCCAAAUCCGACUAAAUAUGAUAAAGGAAUUUAAGAGAAGGACUAAACUUCACACUAAGAUAUAACUUAUUCCACUAUCUUUUAUUAGGUCCCAUUUCAUCACUGAUUUUGUGGAUUGCUUCAAUAAUUUAAGAAAAAAUUUUCCCUAAUCAAAUUGAUUUUCUAUAAUCACAUACCAAUGAUGGGACCUUAUCAAUCCAACACACUCCUAAUUUUCUAAGUUUGUCACCAUUCAAAAUAAAGACAUGUUCUCAAAACGACCCCUUAGUUCAUGAUUGUGACUCCAAAAUGAUACAAAAUAUAUUACAAAUCAGCCAAACACACCAUAAUGUGGGUAACCAAUUUUGAAGUAAUGGAUCCCAAGUUUGUCAUCUUUUGGUGAUCAUAUCAAGUCACCAUCCAAGAAUUCAUCACUAAUUUUAAAAAUAAUUGAUGUGUGAAUCCCAUCAUUGUUCGAUUUCUCCUCAAACCCCUUCAUGCAUAUUUUUCCUAUAAAGACAAUCCCACAAUAUGGAAAAUGAUGCCAUUUGCCAUGACUAAUGAACAACCUUUUUAAAUUGUUCCAUAGUAUUUUAAUAAAGUGCCUAACACAUGACCAGACUUUGUUUCAUAUGGGCCUAGCUCAUUUUCUCACACCCAAGAUCAACAAAUUAUUGAAAAUAAAUGAAUUUUCUUUAUAAAAAAACCCCAAGUCAUAGCUUUUAUUUUAUUUUCUAAAAAAAAAUACUACUAGUUAUUUAGCUAAAAAAAAUGAUUCAACCAAUGGAUUUAAAAAAAUGUAUAAUAAUUACUUUUCCCAUCAAUGCCCCAUUAAAAAGAAACUCAUUUAAAAAAAAUAAAAUUACAAAAGUAGGUAUAAGGUAACUAGACAAAGGAGAGAGGCAUGUCAUAACAUUUGGAGUUGAAUAAUUGAUGAUGGUAAGAUGGAUUCCUACAUUCACUUUAAUUGAUAGCAAAAGAACAAAUUAAAGGGCAUGCCAUUGUGGACCCCGCAUUUUUAAUGAUGCGUUCCCACUCGAUCGGCGAGACUCGCUUUUUGUUAUUUGGGUGAAAAAUAUGUUUCUCAGAAAAGACUUGGAGUCGCCACUUACUUUUAUUUAUUUUCAAAGGGGAAAACAAGUAAGAACAAAACCCCUAGAUGGACUCCUGAUUUUGUUUUUGGAAAAGCUGUCUGCGAAAAAAAACCUGAGUUUGGGUCCGGGGAUCAGGUUACUUAUUGGGAAGGUACGAUAAAGACCGUAGCACCCCUCUAAGCCCCUUAAAAAAGGGUCUCUACUAAAUAAGGUGAAGCAAACAUGGCAAUUAAGAUCCAUGGAUACCAAAACGAUCAUAGUUCAAAAAUAAUUCAUGAUAAUGAAAUAAUAAACAAAGUGAGAGUGAGAGUGUACCUUAGUAGCAGGUAAUAAAGCGCUAUCAUGAAACAAGGUUAGUGUACAAUGACAAGUGUAAAAACAAUCUCAUACAAAACCAAAUCAAAAUCAAACAAAAUCGAGAGCACAACUUGAAUUAUUUUUCGAAAAAAUGUUAUGAAUGUCGGGCCCCCACCAAAGCCCAAUUAAUUUUUGCUAUGAAUUGAUUCUCAUAAAUUCCAUCAUUUUGGAAUUAUGAGAGCUUAUUCACUUUUUUAAAAAAAAAUUGAAAAGAGGAAUUUCGAAAAUUAAAUUUGAAAUUUCGGAAGCGUGGAAUUUUAUUAAAAAAAAAAAAAGUGAACUUGAAAAUUUUAGAAGUAUCUUUGAGAAUGGUAUUUCAAAAUAAAUAAAUAAAUAAUAAUUUAAAAUAAAAUUAAAUAAUAAAAAAUAAAAAAUAAAUAAAAAAAUAAAAAAAAUAAAUUUGGAAUUUUGGAAAAUGGGAAUUUUGAGAAUGGAAUUUUGAAAAAUUAAAUUAAAAAAAAUUGAAAAUUUGGAAGGAUUAUUUUUGAAAAAUUAAAUUUCGGAAAAUUAAAUUUUAAAAAUUAUAAAUUUGGAAAAUUGGGACUUCGGGACUUUAUGAAUUUUUGGGAAUUGUGGGUACGAGAAUUUUUAAAAAUGAAUCCAGAAUUUUACUAAUUUUUUUGGAAAUUUGGGUACGGAAAUUUUAAAAAAUGAAUCCAGAACUUUACGAAUUUUUGAAAAUUUAGCGUACGGGAAUUUAAAAAAAUGAAUCCGAAACUUACGAAUUUUUGGAAAUUUGGUGUAUGGGAAUUUUAAAAAAUGAAUUCGAAUCCAGAACUUACGAAUUUUUGGAAAUUUGGUGUAUGGGAUUUUUAAAAAAAUGAAUGCGGGAUUUUUGGAGUUUUCGGAAAAUUUUGAUACGAGAAUUUUUUUUUUUUUUUAAAAAUGAACCCGAAAUUUUUGGAAAAUUGGGUAUGAGAAUUUUUAAAAAUAAAUCCGGGAUUUUUGGAAACUUGGGUAUGAGAAUUUUUAAAAAUAAAUCCGGGAUUUUUCGAAGUUUCGGAAACUUGGGUAUGAGAAUUUUUUUAAAUUAAAUCCGGGAUUUUUCGAACUUUCGAAAACUUGGGUAUGAGAAUUUUUAAAAAUAAAUCCGGGAUUUUUCGAAGUUUCGGAAACUUGGGUAUGAGAAUUUUUUAAAUUAAAUCCGGGAUUUUUCGAACUUUCGAAAACUUGGGUAUGAGAAUUUUUAAAAAUAAAUCCGGGAUUUUUCGAAGUUUCGGAAACUUGGGUAUGAGAAUUUUUUAAAUUAAAUCCGGAAUUUUUAGAACUUUCGAAAACUUGAAGAAAAUUAUAUAAAAAACUACAUUUUAUAAGAAAAAAAGGUGGCAUUUUAAGAAAAUUAGACUUCAGCGAAUUUAAAGAAAAACACGUACUGUUGGAAAUCUUGAAGAUUGAAUAAACAAUGAACAAAAGAUUUUUAAAAAAAACAUUAAAAGCCCAACAAAUUGAAUAUAUAAUAAACAAAAGACUUUGACAAGCAUUAAAAGACCAACAGAUUGAAUAUAUAAUAAACAAAAAGACUUUAACAUGCGUUGAAAGUCCAACAAGAAGUAUUAUUUGAAUGUUAUCUCACAACAUCAUUUGACGGUGCAUGGUAAGCCGCGUCUGAAAGCAUGUUUUUUUUUUUUUUUUGUUCUGAACUUGCAUGGGAUGUAUUGGAGAAUGGCCACCCAUGCCACAGUGGCAAAGGGGAGCUGGCCGCCGGUGGAGCUACAACUCAGGCCAGUCACCAGAAAAAAAACGAGCUGCAGCAGCCCCAAAGUGUGGCUGAAGCGGGUUGCUGCAAGAUGAGAGCCCCAGUUGAGGCUCCUACCGAGUUGCGAUUGAGGAUUGGUCCAUGGCCGAGAGAAGCCCAACACGCUUGGUGUUUCAGAAAUAAAAUUACGCUCCUCACACUCCACGCCGACUUGGCUAUGUCUCUGGCCAAAAGGAAAAAAAUGAUGGAACCCAAUGCAUCAUGGGGCACAAGCAGAGGCGAAAAGGAUCCCAAUGACAAAGAUCCUCCAUGUAGCAACAUAAACACCCCAAUGGGCACCAGAUGCCUAAAGUUCACUCUCAUCUCUAACCCACUCCCAUUUUUAGAAAACCAACCCCUCACCACCGCCGGCAGACGAAGGUGGCAACACAUUAGAAUAUAUCACAACCAUGUUACCUUUCAGAAACCAAGCCUAAAGUGUUUUUUUGCACCCCCUAGAAUUAUAUUUUUAGACAGCAAUAUACCAAACCAAAAUAAUUUCACAACCUGCUAGAAGAAUACAGAGAAAUUUUUUUUAAAAAAAAAAACAGAGUAAGAGUAGGAGAUGUGAAGACAUGCUAGACCAAGCCACAUUUCUUGAGUUGUUAAUGGGUUGAAGGGUGCAUGAAUGGUAGCAAAUGAAUUUUAAACAAAAAUUAGAACAUGAUUAUACUCAUAUCAGAUUGAAUCACAAAGCAGAGCCAAAGAGAAUAGGUGCAUGAUCAACCAUAAAACACACUCUAACAAAUUCGGAUUUUAUAACAAUGUGUAGCAAUGUCCCAAGCUCGCAUUCAGACAGCAAAACGAAACCCCAACAUACAUAGAAAGAGAUCAUAUGAAACUCAUGAAAUCGAAAGAACCUAGUAGUUUCUAGGAAACAUACCUGUGUCAUUUUCCCGACUUCUUUGCUCUGUUUACCUUUCUCUCUUUCUCCACCAACUCUUUUUUUCCCUCAGACGGCUUUCUUCUUCCUCUUCACCUAUCUGAAUCCCUCAUUCCUCAAAAUCUCUCUCACUCUUCUUUUUUCAAAUUUGUACCUCUUCCCCUUCCUUUUCAAAUCUGUACCUCUUCUCAGACUUUUUUUUUUUUUUUUUCUUCUUUCUCAGUCUCCCUUUUAUAUCCUUCCUUGAAAACCCCUCCUUUCCAUCUAGAAAAUGACCCCUGCCUCUUUCCGAUGUAGACUCCUCGAAAACUUCCAUCUCAGUUUUUUUUUUCUCAUUCUUUUGAUUUCCCUUUUCUUGCCUCCUAAGCUUCUCAACCGACUCCCAUUUUCAUUUUUUAUAAUCUCCCCCUCAUCCUUUCCUGAUCAAAGCCUCUUUUCCUAAUCCACCUGUUCCUUCUUGCUGGCCUUUGACUUUUAAUUUUUUUUUUCAUAAAAUAUCUUUUUUUUUUUCUUAUGUAGUCCACCGACUUUCCUCUUCUAUUAUUAUUAUUUUUUUUAUAUAAUAAAAACAAAGUAAAUAAGGUAAUAAAAAAAACAUAAUACAAUAAAAAAAUAAAAAUUAAAUGACAUAGUAAAAGCAUAAUAUAACUAAAUAAUAAUGGUACUAAGAAUAACAAAGGUAAUGAUAAAAAAUAAUAAUAAUAAUAAUAAUGAUUAUAAUAAUAAUAAGGAUAAUAAUAAUAAUAAUAAUAUUGAUAAUAAUAAAGACAACUAAUAAUACUGGUACUAAUAAUAAUAUAAGAUUCCUAGUCACUUACAAUUUUCUGAAAAUAAAUAAGUGGAUCAAUGAACAAAUAAAGUAGGAAAAAUAAAUAAAUUUCACACGCACAUACCAAUAAUCUAAAUACUAAACUAAAACACAAAUGAAAAAAUAAAAAUAAAAAGAUAAAAUGAAAAUCAAGCUGAUACAAUUAAACAUCGAAAACUCAUCUCAGGCAACCCGAAUAAGAUAAUAAAGAAAUAUCAAGCUGAAUACUCACCUAGUCUCAAAAAUUCAUCAAUCAAGAAACUAAUCUUAGAUAAUUAAGCUUACAAAAAUAAUAAUAAUAAUAAUAAUAAUAAAAUAAAAAAUAAUAUAAUAAUAAUAAUAAUAAUAAAAAAAAAAAUCCAAGUGACCUGGGUGACCUAAGUGGAAAGUGUCAAGGUGAAUUAGGUGGAAACUAAACCAAUGAGGUGUCCAAGUGAUAAAAAAAACGUGCUAAGUGACUUAGGAGUGUACCUACCGGGCUUGGUGAAUCUAAAUGGGCCUAGGGUGCAAAAGUGGGCCUAAGGUAGUGCCCAAUGCGUCAUCAGAGAAUUAUUGUAAAGUAUCAAACGGACACGUAAUAGAACAUGUGCUAGUAGGACAAAAUAGAGGGUCUACAGCCAUAAAUGUAUUGUGUUGUAGAAUCAUAUAGGAGCUGAUGAUAGAGUUCAAACAAAGCUAAUACAGAAGUUUAAGUAUAUGAUUAAUGGCUCAUAAGUGAAAAAAAAACAUGUUGUUUGGCCACAUUAUCUUCUCACCUGAUAGAGAAAAUGACAAAUUAAAGGACAUUUACAUUAUAUAGCACAUAUAUAUAUGCCUUGAUCUCAUAUAUUGGAAUUUUUGCUAGAUUAAUGAGAGUUGACAUGUUAGAAGAUAAUGGCCUUUCUUUAUGAUGUGGUCAAAGUAUAUCUUGUGUUUUUAUGACACCUCAUUAAUCUUCUUUUUUGUUAUGCUGCUACAUAAAAUUAGGCUUCCAUCUAUCAUGUUCUAAUAUUAUAAAAAAUUCUGAUUCUAUCCCAUAAUGCCCUUAAUAUUCUAGCCCAUGGAUGAGGUACCUUCCAUCUCGUUAGCAAUUCGAAUUUCCAUGAGUUAUUAAAUAAAAUAAUUAUUUUAGAGUCUAUAAAAUAUAAGUUACAUCAUCAAAUAAGAGAUUAAAAAUUAUAUAUUUCAAAGUCAUAAAAUGAAUAAUUAGUUACUAAUUUAACAUAGCUAAUUAUUAAUAAAAUUAAUUUUUUUACUAUGAAAAAUAAUUUAGCAAUUAUAAAAAAACAAUAAACUUAAUACUUGAAUAUAAUUAAAAACUAAAAAAGUUAAAUUUUGUCUUAUCAUUUUCACUUUUUCAUAAUUAAAAAUAAAUAAAUAAAUAAAUAAUAUAUCAAUUCAUAUUUUGAUAGGUUAACCAAAACUUUAUAAAUACCUUAACCCUAAUAUUUUCAUUCAAACAUUGUCAAUGUCAAUUCAAACACUGAAUUAAGUACAACUUACAUGGGUUUGAAUCGCCCAAGUUGCAACCCUAUUUUUCACUUGUUAUUUUCUACACUACCAACAUUGUUGUAGGUUUUACACCUCAAACCAUACCUAGCAUAAAGGAAACCCAAUGGAUAUAUCAAAUUGGUAAUAUCUUUUCCUUAUUAAUGUUAACUCCAAAUCAGAAUUUAUUUUAAUAAUUUCCUUUUGAUAUACACUAAGUAUUUAGUUUAAUAAAAUAAGGUGAAAUAAAAUACAUAAAGAAGCACUUAUUUAAGCAUGACAAUUUUAAAGUUUUUUCCCAAUAGUCAUUAAGUAAUAGAAGGACCCACACCCAUGAUGACUAAAGGCAUUCCGACACCCACAUGAGAGAUAAAUAAAUAUUGCUUUAGAUGCUCAUGUAAUGGAAAAAUGAAAAUCACUUAUUUUUGGGGGAAAAAAGGGUUCUCCCCUGUACCCCAUGAUUUUAUUUAAUAGGGGGUUGUUUGGAUGAGUCAGGGAAAAGAAAUCAUGUAUUUGUCUCUCGUUUUCCCUUACAGUUUCCUUUACUUUUUGGAAUAAGAGUGAUGUGCCAAACAACAUAUGGUAACUAGGGCUACAACCCGAAUGGGUUGGGUUGAAUUAGUGAUUCAUCCAACUUAUAAAUUAACAUAUUUGACAUUGUAAAUAAUUUUUCAUGGUGGAAACUUCACUUGGCGAAUUGACAUUGUUGGGUUACCUUAAAUGGUUCUUAGGAAGGGAUCAGAGAAGAAGUUUCGUAGUGGGCCAUGGAAUGGAUUAAGUUUUAAUGGUCUUCCAUUGAUUAAGAAGACAUUGUUAAAAUCUUCUUUGGUGGACAAUGCAAAGGAGUUCUACUAUUCAUACGAGCUUGACGACAAAUCGAUUAUAACAAGACUUACUCUAGAUGAACUGGGAAUCUACGCGCCUGUAGUUGAGCAAAACUAGUAAGAAGUGGGAUAUUGUGUCUCCACUGCUAGAUGAUUUGUGUGAUGACUAUGGUCAUUGUGGUGCUAACUGGUAUCUCAACUGAUUCGUGUGCAGCUGGUGCUCCUUGAUUGAGGGAUUAAUCAACAAAAUUUAUAACCUAUUACACCAUAUACUAGGGUAGCAAAGACAAAGCUACUAUAGCAUAGUGGCUCUAGGAUCGUUCACUGGGAUGGGUUUUCACUUCACAAAUGAUAUUAAUUCAAAGUUGAAUUGGUGCCUUUUCAUUUCAAGGUUAGCUUUAAAAGAAAACAUAAAGAUGUUUGAAUGAAAAAGGUUUGGUUUUAAACUAACCAAAAAUAAUAACUGAUUUUACUUACAAAGAAAAGUGUUUCUUGGAGUUCAGAUCACUAGGCUCAGGUUCCUCAUACAAAAAGGGAGUUCCGGUCACUUGUUUCUUUUCCUCGCAUUAGAGAAUUAACAUAUAGUUCCUUCUCCAACCGGUGUUAUACAGAUGCUUCCCAUUAAUGGGUUCAAACACUAAAUCCCUCUCACUGAUGCACUUUGCAAUGACUCAUGCCUCUCACCUAGCACUUGCCAUUCAAGAUGAUCUUUAACCUUGGACUUCCCUUCUCAAGCUCGCAAAAGAUAACUAAUGGAUGUCUCCUUGGAGUCCAAAAGCUUACCAAGUGUUGGCAAUUCCAGAAAAUCCUACCUACAAGUCACCUCCCAGAGGCUCGCAAGGGGUAAACUAGUGCAUCUCUAUGGUUGGAGAUCACUUGCCUUACCAAGUGUUGGCCUAGGUGAUUUAAAGGCAUUUUAAGUUAACUAAAAAGAUAAAAACCAUUAACGGGUCACACUUUCUCUUCAUUAAAAACUAAAACAACAAAAAUUCCAAAUUAUAUAUGUGGAAACUUACCCGGAUUUCCUCACUCCAAGAGACGAAAAGCCUAGUCUCUCAUCCUCUGAGGAAAAAUCCUCAGAGUUUGAUUGGCUAGAAAGAAAACUAACGAGAAAACAAGAAUAUAUAUGAAAAAUAGAGCAAGUGCUCUGUUCGUUGAUUCUAUAUAUGAUAUAUAUUACAAUGGAUGCAAGGGAAUAUAUAUAGAGAAGUUUUUCCAACCUUCCUAGCUAAGAAAUCUUAUGGUUGGUGGAUUACAAGGAGAAGAAUGGAAAUUUAUACAAAAAUAUAUGAAGAAAAUAUCUAAAAGAGUCGGUCGCAACUAUCGGGAAGCUUCAGGAGAACACCCGUGCACUGUGCAAAAUGGCUGCAAAAUUCUCGCAACAAAAGGCUGAUUUCGCAGCCGUGCAAAAAUCUUCCUUCAGCUUGAAGUGAUCUGCUUGCAAUGGCUGUAACUCCUUCGUUUCAACUCCGAAUCGCCCACCGUUUGAAGCAUUGGAUUUUUGACUUCCUGAGAUUUGAAAUGGUAUAUUGAAUGUAGAAAAUGGAUUUCGGGAAGUGCUCCAAAAGUGCGAAAGAAGACUGCAGCUACUGUCCUCUAUUUUAUUCACUCUGUUUUUCCUCUCUCCUUUGUUCUUUCCUUGCAUACUUUGAAUGACUUUGGUAAAGGGCUAUGGAGCUCCAAAGCUUGGUUCUUCAUGAAUUUGAGCUUCCAAUUGCUUUGCCAUGGAUUCCAAAUAACUCUCCUCAAUCUCAUAUUGCUUUGGUGAUCAAAAAGCUAUCAAAACACCAAAACUUAACACAAUUUGAUUAGAAUUGAUUGCAAGGGUCCUUAACAUGUUAAUUGGGUUAAAAGGCAAUAACUACUACUCAAAAGUGUUUAAAAGAGUUAAUUACAAGCUAUCAAAUAGCACUUUUUGAGUAGUAAUCACUAACUGCAUUUGCAUAAUUAAUAAUAGGCCUAUUUGUGAGUGCUUGGAAGGGUUUGUUCCAAAAUCACAGGUGGAAUGGGAAUUUCAAAAUUGGACCAGUGAUUGCAUUAGGAAGACAUAGUUGGACUGCCAAAAGGGAGAAGGAUUUAUGGAACUUGAAGGGGUUAAAUUGCUUGACAUGUUGGAAUUCUAGGUGAGUAAUGACCCUUAAGAAAUGUGAGGAGGAGUGAUUGAGGAACUGUUCUUGCACAACUUACACUAAUUCAAAUAUUAGUGAGGGAGACAAUGGUUGCUUGAUUUGGUUUAAGGAUCUGAUUGAUAUCCGAGAGUUCCAUGAAGAUAAUUAGCAGAAUAUCUACAUUCGAAUGCCAACUUUAGAACUAGGUAAUUGUAGUUUAUGCAUUAUCAUACCAUAUUUUUCUAGAUAAAGCAGGAAAUUUUUUUAACAUGUUUUACUAUCUUCAUUCUACAUGUCAUAGAGUUGAUGAAUGGUUCUAGUGAAAGCAAGAAACGCUUGGUGGUUGUGGUGGUCUCAUCUACUGCUUCUAGAGUUUUCAUCUUGGGCUUGGUACUUUGGUUUAUAGUUCAGAAGAGAAAGAAAAGAAGUAAGAAAUCUUCUCCUGUUUGAUGCAUUUUGUGCUCAAAGUAAUUAUGCCCAUGUGAGUGGACCUUCUAGCUAAUCCUUCUAGCUCAAAGUGUCUAAUAUUUUUAGUUCAUUUUCUAUUGAAAGAAAUGCUCCAAAGGUCAAAACCAUCUAAUUAAACUAAUGAUGUAUCCUACACUCUUCCAAAAUUAUAGGUUCAGAAACAGAAAAGAAAGACCUGGAGCUAUAGUUGUUUGAUUUGGCUACUAUUUCAAGUGCUAUUAAUAACUUCUCUGAUUCAAAUUUGAUUAGAAAUGGUGGUUUUGGAUAAGUUUACAAGGUAAUAUAGUCUAUAUUUUGUGAUAAUAAAAAAAAAAUGAUUGCUGUUAUGCAACAUUCCAUUUCAAAAUUGUAGGGUACCCUAGUGACAAGACAAGAAAUUGCAGUAAAAAGGCUUUCAAACAAUUCAGAACAAGGCUUUCAAGAGAUCAUGAAUGAAGAUAUUUUGAUUACCAAACUUCAACAUCGCAAUCUUAUGAGGCUUUUGGGCUGUUGUGUUGAAGAAGAAAGAAUGCUCGUCUAUGAGUAUAUGCCCAACAAAAGUUUGGACUAUUUUAUUUUUGGUUUGAAACUCUUAGCCCAAAAAAAGGGAAUGACAUAAAGCUGAAAUUUCCAAAACUUCCAUGAUAGUUACAUAAAGCUGAAAUUUCCAAAACUUCCAUGACAGUUACAAAAAUGAGGAAGUCUAGAUACAAUCUCAACAAUCAACGAUAAGAACCCAAAUAAACUCAUAAAUCCAUUACAUUCGUACUUGGGAAAACUCAUCUCCCACAACGUUUUACUCGCUUCAAGUGUCUUGUGUCCUCUUCCAAAACCAACAAAACUAGUCACCACCUAAACUGUCAUCCUCUGCUCUCUCUCUUUCUCAGUUUUUUUUCUCCUUUCAGCUCGGGCCACCUCUCUCUAUUGUCAUUGUCAGCUCCCCUCCCGAAUUGUGGUUGUGAAAGAAGGUGAAAUAAUAUGGGUUUUUGGAGUAGGGAUUUGGUUUAAGAGAGAAGAAUGGAUUUGGGGGUAAAUCUCACUAUCCAUUUUGUUAUAUUUUAGCAAAUAUUUUUUUAAAAAUCAAUCCACAUGGAGUGUCUAGUUGGACGGUGACAUGUAAAUGAGCCAUGUCAUUAGCUUAACUGGACAACUGAUUUGGACCUUGUUUAUGUGGCUUUUCCAAGCAACUGAUCCAAAUAGGAGAGCUGCUAAAGUGUAGGAGAGCAUUUUUGGAAGGGCCUCAAUAUCACUAUUACAGUGUAUGAAAGGUAAUUUAUUUUCCUUAAAAUCCACCGAAUUUGAAAAGUAAAAAAGCAAAGUUUCUAAAAGGCAAAAUUUUUCUCCUUGGUGUAUGGUUACAUAAAUUUCCCUUCUUAGUUUCCCUAUAGAAUACAUUCCAUUUUGUAAGUUGUAAGAGCAUAAGAAAGCAAAAAAUAGGCAAAGAGGAGUACUUAAGGCAAGAAUGGAAAAACAUUGGGACAAGGAGUAACUAAUUGGAGUAAGGAAUACACAUUCUAAAAAAUGGUGCCGCUCUAAGCUACCACCAUUUAGGGUUAAAACACUAUUAGAAAUGGCACAACAAAUGGCUCCACCUCAAGUUGCUACCAUUCUUACUACUAUUGUGAGAGCUACACUAUGAAAAAUGGUCCCACUUUUAAGAUAAUACCACUUGGGCCUUUAUUUCUCUCAAACUUUGGAAUUCUCUUGGGCUUGCAUAUUUUAUUUUUUCCCUAUUUAUCCUUAGAUCUCCAUUUGUUUUACAAGAUGUCAACAAGUGGAGAAACAUUUAGGGAAACAUUUUCGGACUUAUAAAAGCCCUUACAUAACCUGGAAAUGGAACUUUAACUGGUUAAGAAGAAGGAAGGAAAGUUUAGGAAUUUUAGUUAUCAUCUUUAUGUACUCUUUUAUUUUCUCAAACUUUCUAAGUAACUUUUCUUUACAUUAUUCUUAUGUAAUUAUCCUUUAAAUAUUUCAGUCCUAUUCCUCAUAGUUUCGUAGAGAUUUUGAGCACUUUAUGUUGUAGGAUAAUGUUGAUUUCAUUUGUAAUUUCUAAGGUGUUUUUUUUUGUUCUUGUAAUGUUAAAUCCUAAAUAGUUUUCUAAGCUAGGGAGAAAGGGUCAAUAAGACCUCUUUUACAAAAAGUUAAUCCAUGUUAUGGGAUGAAUGGAUGGUGUAUCUAUCUUUUAAUUAGAUACUUAUAUUUUGUUUGGGAGAAAAGUUCACUUUCUUCUUCUUAAUGGAAACUUAAUGUUGUUUAUUUUAUUUUUUGUUUUUUAGGCUUUUCAAGUUAUUGAGGGCCUUAGGCCCUUUUUAAUUGAAAUCAUUUCAUUGAGCCUUUAUGGUUGAGAUUGGAAAAAGAAGAAAAAUAUUAAUGCUAAAAUGCAAAAAGAGGUUAAGAUUAAAAGAGUAGAACUAUUUAAAUAAAAUUUCUUUUAGGCUUCAUUGGUAAUUUCUUAUAAGUGUUCUCAAUUGUAGGUCUUGGGAUUGUGCAUUGGUUGUGAAAAAAGUAACCUCAAUGGAUUCCUUAUCCUUCUCUUGACCCUCUAUUUUUUCUUCCUAGCAUAUAUCUUAUUAGGUGUUCGUUCAGUACUUUACAACAAUUAUUUGGUAGCUCAUUACUACUCAUGUAAUUUAUCUUUUCUGAGCUGCCUUAGAGACUUUGGUUGAGGGGUUUAUCCAACUCCUUAGUGUGACCUUGGUUGUCAUUCGAGUUUAGAUUAGGCUUCACUUAGAUGCACUUUAGGUUAGAUUCAGUUAGACCCACCUAGACUCACCUUAGGCUCACCUAGGUCACUUAAGUCCACUUAGACACUCUUGGCUCAUUAGACAUUUUUAGUGUGGCUUGCAUGGUUGCAUGACUCAUUUUAAUUUUUUUUUUAUUUACUUAUUUGUUUCUUUUUUUAUUAUUAUCAAUCACUUUUAUUUAUCUAUUUAUUAUUUUUAUUUAUUUAUUUAUUUGUUUAUUUAUUUUUAUUAUUUUAUCAUUAUAAAUUUUCUUCAUUUAUUUGAUUUAAUAAUUUGAUGUUUUUAUAUGGAAAUUUACCAAAGGAAGAAGUGACCCUUGUGAGACUUUGAGAAGGAAAGAAACCCUUUUAGGUGUUAUUAAAGAUCACCUUUGGAGAGUUUGAAGAUGGAUGAAGAAGUUUUUGAAAAAGGUGGGACUCGUUGGUGAUAUGCAUAGAUUGAUUUUUUUUUUUGAAAUUCAAAAAGAAUUUUUCUAAUGGAGGAAACAGAGAAUUUGGAGAAAUCAGGACUCCUCUAGGAUGGAUGGCUGCCAAUUGCCAUAAAAACCACAAGGUGGUGGUUUUUGGGGAGGAGGUUUUCAAGAGAGACUUUCAGCACGCAUUGAAAAGAGGAGAAAACCGGGAAGCAAAAAAGAAAGGGAGUUCAUCUGGGUCAUCGGGUCUGGUCAAAGAAAAGGAGAGAGCUCGUUGGGAUUGUUGGGGGGAUCUUUGGAAGAGGACACAUCUCACUUGAAGCCAAACAGCAUUUCUUGAGGGGAAUUUCUCCAGGUAUGGUCAGAUGAAAUUUGUAUUUUCUCAUCUCUAUAUGAUUCAAUAUCAUCAUUUUUUUUUGCAAAUUCUGGUGUUAUCUUGUUGAUUGAUGUGAAUAUUUAAGGUUGAUUGUUUCUCCUGUUGAAUGGUUUUAAAUAUGUGCAUGCUCUGUCCUGGCUUGAGCUGUAGUUUUUUUUUUUUUUUAAUAUCUACGCAUCGUUGAUAUUGGUAUCUAAGAAUCGUGCUCUUGUUCUCUGAUAUCCCCCACCUAUUUUCAAGCCCUUUGACAAAAUCCGAGAACACAAGAACCUUGCGCAUAGACUGUGUUCUUAACAUCUAAGAAAGAUGCUAUCAAAGCAUCUAAAAAUGUAGCCAAGUCAAGGAUGCCAAGCAUCCAAUCCAUUUUCAAUGAAACAAUAGUUGAACCUGGAAUUGAACUGAGCCGCCUUGGAAGCCUAAUUGUUGCCGAUGCUGGAGUGCAGGUACUGGGUUUUUCUACCCAGAAAUGAGGGAUAGUUUGAGGCUUUUGGAUACAUAAGACAUGGUGAUUCUUUUUUUGUUUAAAAUCAAUGCCGUAAGUGAUGAAGAAUAAGAAUUCGACAAAUGGGAGUUGAGCACACGUUCAAAAAAAUUUGCAAAACUCUAUGAGGAGCUAUUGCCCCAUCUUUUUCGAGUAUCCUUUUUGAAUCAGUUAAAUACACGAACUGGAAGAAUAUCAGAAUACCUUUGCCUACCUGGCUCUUUGUGGUGAAGAUGGAGUUAAGGUUGACGUGCAAAAUAUUAUUAAGACCUUCGAUGCUGAUCGUGAUGGUAGAAUUGCUCUCACUCGUGGCUAUCAUCUACAUAGCAUGGGACCUUACUGACAAUCGAUGAAUGCCUCAUAUAAUUUGCCAGUCCCAGAUCACAAUCAUCAAAUGAGACACUUCCGAUAGACAUGUACACUGCAACAGCAACACUUACGUAGCCUCUGCUCAUGGAAUCUCGGCUCCAAUGGCGCUGGAAUUGUUAAUUCCCUUGCAAACCCUUGGUCCAAAAGGGAAUUCUCCAAUGGGAAAAUAGAUUGUUUGUUUAAGGAGAAAAUCCAGCUCGGCACCUUAAGCAUGUUCAGUUAAGCUAAGUAAGGAAAGGUCUCAUACUCAUGGGUUCACUCACUGGUAAAGGUCCUCAAGAUGUACAGUAUUGAAAACAAAGUUCCCUCCUGUACGGCUGUACCAACGUUAACAAUCAGACUACCAUGCAUAUAUGCCUUUCCUUAAGAGAGGAUUCCAGCUGGCAAACACGUGGGUCGCCCUUGAAAGAAAGCCAUUGGUGUAUAAGGUUGAUGAGAAGAGCAUAGUUCAGAGUUCCGUGAGAGAUGAGGAUCCAAUUUUCUCGUCUUCUUUGCCUCGAAGUGGGGAGAUAGAAGAAGCGCGACACAAGCAGUCGCCUUUAGCUCCAGUUCCAACACCACCUGAAAAAUGGCCAACCCCUCUUGAUUGUUAACUCGAGGCAGUAGCAGGUGAGGAGAUUCACUUUGAUUCCACCAACACCUCCCACAGAAUAAUACUCUUAUCAUUAAAGGAUUACACUGUAGACGUCGAACGCGUCAUCAGGAAACUCCAGCUCCAAACGUUGUCAACGAUUUAUGUAUCCACUUGGGUCAAGCUGCUGCACCUGCAACCAAGGCAGUUGGCUAUCACAAUGCCGGCAUAGUGGAAUUGAUAGUGGAUACCAUCUCAGGCCAAUUUCAUUACAUGGAGAUGAAUCCUCGCCUUCAAGUUGAACACCCUGUGAUUGAGAUGAUCGUUGUUCAAGAUCAUCUCAUUGGAGAAUAGAAGCAAGCACUGAUGAGGCUAUAGCGAUUGACCCUGCUCUCUUGUUAUCUUCUUCAGCCUUUAUAUUACAGCUUCCUACAGAGAAAGGUAAGUUCUCAACGCGUUUUAGAUCAACAACUUUGAGAACCCCUCUAUUACAGGGCAUAGCAGUUGCCCCACUCUUGAUCAUACGGUAAGGAAACUGGCACAUUUGAUCAGAUUGCCAACAAAUGAGCACCAGCUCAAAGUGGGGAUCAGGCGGCUCACAAAGUCUGCCAUAGAUUUAGUUACAACAGCCUCCAACACUGCUGUCCUUGCUUCAACAACACCAACACCGACAAUAGAAGCAAUAAUAUUACAAGAUGUCAAACUUGUUAUUGCAUGGUGGAACGUACAGUAUUAGAAAGGAAGUCAAUCCCCCAUCUGAGAGUGUGCAGAAAAGAGGCAGUAUCCUCCCAUUAAACCUUACUUGCAGAAACCACUAAAGACCAUCAAGCAUCUCCUGUUGAUGAUAUCCUUGUUGCAUGAAUGAAGUUGUCUCAGAGUAGUGAUACAGUGGUAUUCCCAUUGACAGAUUCGCCUGCGACUCUUUGUAGUCAGAAUACAGGAAAAGAUUGACUAUAGUUUCAUUCGAGAUUUUCUUCUGAAUUAUCAAGGGGAAAUGCAGCAGAGUUUGUACCUUACUCGUUUGGAGAGCAUGCUCAUCUUCCCAUUUCACCAAAUGCAGAAAAUAGACUGAUGUAGAGCUAUUUUGAAGUCUGCCUGGGGAACUCAAACAGAUUGAUACGGAACUGUCUCCAAAGUCAUUCAUAGAAUUCAAAUAGACCGAGCGAGAAGCACAUCUAGAAUUGUCUAGAGAACUUGGGAGUGCUGAACAUCACCACCACUAGUAGAAUCUCUUCAGUGCAUAGACAUGCAAAUGGUGUCUUGGGCACAUAAACUAAUGGUUCAAUAAGCAAUAUUGUGGAGUUUACACUUUUCCUUGAAGCUGCAACUACCAACACCGACAGUGUAGCCUCUUUGCACCCUGGACCCCACCUGCAUGGUCAUCUUCCUUCUUCAUUUGUGUACUUUUCCUGUUUCCUUGUGAUUUUAUAUGCUUUAAAUUGGGUUUUCCAAACUUCUUCCAUUAAAAUAAUCUCAGCUUUCAAAAAUCCAUCUUUAGACUUCUUCUAGAUGAUAAAAUCCAGAUUUCAACAAACCUUCUGCUGCCAUUUUACUUUAAGUAUGCAUUUUCACUAUUUUCUUUGUUUCCUACUAAUUUUCUUGGUUUUCUUGAUUUCUUAAUAAGCAUGAAUAAAUUCCAUGGUUCCAAAUAAUGAAAUUCAUAGAAUGAACUCAUCCAAAAUUAAUUGGCCCUUAGUGAGAGCCCAAUAUUCAUGAUAUCGUCUUUGAUAUUGAUUCAAGUGAAAUGAUUGUUUGACGAUUAAUUGAUUUUGAUUCCUCUUAAUGAUAUACAUGAAUUUGUUUAUUGUUGAGCUAACCUUGUUUUCCAUAGAGGCGUUGAUGCUUGCUAACUAGGCAUGCUCUUUCUAUCCUCCAAUUCCAAAAUUUUAUGAAUAUGCAUGUUAUCAUGAGCUAUAUCCUUGUUUGAAUGUUGUCCUUGAUCACUUUGACACUUGUUUGAUUAUCUCUAAUGAAAUGCAUGUUGAGUGAUAUACUAUUCAAACUAACUUUGAUUGUCUUGGGAUAGUGCUUGAGAAGUAGUCCAGGUACACACCCUAACUCCCCUUUAUGAUUGCGAUUUGAUUUCUUAUUUGGCAUGCUAGUAUUAAUGGAAUCUCGAAAUCACCUUAGUCUACUUAGGUACCUUCAAUCAAUAGAUUAAUUGUCAUAUUUCUCUUGACUUAGCUAGUAGAAACAUCUUUAGGGCUUAAAGGGGUGCUACCUUUUUGAGGUACUUUCCUAGUAAGUAACUUGAUCCAUGAACCUAGACUCGGGAUUUUCAAAGUCACGCUUUUCCAAAACUAUGAGGUAACUUUUUUAGGUUUUAUUUCUUGUUUUAUUUAUCAUUUUAAAAUAAAAUAAAAUAAGUGGUGACUCUGACUUUUCUAAAACUAAUUUUUCACCAUUAAAAAACGAGUCUCCUCGAUGAGUGAGGAUGCAUGUGAAAAAUGUGGGUCCACACCUUCUCAUUUAAAUUUGUUGGACUUUUGCAUAUCUACAAAUCAUUUUUCUUGUUUUUCUCCAAAUAUUUUUAGAGAUUCUCUAAAUAAACCCACAUUAAACAACCCUUUUUCAACCACUAAAUCAUGUGAAAAUUAACACCACUUUUGGAAUUCAUAUCUUUCCAUCUCCUUGAUCACUUUAGAACAACCUUUUUGAGGAAAUUAUACCUGAAUCAUCGGGUUCUUUAGCUUUAAAGACUCCUUUCACUUGGGAAUUGACACCAUCCAUAUUCGCAUUCCAAACAACCAUAUACACCUCUCAUCUCAAAUGUGGAAGUUUUAAUUGUGUAUCAUGGUAAAUUGUAUGAAAGAUUAAGAUGUGAGUUCCUUCUCAAUCAGGAAGGAUGGUCUAAUAGCCUGUAGGUGAAUGUAGAUGGAUAUAGAUGGAUAUAGAUGAAUCUUAGGAAAUGACAAGCUUCACCUAAUUAUAAUUGUAUUUUGGUGAAUGAUAUGUGUGUUUAAUGUUCUUGUAGACAUCAAAAUUUUUUGUGAAAUAAAUUAUCACUGAAUUGGUCUUUAAAAAAAAUGUGGCUCCCCAAUUCAACAAAAUUCAAGAUCAACAAGUGAUAGGUCUUACACACAUUUGACACAUGACAUAUUAAAAAAGGUGACAUGUGGCGAAAUUUGAAACACUACAAAAUUUACUCUUCCAAAUAAAAUUAAAUCUUUCAAUUGCAGUCAAAGGAGAAUUAAUAAUAAUAAAAAAAAAAUUCUCUUGUUGGAAAAUUUCCUUAAUGAAGAAGACAAGUUGCUAAAAUUAAGGAACAAAAUUCUUUGAAUGAAGCAACUAAAUCUUAAGGAAUUCCAAAAUUUAAUUCCCUAACUUCACCUAUAAAUAGGGGUGACUUCCUUCAAUGAGAAGAUUUCUUCGAAUAGACAAAAACGAAUCUACAUAGAAAAAAAAAGGCUUCAUAGAGAAGAAAAAGCUUCACAAAAUUUCCCUACAUGUCCAAGAAAAGACAAAAGUACUUCACAUGUGAUCUUUGUCUUUCAAUGAGUACAUUUGGGAACAAGCCACUUGUGGCCCUCGAUUGAUCUCUAAAAUCAAGAAAUUUUUUUUAUCGUUGUCUUCCAAAUUAUGAUCAAGGCGAAAGAAUUAGAGGGAUAUGUUUUUUUUUUUUUUGUAGAAGAAUAUUACCACAAAAAUUGUAUCCCACAAUUUAAUACUUUUGAUAAAAUUUUUGUUUCACAUAGUUUUCCUAAUAUUGUUUUACUUACAUUGUAGAACAUUUGCGAAAUUUGUGCGUACAAGUUUCUAGCAUGCCUGAUGAGAUCUUUUUGCCUCUCAUCUCUUCCUCUAAGAAAGUGAUCACUACGAAAAUGAUGACAUCUAAGGAGGCUUAAGCUGUGCAUGUUGACAAGGGCGAUGAUGAGAUUGUCAUUACCAAAUCGACAUGCAACACCUUUAUAGGCCUGUGACUUGUAGCAAAGUGAAAACAACUGCUGCAUCACUAACAAAGUUAUCAAGUGAGCACAUUCUUUUUCUAAAAACAAUGGGGACAUGCAACAGUUACCAAUCAGUCAUCACCUUGGCCUCUUUGGGGGAUAAGUCCCUUUACUUUAUUGCUGAUGCCAACUAAAUCACUGGCUCACCAAUUGGGGUGUAAAAGCAGGAUAACUUCUUUGACCAUUCUAGCUCUUUCACUUUUUCCUUAUCAGUGACCAUGCCAAUAAUGACAAUCAACACUACAUAUGUGGAAGAACAACUAGUAAAAAUGGCUUAUGUCAUCGCUAAACUCACCAAGAUUGUCAAGGAGAAAAUUUUUCAAAUAGCCUCCCUUAUGAACAAGGUUGAGGCAUAAGCACAUGAUACAAUUAAGUUACAUAUCCUUCUAUUGUGUAUUCAAAUGACAUGUCGUUGCUCUCAAAGAGCUUAUGUCAAGUUUCCAUUUAAGGAAUUACUAUGACCAUAGUUUCCAUGAACACACCUCCUUAAGAUCACCCAAUAUGACGCACUAUUUGAAUCCCAUGAGAUAUCAUGAUGACUCUAUUGAGAAUACUUAUUGCUACUGACUUUCAUCAACAAUGACCCAAUCCAUAGGGAAUAUAUGAUCAGCUUAUGAUCUUACCCGUAGGUCAAAACCACUGCUAACUUUAGCACAAACUCAAUAUUCUUUCAACGUUGAAAGACAACGCAAUGAAGCAACUUGGUGAGGUUGUGACUAUUUGACAACCUUAAGUCAUGACUCACCAUAGGUCAUGUCCAAUGUGCAACCAUAGACACUAGUGCACUCACCAUGGAAAACCCAUCUUGAUAGCCAAGAUCAACCAUCCCUUCAAUUAGGAGAUGGUGCACUACAACCUCUAAUGGGUUGCCUAGACCUAUGAACCGGUUGUGAACAAGUUAUCUAUUUAUAAGGAACCCAUGACUUAGAUCUUUUUUGAAACUUCUAAUGCACUUAAGUCACGUACAAUGCAAAGAUGCAUGCAAGAAUGCUUAUAAAGUAUGAUACAUGGAAUAAGGAUAUACAAAAGUGAAACUGUAAUACCAUUAAAUAAAUAAUGAAUUCCAAAUUUAUUACAUCAUGUUAUGAUUUUAAGGGCUCUAUCCUAACAACUUAAACUAUAGUAAAAAAAAAAAAAAAAUCAAACUUAUGCCAAAGAAAGAAUUUUUUUUUUUUUUGGCAAACUUCUUAAAUCGAGGAACAAACUCUUUGCAUUAAAGAAGUCAAAUUCGGAGAUUCUAAACUAAAAUUUCUAACUUCUCUAAAUGUAAGUGUUUUAUUUCUUUAGCAUGAGGUGUUCUAAAAAAGGAAGAUGCAACCCAGAAGCUAAAUCCAAAAUGAAGCUUCAAAAGUUAAGAUCAAACAUCAAACAUUCUUCAACAAGCCUAUGGACAAAUACCAAACACAAUACAAAAGUUUCGUUCAUCCACCUUCGAAGCCAAAGAAAACAAAUUCCUUCAAAACGCUCGAGGAAAUUAUUGAUAAGUUUACUUGAGAUCUAGUCAUCAAUGACCCUCGAUUAAACUUUGCUCCAAAAAUACGUGUUUACCAACCUUGGAUUGAAAUAAAGUCUAAGCUUGGCAUAUUGUUCAACAAGCCUAUGAAAGAAUAACAAACACAAUAUUAAAGUGUCAUUCAUCCACAUUCGAAGCCAAAGAAAACAAAGUCCUUCAUAACACUUGAGGAAAUUAUUGAUAAGUUUACCUGAGAUCAAGUCUUCAUUGACCCUCGAUAAACUUUGCUCCAAGAACACGUGUUUAUCACCCUUGGACUAAAAUCAAGUCUAAGCUUGACACAUUCUUCAACAAGUCUAUGGAAGAAUAUCAAAUACGAUACAAAAGUGUCAUUAAUCCACUUUCAUGGUUGAAAAUCAAGAUGAAUUUGAAAGACCUUAUUUUGUUCUUUAAAAUACUUAAGAAAGAUCUUUACAAGUUUAAUCGAGAAUAAAUUAUCUCUGAUUCUUAGUUAAACUUUAUUCUAAGAACAUGCAUUUAUCGCUCUUGGAUCAAAAUCAUUAUAAGUAAUGCUCUUGAAAGCACAAGCCUAAACUACAUGACGCUCCUAAUCUGCAUGAGCUUAAACUACUUACAAUGCCAAAAAAAGAAAAAAAAGUCUGCUAAGUUGAAAACCUAAAAAUGUGACUUAGGCAAGAGUUAAGACAUAUGUUUGUAAGAUCAAAUCUUUUUAAUUUUGGAAAAAGUUAGAGCAUAAAAAAAAAGUUCACUAAGUUAAAAACCUAAAAAGGUGACUCAAGUAAAAGUUAGGACAUAUGCUUGUAAGAUUAAAAUUUUAUUUUCGUUUUGGUCAAAGUUAGUGGGAAAAAAAAACUAUAUUUGACUUGAUCUCUUCUCUUGAAGGGUAUAUAAACAACUUAGGAAAACUACUUAAUUUUAGUCAUUAUAAAAAUAAAUCCUCCUUUUAUAAAUAAGUUUGGCUAGCAAAUGCUAGACUUAUUACAUUUUAAUAAAAAUGAAAGAAGAAAAUGAACGAUAAAACUAAUAACACAACAAUCAUACCCACACCAAGCAUGCAAGCCGUCAUGUUGAGUCCUUAAGGCUUCUUGAAGUGUCUCCAAGGUUUUAGCAUUGACAUCAAUAAGCAUAGGGGUUUGGACAAUAGCAACAUGUUCUUCCAUUAAACGAGAAAUGCCAUUUUGUUUAUUGGCUAGAUUCUCAUCGAUCUCUGAGAAUGAGUUAUGAAGUUGUUCCCUUUGUAUACCUAGUUGCUCCAACUCCUUCUUUAGUGUGUUUUGCUUAGCGUCAAGAGUAACUAAGUUACUUUUCAAUGAUUGAUGAUGUAUUGCCUCUACUCUCUCAAAGUUUAAAGCAUCAACAAUCUGAGAUGCAAUAGUAGCUAAAUGCUUGCUUUAUACUUCUAGUGAUAUCUUCGUAGACUUGACUUGUCGCACUACCUCAAGGUGAUCUACACCUACCAUGUACUUCUCAAUUUGAGACUUUAGUGGUGAAGGGUCUACUCCAAUCUUUACAAUAGCAUUGAGAAGCUCAUCAAUUUUUCCUUUCAGUAAUGGGAGACAUUCAUUAGAAGUUUUGAGAACCAUUUCUUUAAUACUCUCUCCUAUCAUACGUGUCAUUUGACGUUGCACAUCAAGGAUGAUUUGUUCCACAUCAAAUGUGUGAGCAAAAUUAAGAGGAGCCACAAGAAAGGUAUCGGGGCAUGGAGACUUUUGUCUAACAAUUAAACUUGCAAUGGUUAAAAGUGUCAAUUCAUUAUAUGUUGUAUUUUCAAAUGUGGCCUCUUAACCUUGAGAUUCAUUCAAAACAUCACUUGAGAUGUUAGUAAUGCUUUUAUCACCUAAAUGAGAAUGGGGUAAAGGUAAUGGAAUGAUAGAGUAAUCUUCUCAUCGGAUAGUUGAGUUGAAGGAUGUCGACCCCCCUUUAGUACUAUCAACAUUUUCAAAUUGGUCUUUAAAAGAAGUAUCAUCACCUUUAUUGAUAAACUGAUUAUCAUCUUCAACCUGAGACAAAAUAUUUGUGUUAGUACCAAUGUGUUAAUAAAAAAGGAACCUCUUCACUGCCAAGUUCCAUUAGUUGAGUAGAGGAUGAAACAUCAACAAAAAAGACAUCAGCGUCAAGUGGAUGAGAGUUAGUCUCAUCAUAGUACAUAGGAUUGGGUCUAGUCCUUCAGCAUUUAAAGUGACAUUCACUUAUAUCUUUGGAGUCAUUAUUUGAAACAUAGAGAACAUGUGCAUUGUUAUUGUGCUUAAAAGUCUGGUGAUAGUGACCAUUACCACCAUAAAAAAUAGUUCCCUCAUGCUCUAAGUGUGUGGAGACAUUAGCUUGGUGACCACCCAUUGAGCACUUAGAAAAAACCUUUGAGCCAUUAGGUAUAUCAUUAAAGUUCCCCCCGACAUUGUCCCUAACAUUCCUCUUAGUAGAAACACUUGAAUCUAUCUUGCGCAUUCUUCUCUCUAGAAACUUUGAGGGUAUUUCCUGAUAAGAAUAAGGAGGAGGUUCUAUACAAGCAGCAGUAAGAGUUUCCUUAUCAGAAUUGCAUACUCUGUUCCACUAAUCUACAUAAGCCUUGGUGACUGAGAACUUUUUAAUACUAUGACAAUAUGGUAUAGUAUCUCUAAAGUGGGUAGCAAGACUAGUGCAUGACUCCAAAUGUUGAUACACCUCCUCCAAAGUUCCAAAAUGAAAAACCAUUGGUCAACUCCCUGGAAUAUCUUGAGGAUACCCAAAUUGCUUGCAAAAUCGAUGGGGAUAAUAUAGUUGGAUUGCUCGAUGGUUACCUUGUUGAAAAUAUAAAUAGUUAGAGCAAAGACUUAUGAGAUAAGAAGCUUUGGUAAUAGUAAUAGAUUCAUUAUCAUUCUAAUACAUGCGUUUUUUUUUUCGUAAUGCCAAGUGGUCCAACUUUACAUCUUUGUAAGACAUUAUGAAAGUUUGCACUUGUGAAUUUUCAAAACACUAAACAUAAAACUCGCCAACAUAAUGAGUCAUCUAUGGGGAAUGGUUCCAAGAAGGAAAUAUGAAAUGGGUAUCAAAAUAUUUGCCUAGCCAUUCAUAUAAAUAAUAAAUGGGGAAGAUAGAUGCAUUAAUCUCAGGCUUUGAAGAACAAGUGAUUUCAUUCAAGCCAUUGUAAAUGCUUACUAAUACCAAAAAAACAAGACUAAAUAUUUGACCUUGAGUCAUUCUACUAGCUACCUUGAAGACUCUAGGGCGGAUCAAAGUGACACCCUUCCUAGGAAGAACAAACUUACAUAACUAAUAUGUAAAGAAAACAGCUAAAUAAGUUUUCUCAACAUCUUCCUCCACCAUACCAAGGUCGCUAAACACCUUCAUCUCCAACUGAGUACGACAUUCAAUAGGAUUGAUAUUCCGAGAAGGAUUAUGCAUCUUCUUAGUGUUAGGAACCUUGGAUUACUCCAUUCCCCUGCCCUGGAUUGUGUAGGGUGCAUGCAAAUCUAUCCUAGGCUUUCUAAAUCUAUCAUAGUAGAUAAACAAGUAUUACAAAAUAAUAAGGAUACCAUAUAAAACGUAGAUUUAAAGAAUGAAGCCACAUGCCUUUGAUUUGAAUGUUCUAGGAUCAAUACCAAUCGAUGUAGAUAACUCUAAAGUCGUAAUGGAUCUUGCAAACAUCAUGAUUUUCUACCCGAUGACACUUCCUUGUGCUUAGGCACUGAGAUGGUGAAGAUCUCAAGGAUAAAGGCUAAGGUUCUCUCUUUAGAUUGAAGGUGAGAAUGACAAGAUUUAGAAACACUAACCCUUAAAGGGGUAUUUAUAGAUUUCUUAUUAGGCUUAAGUGACUUAAGCCCACCAUAAGUUUGGGUUACUUAAUCUAGCCCUAAAAAGUUUCUAAUUGAUUAAUUAACCAUACAAGGCCUAAUUAAUCAAUUAGCAUAGUCCAGAGAUACCACUCACUUAUUCCUGUGCAACCUUACGUAAUUACCAAAAUGCCCUUAUGCACAAAAGUGAACUAAAAAGUCAUCCAACCCUCAUAAGUCGUGCCAACAAGGAAUAUGAGCUUAGAGUGGAAACCAUUGAGACCCAUAGGAGUAAUGACUCUCUCAAAAUCAAAUUAUGAAAUUGACUCAACAUUCGACUAUAGAGAGUCAAUUGCACUCUAGUAUUCUAUGUAUAUUACAAUGAGACACAAAGGGCUCAGGUCUGUUACUUACUAUCUACUGCAUGCAGACUUUCCAUGAACUGGUGUUCGUAAUAUAACAGGGUAGUGCUAUCACCUAUCAAGAUUACCUCUCAAAUGUUUGAGUUAUAGAUCCCACUUAUUGUGCGAUCAAUUAACAUAUUCUAACUCUAAGGAGCAUAUGUGAAAUUCCACUAAAGGAAUUACUAUGGCCCCAAAUUUCAUGAUCACAUGUCCUUUGGAUCACCUAAAGGGACACACUGUCUCAAUCUUAUGAGAUAUCAUGGUGCCUUUAUUGAGAAUACAUGUUGCCACCAACCUCCAUCAAUAAUGACCAAAUCCAUAGGGAUAUAUGACCACUUUAGGGUCUCACCCAUAAGUCAAAGCCAAAUGUUAAUUUUGGCAGAAACUUAAUAUCCUCUUAAGGUUGAGAGUCCAUGUAGUAUAGUAGUUUGGUGAAUCAUAACAAUUGAUAGCCUUGCAUCAUGAUUCAUCAUAGGUCUUGUUCAAUGUGCAUCACAUACACUCGGGCACUCACCAUGAGAAACUCAUCCCAAUAGGCAAGACAAGCCAUCCCUCCAAUUAGGAGGUGGUGCACUAUAGUCUCUAUUGGAUUGCCCAAAUUUAUGAACCAACUAUGGACAACUUAUCUACUUACAAGGAGCCCAUGACUUGUAUCUUCUUUGCAACUUCUAAUGCUCCCAAGUCAUGUACAAUGUAAGAGACAUGGACUGAAUGCUAAAAUCAAUGUCAAUAUACCAAAGGGAUAGUAAGGGGAUAGUUAACUCUAAUUUUGUUACAUCAUGUCUUGCUUUUUGGGGCUCAAUCUCAACACUUAAGCCUUUUUGUAUUGUUCCUUGUACUCUUAUUUAGGGGCUUUGCAUACUUUAUGGAACCUUUGUAGCAAAAUGAUACCCAGGAGGCUAUCUUAGCUAAAGAUUUUCCUUUCAUCUAAUAGCAAAUUCGAUGAUAUGCAAUAAACAAUUGUCAACAACUUGGUAGGAGUGAGGACUUUGCUAUAUCAAUAGAUAACUUUUCUACACUUGGUACCAUCUCAUCAUAAAAAGAUCCAAUGAUAGGUAGCCUAGCGAUGUGAUACAAGUCUCAAAGGGAGAUAGAAACCUCUCCAAUAGAAGUAUGCAAAGUGUUAGUGGUAGAACACCAAUGUUCCCAAAGGCACUAAAGACAGAAGCAUGAUGAUCAUAGCUAAAUAAGGAAACAAAAAUGGCUUCAUAAAGGUUGCAUCCCUUAAUAAAGUUUCCAUGUCGACCGAACACAUCCUAUACCCAUUCCCAAUAUCAUUCGAUAAAGAAAGAUUCCUUAAGCACCUUGAAAGAGCCUCCCCAUUCAACUUCUCUAUCAUGUAUAUGAGAGCUCAAUAAUCCAAAUUCAUCAUGAGUUUCAACAGUAGUUGAGUGAGAAGAAUUCAAUAAUAGAACAUCAGAAACAAGUUUCACUUUGUUGAAUUUUGAAUUACUAAUAUUUGUAAGCUUGCAAGAUGCUACUCGAGACCAAGAAGAAAUGUGUAAUGGAUUCUUUUUCAUUGGAACUGAGAAGGUUUGAAGGUCAGUGAACGAAUUUUGUAUUGACAACAUAGUUCCUUAUUCAAAAUCUUCACUAUCAUCAUCAAGAAUGGUCACUAACUUCUCUUUGAAACACUUGAAGAACACCAUCCUACAAAAAAAAAAAAAAAAACAACAAAAAAGGAAUAGAUAUGGGUAUAAUUCUUAAUUAAGAAGUUGAGCACCAUUAUACAUCCAAGAAGACCAAUUCCCAUGAGUGGAGACCUUAACACUUAAGCCACAUUAAGUACUAAAAGUACAACACAACACAACGUCAAGGCCAUAACUCGUUUGCAUAGGUGUUAAAUAUAAUUCUGGUUUUAAUUAAAUAUUAAAACUUGAAUGUCACUAUGCAUUCAAGUCAAACAAAUUCACAUGAGUGAGGACCUUAACACUUAAGCUACAUUAAAUGUCGAAAGUACAACACAACGUAGUGUCAAUUCUAUGACUUGUUUUCAUAGGUGUUAAAUACUAUUAUGGCUUUAAUUAAAUGCUAAAACUUGAAUACCACUAUGCAUUCAAGUCAAGCUAAUUCGCAUGAGUGAGGACCUUAGCACUUAAGUCGUAUUAAGUACCAAAAGUAUAACAACAUGCAAUGUCAAAGCCAUAACUUGUUUACAUAGGUGUUAAAUAUAAUUCUAGUUUUAAUUAAAUGUUAAAACUUGAAUACCACUAUGCAUUCAAGUCAAGCCAAUUCGCAUGAGUGAGGACCUUGGCACUUAAGCCACAUUAGGUGCCAAAAGUACAAUACUGGACAACAUCAAGGCCAUGACUUGUUGGUAUAGAUGUCAAGUAUAAUUCUGGUUUUAAUUAAAUGUUAAAACUUGAAUACCACUAUGCAUUCAACUCAAACAAAUUCACAUGGAUGAAGACUUUAACAUAUAAGUGUCGAAAAUACGACACCACUUCGCAUCAGGGCUAUUGUAGACCCUCUAUUUUGUUCUCUUAGCACAUGCACUAUUAAGUGCCUUUUUAGUACUCCGCAGUAGUCCCUAGUGGCCCAUUGACACUCAAAAAACUUCUUUUUUGAGAGCCAACUUAGGGAUUGAACCCAUAUUGUGACAUUGGCCACCCUUUGAGCUUAGGUUAGGCUUUACUUAGAUGUUUUUCUUAGGUUUAGUUUACAUAGGCAUCUUUUAGGAUAAAUUUCACUUGGACACUUUUAGCCUUAGGUGACUUUGUUGCUUUGUUUUAGUUCACUUAAUUUUUGGUAAGUUUUUAUUUUUGAAGUGUUUUUAGUAUAAAUUAUUUGACAUACGUAAGGAAAUUUUGGUAAGUUAUUUUUUUUAAAGUGACACUACAAGAAAUAGGACUUUUGGUGACGGUCGGGGACCGUCACCAAAUCUUAUAUAUUCGUGACCAAAACCUAUUGUCGCGGUCUUAUGAAACCGUGACCGAGCGUCAUAGUAUGAGGCGUAGCUAAAGGUAUUGGUCAUAGUUUCCUAAGUGAUCGUGAUCAUAUGAUUCCUUUUUUUGUGACGGCCAUACAAAAACUAUGACCAAAAAGUUAAGCGUACUUUGCUAUUGAUUAAGUUGAUUUAGUCACGGUCAGUAAUAAACCGUGACUAUAUGUUUAACCUAUAGUCAUGGUCAAAUAAUGAACAUGAUUAAAUGUACACUUAUAGUCACGGGUAAAGUUAUCAACUGUGACUAGAUGUAAGCUUAUGGUCAUGGUCAAGUAAGUUAUCGUGACUAAAUGUAAACUUAAUGGAUUAAUGUAAUCUUAUGGUCACAGUCAAUGCCCUAACCGUGACUAAAUGUGUGUUUAUAGUCACAGUUAAUAAAAUGAGUGACUAAAUGUAACCUUAUGGUUACGAUCAAUGCCCUAACCCUGACUAAAUGUAUGUUUAUAGUCACGGUUAAUAAAAUGAUUGUGACUAAGUGUAAUCUUAUGGUCAUGGUCAAUGCCCUAACCGUGACUAAAUGGGUCGUAUGGUCACAGUCAAUUCAUUAAUCGUGACUAAAUAUAGGUAUAUGGUCACGAUAAUUAAGUGACCAUGACUAAUAAUUAGGUCUAUUAUGACAAAAUGUCCACUUAUGGUCAUGACUAUUAAUGGCUGUGACUGAAAUUAAUCAUGUGAUGGCCACCUUAUCCCCAAAUUUUGGUGAUGGUUCAUUAUUGAUCGUGACUAAAAGUACACUUAUGAUCACAAUUUUUUAGUGGUCGUUACUAAAAUUUGUUAUAUUUUGGACAUUGGUUUUUUAUAAAUUCAAAUUUCCCAAACCUGUUAUAAACCCAAACAAACCCAUUUUAGACCUGUAUAUGCAUUUAAGCAAUUUAAAAAAAUUUCAAUAUAUUACAAUCAAUUAUUCCAAGCUAGUUAAAAACUUAUAUAUCAAUAUAAGUCAUUAAAUAAAAAAAAACAUAAUAUAACAAAAAAAAACAAACAAACAAAAAACAAAGAGAUUCAAAUUUAGUUUCACAUUCUAACAUAAUAUAACAAAUCAACCAACCAAACAUCACAUAAUAGUAUAGAAAGCAAAAAAAGUUAGGAGAAUCUAUUAUAUAAAUAAGUAGCAUAAUCUUCAAAAAAGUUAAGAGACUAUCAUAUAAAGAUGUAGCAAAAUCUUCAAAUUUCUCCUGCUUUUGCUGAAAUUGUUGCAUCAUUUGCAUCAUCUGUUCUUGAAUUUGUGCUUGCAUUUUUCUUUGCAUUUCCAUCAUUUUUUCUUCAAACUCUUCUUUCACUUCUUCUCGUGUCUUCCUUUGAACUUCUAUCAACCUCUCUUCAAAUGUUUCUUUCACAUGUGAGAGUUCAUCUUUCACAAUUGAGAGUUCUUUAGUUCUAGUUGUAAACUUUUGUUCUGUAGCUAUUAGCAUCUCUUGGGCGUUUUCAAGUUGUGUUGAAAGAAUAGCUCCUGAUCGCCUUUUACUAGUAGAACCAAAGACUAAGGUAGGAGUAAGACCAAAUCAAUACCCUCGAACACAACCAUGCCUCUCUGGACCCAUGACUUGAGUAUAUAUCUCAUCUACAUAUGUAAAUGCUACAGAUGUAGAUGCUCCAGAUGAUGUAGAAGUAGAAGAAGAUAUCCCCUUAGGUUGGGAUAGUAAUUGCUGAAAUUGAUCUUGGAAUUAUAAAAAACAAAAAAAAAAAAAAAACAAAAAAUUGUUAGACUUUUAAAAUAAUUUAGUAUGAGGCUAUGAUUGAAAUAUAAGUAUAUAAAAUUUAUUUACUUCAUUACCAUAAUCUCCUUAGAAUGAUCAUCAACAGGCGUCCCAUCUUUUCUUGUGUGUGUCAGGGCAAACAUCUCAAUUCUAUUGGGCUUACUUCGAUCCUCCUUCUUUGGUGCCUAUUCUUACAAGUAAAACAAUUGAGUUAUUUAUGAUGAAUUAUUUAUGUACAAACAAAUCAUAUUAAUAAUAAAUUUCUAACCUGUUCAUAUCGAAUUUGAGCAUAAAUUUUUUAUCCCGAUGUAUGCUUUAUCACUUGCUUUGCCCUAUUUGCCUUGUUUUUUUUUUUUUUUUUUUUUUUUUUUUGAGAUAUCCUACAUCAAUUAAAAAAUAGCAAGUCACCUAUAUAGGUAAUAGAAAUAUAAUAAAAUUUAUAUACAUGAAGUAUUAGGUCAGAUAUAACUAAUAAAUAUCAUUUUACGUGAAUAUGAGUAUCAUAAGAUACAUUAUCAAGAAAAGAUAAUUAAUCUUUACCUUGGCCUCAGGUGUACCCCAAAAGUGGAUGAGCCAACUCCAGUCAUCAUCCGACAAGUGUGGAGGUCGAUGACACAAUCUCUCCUCAUUUGUAUUAUAAGGGUUAUAAUACUUGGCCUUCAUUUUAUUUCUAUAGUUUCUAAACAAAAUUCCACAACAUUGAAGAAUGUAGCUCUUACAUGUUUCUUCUAGUUCAUAUUUUUCCUGUAUUGCAUUAAAAUGUCAUGUAUAAAUAAGAGGUAUUAUUUUUAAACAAUAACAUUACAAUUUAAAUUGAAUAGUAACUAGCAUAUACCAAUACUAAGGCCUAAAUCUUUUCCUUCACAUCUUCACUAACAUGAUUCCAAUCUUGAAUUUGGAUGGGUACAUUGUGUUGAGAUCGCACCAAUGUUCCCAUAUAGCUUGAUAAUCUUUCCCCUUUUCCAUCAUAAACAACUUGCCCUCUGGUAUUGAAUCGUGUAGUUUUUUUUUUCCCCGGGUUUCAUACUAAGUAAAUCUAAGUUACAUGUUGGGCCACGUGUCCUCUUUUUGCUAGAAGAUGAACCUAUUAAGAGUAAUAAUGAAAUUAAAAGAAACAUAAUUUACUUAUCUUAUAUAAUUUUAAACAUUAAAAACCUAUCAUUCAAGAAAUUAAACAUAUGUAAACACAUCUAUCAUAUGUAAAGUUAAACAUAAUCUUCUUAAUCAUACCAACAACAAAAGGAUCUGAAGGAUCUGAAGGAUCUGAAGAAUCAGAAGAAUUAGAACUACUAGGAGUAGUAGUUGCAGCAGGUUGUAUGUCUAAGAGUUGUUGUAGAUUGUCCAACUCAUGUUCUGGAGACACUAUUUGUACUCUUCCUCUUCGAAGUGACAUUUCCUACAUAAUAAAGUAAAUUAGAAAAAGUAAUACAAAAUAAGUUACAUAAAUAAUAUGAAAUAAAUUACAAUUUGUAUAUCUAGUAAAUAUAUAUGUAUGUACUUACCAAUAUUAUUAGCUACACAUCAUCUAUAUCAUCAUGAAUGAAUUCAUUAUCUCUUUCAACAAUGUUUUCUUAUCGUGAUAGUAGAACAUCCGUUUGGCUAGUUUCUCUUGCAAUAUCAUUUCUAUCCCAAUUGAUUAAACCAUUCUCGACCAACUCAUGCACAUCACGUUGACUAUGAAGUGUUAUAAGUUGUUGAUAUGGCUCUAGAUCAUUAGUAGAUACUUUCUGAUUCAUAUCAUAAACCCCUCGAGUUUGUAUCUCUACAACGGUGUGCCAAUUUUCCUCAUUUGAAUUUUGAACAUAGAAGACUUGUUUUGCUUGAGAUGCAAUCACAAAUGGUUCAUCUAUGCAUAUGGUACGUUCAAAAUUCAAACACGUGAACUCAUAUUCAUCCUUCUUUAUUCCUCUUCCACUAUUGAUUACAUCCCACCAGUCACACUUGAAUAAAAUAACUCUAUUUCCACCAAGGUAAUGUAACUCAAUUACAUCAGUUAGCACACCAUAGUAAGAAACAUGACCAGGAAUUGGGUUCUUAUCUCUUGCACUUGCAAAGCUUGAUACCUCUGCAAUCACAACAACUCCACUAUUUUGAGUUUUUUUCCCUUUUCUCGUUCUCUUGUGUGAAAUCUGAACCCAUUAAUGAUGUAUCCUCUAUAACAUGUAACUGAUGUACUUGGUCCACUAGACAAUGAUAAUAUGUGUUUAGAAAUUGGACCUUCAUGUCGCAUUUGUAUAAUCUAUAGAUUCAAAUAUAAGAUGUUAAUACAUACAUGUGUAUUAGAUAAUAGAACAAUUUAUGUAGUGAAUGAACUUACAUGUUCUUCAAACCAACUAAUGAAUUCUCUUGUGUGAAUCAAAUAUACAUCUCGUGCACGAAUACGAGGCUUAACCCUUAUAGAUUGCUUAUGCUCUCUGACAAAAAAGAAAAAAUUAAUUAUAAUGCUCACAAAGACCAAAAUUAAAUUUUUGUAUGAGAAUUAAUAUAAAGUUUUAUUCAAAUAAGUGUCUUACUCAAUAAAUGACGUCACUUCCUCACAAUUAGUCAACACAUAUAAAUGUGCUUGGGACCAUUCUUCCGUGCUAAGAACACGAGAUGUUGACUUUCCUAUUGUACGUCCCAUGCAUUUGAAAAUGGUUAACCCUCCACCAUUUGUUAUGUUAUUUUCAAUGACAUAAUUUCUUUCUUCACGGUCAUGCUUCGUUUCAACAUCAUGCAAAUAUCUUGAACAAAAGGUUGUGCAUUCUUCUACUAUGUACCCCUUUGCAAUAGAACCUUCUGGACGACUCUUAUUACGGACAUAAGACUUUAAUGUAUGUAAAUACCUGUUAUUCCACAACAUGAUAGAUUUGUUUCAUGAACUAUACGAAACCUAAUAUACAUAAGAUUAAUUGAAUGAGAACAUACCACUCAAUAGGAUACAUCCAUCGAUAUUGCACUAGUUCAGCGACCUUUGCCUCACUUGCAAGAUGAAUAGGUAAAUGCACCAUAACAUCCAAGAAUGAUGGAGGAAAUAUUCUUUCUAAUUUGCAAAGUGUGACUAUUAUGUCAUUCUCAAGGUGCUCUAAUUGAUUAGUUUUCAACACUUUAGAACACAACUGUUUAAAGAAACUACAUAGUUAAACUAUAACAGCACAAACAUUCUUAUGUAGAACUCCUCAAAUUGCAAGUGGAAGGAGUUGUUGCAUGAGAACAUGACAAUCAUGAGACUUCAACCCAAAUUUAUAAUAUAUUUAUUUGUAAGAUAUUUUUAUCAAAUUAAAAUAAUAAAUUAAUUUUUUUAUAAUUUUAUUUAAUAUUAUCAAGUAGAAGGAUAUUUUAAGAAAUAAUUAUAUGACUUAUAAAAAAGUAAAUAUAUUUAAAAAUAAUUAAACGAAUAAAGAUAAAAUUAAUUUAUAAAAAUUGAGAUUUUUUAAUAUAUAUUUUUAUAUUAGUAAGUCAAAACUCACUUUUUCUAAAAAGAUUUUAUAUGAAAAUUUUUGAAAAAUGAAAAUUUAAUACAUUUUCUAUUAUCUUUUUUAAAAUAAAAUAUCUUGCAUUAAAAAAUAUGGAUUUAUUUUAUAUCUUUAAGAAGUAAAAGAUCUUGUACAAAUUUAUCUUUAAUCUUUAAAAAUUAUUUUUUAAAAAAUUUAAAUUUAAGUCAUUUUUGUACUUUUCUCAAAUAGUUUUUAAAAUCACAUGUUUCUUAAUGUAAUUAAUAUUAUUUUCUAAUUUUAAAAAAGGAAAAAAAACAAAAAAUAUAUUCAAAUAAGACAAUAAAAUAUUAUUUUUUAUAUUUUGAAAAUAUAAGUACUUUAAUGAUGAAAAUAUUGAAGAAGCAAUUGAAAUUAAAGUAAACAUGUUAUUUUCUUUCUUUAUGAAAGCCUAUUUUCCAUUUUAGUUGCCAAUAGAUUAAUCUUAUCUACUUAUCUUAUUUGGAUUCCAAGUCACAAUUUCAUUAUAAUUAGAAAUGAAUUGAAGUCCUUCUCAUUAACUCCUAUUCCAAUGCUUUUAAUUUUCAACCAUUUCACAUUAUUUUUAUUUAUUUUAUCCAUUAAAUAUUUGCAAAUUUAAAAACUAGAUACAAUAUCAUACUAUACCUUUUAAUGCAUCAAAUCAAAUGUUGUUACCAUAAACCUAUACAUGAAUAUCAUCAGAAGCAUUCAAAAAGUCCUCCUGAAUUUCAAUUAAACCUAAAAUUUUGGUUGACUAGAACUCCUAUAUUAUAUAUAAAUAACAAAUAAUAAAAGAUAAAAGCCUAAUCUCAAAUGAGAAGGGAAGCAAUUAUGAAGAAAAUUCCCAAAUUCAUUAGUGCUUGAGCAUUUAAAUCCAUUUUCAUCACAAUUGCAGUUCAUAACAAUUGAGGAAACAAUUCAAACCUUGUAGAAAGAAGUCAUAGAUCUAGAAACAAUUCACACAAAACCAGAAAAAUGGAAUGAAAACAAGACAGUGAACGGAGAUUAAGAUGAGAAUCAAACCCUACCUCGCUGGAGAGAAUUGUGGAGAUCCGACUUUGAGGAGAUCGAGUAGAAAUUCUAGAGGGCGAAGAUAGAUUUGAAUCAAGGGUUCUGUUUCUCUGCGCUUCCAGUUUUGGAUCCUUCAAAAAUUAUAUACCAUUAUCAUCAUUUUGGACCUGGUUGGGUAGUCUUAUGCAAGGAUUGAAAUGUCGAAAAAUUUCGGUGAUAUCUAUCGGUCGACGGAAAUUUCAGUAAUUUUUACAGUGGGGGGGGGGGGGGGGGGGGGGGGGGGUUUUGAAAAACAAAAAUAGACUUCCCUUUUAGGUCCCACUCCCUUCCCCACCAAAAAAAAACCCAAAAAAAACUUUUUUUUUUCCCCCCAAACCCCCCCAUUUUUUUUUUAUUAAAAAGGAAAACAAAAUUUUUCCCAUUUUCUUUUUCCCCACUUUUCCAAAAAAAAAAAAAGGGGGAAAAAGAAAAAAAAAAAAAANNNNNNNNNNNNNNNNNNNNNNNNNNNNNNNNNNNNNNNNNNNNNNNNNNNNNNNNNNNNNNNNNNNNNNNNNNNNNNNNNNNNNNNNNNNNNNNNNNNNGAUAUCGAAAUUGAACUUCCAUUUGAGUCUCAUCUUCCUUCCCAACCAAAUAGAAACCUAAUAAAACCAUUUGGUUUCAUCCACAAGCUCUCCGAUUUUUUUUUAAUUAAUAUGAGAAUCAGAAUUUUCCACUAUUCUCUUGUCCACAGUUUCCUAAGAAAGCAAAGAGCGGGAAAAGGAAAAGACAAAGAGAGAGAGAGAGGAGGAAGAGGAGGCUUACACUUUGAUUCUCGGGAGAAACACUAGAUUUUCGGGCCAUGGGGGAUGACACAAUGUUCAAAUGAGGCCUCUUCUUCUCUGGUUUUUCAGAUGAAUCUGCGUUUUCAAUUAGGCUCCUCCAAUCAACACCACCAUGAGAAAACGUAGCUCUACCUCUGCGAAACCCUAGAGAGAGAUGGAGAAAGAGUAUUUAAACGAUGUCGGUUUGUUGCUCUUUCUCUUCAUUAUCAAAACGACGCUUAUGGUACAAUUUCGCCGAUAAAGUAGUAUUUAAUAAUUUAAAGUAAUUUAAUAAUUUAAUAAUUUAAUUUAAAUUAUCAAGUAAAUUAAAUAUGUUUGGUAAAAUGAUUUAAUAGUAUAAUUUAAAAUAAAAAAUAAUUUUAAGUAAUAAAUGAAAAUAAUUUAACAAAAAUUGGAAAAUAUGAUCAAAAUAUUUUAUAAUUUUUUAAAAUAUGCUUAUGUCUGUCAAUUAUAUAAUAUGCUAUCAUCAUUAUUAUAAUCCAAUUUCAUUAAAUUUCUAAAUUAUAAGAUUUGAUCAAUAAACUAUAGUCUAUACCCAUUAAAAAAAUAAAUGUAUAGAUCUAGAGUUGGUCUACUGUAGUCAAAGUUUUGAGAGUGGGUCCAUUGCGGGACACCGUCAUAAAAAUCAGUCCAUAUUCCACCAUGAAAAGUCUUGAUAUUCCACUGUUGUGGGUCAGAUUUAUUUAUAGAAUAUAGGGUAUGAUCUGUAGAUUUGGAUGAAGAUUGGGCAUUUAAUGGGAUGUGGAUUGAAAGAUGGUAGAUUAAAAAGUUUUUUUUUUUUUAAUUUGGUAGCAAAUAUUUUUUUAAACAAAAUUUUUUAUCUGAUUGGCGAAUUUAUAUCCAACUGCCACAUUGAGAUGGAGGUAGAGGUGGAUGGAAAAAUAUUUACUCCUGUUGCAGGGCACCAACCACCUCAAGUUGAAAAUUUAAAUUGCUUUUAGGCUUUUACUGGUAUUUAUAUUCCAAGUGUUUUAAGUGGUUUUCCUUGAAAUUGUUUAAGGAGAUUCCUUUUUCGGUGUUUUUAAAAAGUGUUUAUAGCUCUAAAAAUACGUGUUUGAUAAUAUUUUAAAAAAUAAUUUAGAAAAUUUUAAUAAAUAAUUGAAGUGUUUUUCAGAGAAGUAGUUGUAGGUGAUUUUCUAAUAUUACAAAGGGAUUUUUUAAACUUUAAAAAAUAUUUUUAAAAUUUUAUCAAAUACUAAAAGUUUGUUUGACAAUUAUUUUAGAAAAUAUUUUAAAUUUUUAUAAUACUUAUAAAUUUUUAUAAUUAAAAUAUUAUAAAAAUUAUAAAACAUUUAUUAAAAUUACUAUCAAAAAUACUUUUAAAAUACGUUUAUUAGUGUUAUUUAAUUGAGAUAAAAUAAAUAAAAAUGUUUUUCAAACAAACCAUUAAAGAAUUAAAUUAAAAAUAAAAAUAAAAAUUGUUCAACUUGAUUUUAUUUUCCAUGAAUAUGCUAUUUUAAUUACCUACCAUAUUUUUUUCAAUCUUUUUAUCUUUUUAUAUUUCCUUUGCAUUUCCUUCCUGUUUUGUCACCUAUAUAUCAACUUUUUCUUAUUCCUUCCUUAUUUUUCUUCUUAUUCCUUUCUUAUUUUCCUUCUGUAAGAUACCUCAUAUAGAUACCAAAGUAGAAUUCUAAUAAACUUCAAUAAAUUUCUUUGAUAAUGUAUGUUUAAUUUAAAUUUGUUAAGGUUUAUCAUUAAAAAAAAUAAUUCUAACUAUUUUAUUUUAAAUUAUAUUUAAUUGAUUAAUAAAAAUAUAAAAAUUAAUAUUAUAAUUUUUAUUUAUUUAUUGCUUUAUUAUAUUUUUCCUUUCCCCUUUUCAAGUUUUCCAUGAUAUAUAAUAAUAAAAUUUUAUUAUUUAUUCAAAGAAAAAUAAAUAAAAUAAGUUUAAAAAAUAUAUAAAAUAAUUUUUUUAUAUUAAAUGUAUUUAUAAAUUUAUAUUAUAAAUUUUAAAAAUACAUUUUAUGGUAACAUAGUAAUUUCUUUCUUAACUUAAAAUAAUAAUAAUAAUAAUAAUAAUAAUAAUAAUAAUAAUAAUAAUAAUAAUAAUAUAACUUUAAACUUUUUAUAAUUAAUAAGAACUGUUAUUAUUACUAUUAAUGAUAAUUUCUAUGGUAUAUAAUAUUUUCUAAAAAAAUUAUAAUAGGUAACCCAAAAAGGUUUAAAAUAAAUAAUAGACUUUGGUCACGAUUGUGUCAAUCCCGUGAUCAUAGGUUCAAAAUAUUUAAAAUAAACCUUUAUGCAUUUGGUCACAGUCAAUAUGAAAUUUGUGACUAUAAGUUCCCAUAUAUAUAGUCACGAUUAAUCAAUGGCGUGACUAAAAGUCACAAAAUAUAUAUAUAGUGAUGGUUUCACAAAAAACCGUAACUAAAACAUCAUUUGUUAUACUUUUUGUCACAAAUUAUAAAAUUAUCGUGACUAAAAUUAUUGGCGCCAAAAUUUCCCACCCUAAAUUUACAAAUAGUCAUGGUUUCAAAUAAAUCUGUCACUAAAAUACCCUCUCAUCAAUGCUUUUGGUGACGAAUGGUAAAAUCACCGUGACUAAAUAUGUUUUUUUCCCACCCUAGAUUUAUUAACAUAUAUAGUCACAAUUUUACCACGGCCGUGACAAAAUAAUACCUUUGGUCAUGAUAUUUGUGGCCGUGACUAAAAGUUUGUCAUCAAAAACCUAUUUUUUUGUAGUGUGAUUUCAAUUUAAAUUUUUAAUGUUAUGUAGGUAAAUAGUUUUGGAAAUUAUUUUUCAAAAAAAAAACCCUUUAAUGAAGAUUUUAAUGGUAAAUGGAAUGGUUAUUUAAAAAAAAUGUUUAUGGAAAGGUUGAAUUUAUUUUUAAAGUGGAAAAUCAUUAGGAAAGUGGAGGAAGACACUUAAUAUUGGAGAUCCGAGAUUGGAAUUUUGAGAAAGGAAGGUGACGACUACUUCAUCCACAUAUGGGCUGCAUUGAAAGGAAUUUUAUGGGAUCCUCAGGCAGAUGUAAAUGGAGGAGGCUGCCAUAUAAAUUAAAAAAUGUAUUGAGGACCAUUAAAAAAAGGAAGGACCGACUGGGACUUGGAGAUAUGAAAAGAGUUUUAAACUGCAUGGAAAAGGAGUAGGCUGGAUCUGAAAAAGAGACAUUAAGGAAGCCUUCAAAAGGAAGUAUUCUAAUUAAGAAGUGAGGAAAUGAGAUGACGCUUAAAAAUGAAGAAACGGAGGAAAAAGAAAGACUGGCAGGGAUCUGAAGGAUCUUCCAAGCAUCAAUAGGCACCAUGAGAAGUGAGAGAAUGCCAUCAAAUUUUUCCUUAAAUAAUGGUGUGCAUAAGAUUUGAGACGUGAUUUUCUCUUGAAAAUUGAAGAUGUGAUCUUGGAAGAGGAAAAAAAUAAAAAGAGAAAUCAAGAAGAGAGAGAAAACCAAAAACAAAAGGCAAACCAAAAGGAAAAUAAGGGAGAUGAUGUUUGAAAGAGAAAUGAGGACUAGUCAUUUUAUCAGCUAUAGGAAGGGAUACAACUUACUUGAAGCCUGGUCAACACGGUUUGGAGAAGUUGUUAUUGGUAUGGCUAUCAUAAGUUUUUUGUUCAUUCCAAUUAUCAUGCAUUCUUUUUCUCUUUUCUGUCAAUCUUCUGAUGUCAUUUUUUGUUUGGUGUGGACAUUAAGGGUCACAGGAAGGUUUCGCUGAAACUUGUUAUUUGCAUGUUCGCUUUGUUUUUGGUUUUCCUUUUUCUUAUUCUGAUAUCUUUGAACUUGAUGCAUAAGAAUCACACUUCUGCCCACUGUUUCUUUCACUUGUUUCUAGUUAUUUGAUUAAAACAUAAAGAGGGACCUCAUUCAGUAGUUUGCUUGCUUGCUUGGUCCAUCUUGGGUUAUAGUCUAUUUUUUGUUUGUGCUUUUCUCACUCUGUAUGUGGAGGCCAUGGGUGAAAAUUUUAAAUCCAUUAGGAGGGGAGCACACUCAAGUAUGAUUGCGACGAAUUCGCUGUUAUUUUUCAUUAUCAUGUAGUUCUUCAUUUUCUUUUGCCAUUUAUGGGUAUUGUUUCUAUGGUUUGGAUGUAGAUAUCCUGCAUGCUUGAUUUUAAUGGCUAUGUUUGUUGAAUAUGGUGGUUAGAUAUUAUGGAAAUUCAAGUGGAUAGUUGCUGAAAUUUUCAUGAAGAUCAUUACCGAAAUUCAAGUGAUUAUUUGUUGAAUUUUUAAUGAAAAUCAUGGCUGAAAUUCAAGUGGAGAUUUGCUAAGUUUUAAAUAAUGUAAUUGGCUAAAAUUCAAGGUUGGACAUGGAGAUUUAAGGCUGAAAUUCAUGCCACAUUGGUGAGUUUUAAUGGAGAAAGUGGCAGCAUGUGUGAAGUUUGUGGCUCAAAUAUCAAUGGAGUGAGUCUUCGAUGGAUAAAUGAGGAUAUAAGGUUGCAUAGGAGUGUUGAAUCUCAGGGCUGAAUUUGUGGCUGUGGAUAGAAGAUUUUUAAUGGCUGAAAAUUUGGUGAAGGACCAUUAAUAAGUGAGCUGAAAAUUAUGGCUGAAAGUUUGCUUUAAUUCAAGUGGAAAUAUAACUGAAUUUUAAUACCUGAACAUGCAACUAUUAAUGGAGGUGUAAGAGGCUGAUUUUAAUGGCUGAAUAUGCAGCUGUUAAUAGAGCUUUGUGCAGUUGAAUCAUGGAAAAUUUAAUGGCUGAAAGUAGCAAUCGUGUAAUGGAUUAAAGGGACCACACAAUGCAUGAGAUGAAUUAAUGCUAUAAUGUAUGAUUAGUGGCUGAAGUUUAAGUGGCUGCAUAUAGGGGAUUUCAAUGGCUAGAAAUUCAAUAGAAAUGAAGACUUUACGGGUUGCAUAACGAAGAUGAGUUGAACACAACUUGGAGAACAUCAAGGCAUUAAUCGAAAUUUGGACACCUUGAGAUGAAUUAUUUAAUUGUCCUAAUUCUAAUUUAAUUUUUCAUAUCUUCUUCUUUAUUUAUUUCUUUUGAUCUCAUUAUUUUCUUUUGAAUGCAUUAUAAUAGGUUGGGUGUGGACAAAUCGGGCCACACAUGAGUAUUAUUAGAUUUGACAUUUAGGAAUUUGUUUGAUUGAAUGUUGAUUGUUUGAUAAAUAAUGAUUGAGAUUGAGUUAAUUUUUCUUCAAACUCCUUUAUUUGAAUAAGCCAUUGGAAAAUAGCAUGACAAUUGGCUUUGAAUAAAUGCAUUAAUUGGAUUUCAUGCCUCCUUGAUUUUUCGUUUUCAAUUAAUGCUAGUUUUCAGCUUACCUAUCACAAUUCACAUACGUCUCACACCAAUAGAUGAUUACUUGUCUAGGCUUGAUUAGGCACACUAGAGAAUUCACAUAUACACACACACUCUUUCUUGAUAGUUUACGUUUGAGAUUCUAUGUGUUUUAAUAUUUUUUUAAAUUGUUUUCACUUUUUUUUAUUUUUAUAUAGCCAAAUUAAUCUUCUAACUUCAUUUUAAAAUUAAUCCUUAAUGAAUUAGGUAAAGAAAGGUCAAUUUUCCAAAAUUCAUGCAACCGAUUUUAUUUGGUAUGCAUAUUUGAAAAAAGUUUUAAAAUGAAUUUUUCUCCAUCAUGAAUUUGGCUCCUUGAACCCAAAUGAAAGGUAGCCAAAAGGGUGAUCCAAGUUGAUAUUUUCUUGUUUUCAAUUUCUUUUAAGAAAGAAAUAAAAAAUACUUAUUUUGUGUAGAUUGAGAUUUAUCAAAUCACUUGGUUUCUUUUUUUGCUCCCUCUAAAAUCGUUUUCAAAAGUAUUCAUUAUAGGUUUAGGCAAAGAACACAUUUUCUCUUAAAAUUAUGCAACUCAUUUCAAUCUAAGUUGCAUUUUUCUUUGUUGGCUUUCAAAAUUUUGUUUUUAUUCACAUAAGUUUGAACUUGUGCUCCCAAGCUAAUGGGAAUGUACAAGUUAAACUUAUGGAUAUUGAAUGGGGACUUGAUGGAACCCCUAUAUGAAAGAUCUUUUCAAAACUUAUCUUUGUUGCCACUUUUGUUACUUGUUGUAAUCAUAACCAUCAAUUUUUUAGGAAUUCUAUGCAAGUUGUAUGUGAUAAUUGAUAAUUUUGUAUACUAUGAUCAUUUUUGCUAUGCUAUUUAGAUACCAAGUAUGUUAAGAGUUUCUUUCUUUUAUUAUUUAUUACUAUAAUUUUGAUCUAACCCUCCAUGUCUUGUGGAAGCAUGUUAUAAGUUAUCUAUGCUAUUCAGGUAUGCUCUCUAUCCUCCACUCUCAAAAUUCCAUGAAUAUGCAUGUCAAUGUAAACUAUGCCCAUGUUUGAUACUGUCCUUAGGUAGCUCGAUGUUUGAUUGAUUUUCUCUGAUAAAAAGCAAAUUGAAUAUUUGAGCUCACUUUGAUGAUUUUAUGAUAGCGCUUAAGUUAUGGUUCAAAUACAUAUACUAUCAUUCCUUUAUGAUUGUGUUUUGAAUUCUUCUUUGGCAUGCUAGAGGGGUGUUAUUUCUUCAGAGGUACAUUUCCAAUAGGUAACCUGAUCCCUAAACCCAAACUUAGGUUUUCAUAGACAAAUUUUCCAAGUUAGGAGUCAUUUUUAGGGUUUUUUUUACUUGAUUUUCCUUUUAAAAACAAAUAAAAGUAAGUGUUGACUCCAAUAUUUUAUAAAAUACAUUUUUUUUUCUCCUUAAAUAAAAACGAGUCUUGCCUUCGAGUAGGAACACACGUGAAAAUUGUGGGUCCACCAGCUACAACUUGAUUACAUGAAAGUCAAACUUUAAAUGUUCAUUUUUUAUGGAUAUUUAAAUUUGUUAAAAUCCCCUCUCAAGUAUUAAGGAGAUUUUUUUUUAAAAGUUACUUGAAAGUGAACUCAUCUCUGGAAAUGAUGGAGAUUGACACAUGUUUAGGAAUGGUGAGUCUUUUCCUUCCUAACAAAAAAAAAAAAAAAGGGUUUGAAAAAAAAAACAAAACAAAACAAAAAGUUAUGUGUAAGAAUAUAUAUAUUUUUAUGGAAGCCUCCUGUUGUUGCUCCACUCAUUCGCUAAGGCACGUCACUUUUCAAGGAAAAUUAUGGAAUGUGAUUUCUGUUGUUCUCUAAAAGAAUAUAUAGGAGCCAUGCCACUCCAUGACAUGAUCUUACUCCAUGUGUCUCUGCUAUGGCUCCACGCCACUAUUGCUAAACCAAUUUACUACUACUCCAUGACAUGACCUCGAUACGGUGCAAUAUGACUUUCAAUAUAUAUAUAUAUAUAUAUGCGUCUCUACUAUGGCUCCAUGCCACUAUUGCCAAACACUCUACUACUACUCCAUGACAUGAUCUUGAUACGGUGCAACAUGAUUUUCAAUAUAUAUUGAAGAAAGAAAAGAAAGAAGAAGAAAAUAUAACUUACAAGUUCUGAAAUAGACUCAAGGUAGAAGAUCAUCCAAAAUUGAAAGGGGUCUUUGAGAGAGUUCUAGUUGGGUUUCUCAAAAUUUUGUCAUUUUUAUAUAAAAAAAAAAACAGGGAGGAUAAAUUGGAAGAAAAAAGGCCUACAAAAAAAAGGGAAGGUGGAUAUUCAAAUUAGAAACUUUUAUGUUAAUACAAAAUCUUCCUUUGAUAGGAAGUUAAAAGAUGGGAAGAAAACUAAAUAGUAUUCCAAAAAAGUGGGAAAAAGAUAUUUUAAAAAAGGAAACUUCCUAUUAAAAUGUUUCUUUAGAUUUGUUUUUUUGUUUUUUUUUUUUUUGAAGAAUGAAGGGUAACUUCAAGACCACCUCGUAUACAUUGCAAGGCAUGCAUGUGAUAUGUCUUGAAGUGGGGGCAUUUGUAGACAUCAAGAUUUUUAGUGAAAUAAAUUAUCACUAAAUUGUUCUUCAAAAAAAAAAAUGAGGCUCCCUAAUUUGACAAAAUUUGGGAUCGACAAGUGAUAGGUCCUACACACAUUUGACGCAUGACAUGAAUUUAAAAGGUGACACAUGAUGAAAUUUGGAACACUACAGAAUUUAAUCUUCCAAAUAAAAUUAAAUCUUUCAAUUGCAAUCAACGGAGAAUUAAAAAUUUUCCUUAAUAGAGAAGACAAAUUGCUAAUAUCAAGGAACAAAAUUCUUUGAAUGAAACAACUAAAUCUUGGGGAAUUCCAAAAUUUAAUUCCCCAAUUUCACCUAUAAAUAGGAGUGACUUCCUUAAAUGAGUAUACUUCUUUGAAUCGAAAAAAACUACUCUACACAUGAAAAAAGGCUUCACAAAUGACAGAAGUACUACACAUGUGAUCUUCAUCUUUCAAUGAGUUCAUUCAGUAACAAGCCACUUGUGGCCCUCAAUUGACCUCUAAAAUCAAGGAAAAUUUUUCAUUGUCGUCUUCCAAAUUGUGAUCAAGGUGAAAAAAUCAGCUGGAUAUAUUGUUUUAUAGAAGAAUAUUCCCACAAAGAUUGUGCCUUACAAUUUAUCAAUUUUAAUAAAAAAUUUUGUUUUGCAUUAUUUUUCCUAUUGCUUUGUGUACAUUGUAGGACUUUUACGAAAAUUGUGCAUGCAAUUCUAUCUUAGUUUUUGUAUUUAAUAGAUUAUGUUCAUAUUUAAUUAGAAAGUUUAAUUUAACUUUGAGAAUGCAUGGUAGUUUCAUGGUUACAAUAGUUAAAACUAUUUGAAAUUAAAAAAAAAUAAAAUGAGAAUGAGCAAUCCAUUCUAUUUUUCAUUUGUUAUUAUAUUUGAAUUAAUUAUUUGUUAAAAAUUGAAAUAGGUCAUCCAUGUCAUGAGAGAUCAUGAUUUCAAAAGAAAAAAAUGUACCUCUCCUUGUUACAACUAAAGUUUUUUGGCUUCUAUGAUGAGUUUAUCUACCUAAUUAUUACCUGCUAACAAUGCAUUAUGUGACUUUCUUAGUUAACUAAUAACUUUCUUUCAUUCACCUCAUCUUGGUAUUAGACAUGUUAAAAAAAUUGAAUCCCCAUUCCAUGUUAUUUACCAAUAUGGCUUUCUUACCCAAUAACCACACCAAUAAGUACAUUUUCUAUGUGAUUAAAUUUUUUUCAUAUAUAUAUAUAUAUAUUAAUUAAGGGAUUAAGGUGGUAUUUGUUUUUUUUUUACUUCAUUUUAAAUAAAACGGUAAUGCUUAGUAGUGUUAAGUAUUACGUUGUUUGUUUUUAUAAUAUUUUAUUUCUAUUAAGGAUUAAAAAGUAAAAAAAAAAAAAAAAAAAAAACCCAACAUGUUACUUUUUCUAUUUAGAAAAAACCAAAUAUUUUAGUUUUUUUUUUAUUCAACAAAAAGUUUAUAAUAAGUCAUGAAAAAAUAGAAAAACAAACUAUUUAAAAUCGAAAAACAAAUUGUUUUGAGCAAAAAGUUCAAAAAACAAAAACCCUCUAACAUUAUUCUUUCAUAUCAUAUAUAUAGAUUUUAACUAAGAGACCACUAAGAUUAUUUUAAAAUGCCUUCUAGUAUCACUUCAAAUGAUUGGUUCAUUCUCAACCAUCCAUCCAAUACUUGAGUUUGGAUGGGGAUAAUAAUCAUUUGCGUCUACUGUUCACAUCUGUAUACUUCCAUUCACAUCCAUAUAUAUUUAUACACAUCCAUUGUUCAUAUUUGUUCACAUUUAUGUGUACGUGCCUAUGUCUCUCUCUUUAUAUGUAUGUUAUGUGUUUCAUUGGUGUGAACAUAAAUAAAAAUAAGAAUAAAAAUGAAUCAAAAUCAAAUUAAAAUGAGUUUUGAAUUUCAUAAGGCAAUUUUUUUUUUCUAUUUUUGUUUCUAAUAGUUGAAUAAAUUGCCAUUUCCUUUGCCAAGGAAUUCAAAUUUGUUUACCAAUUCUUUACAUUCUUCUUAAAGAAGAUUUCCACUAAAACAUAUUCCAUGCACUUUUUUCUCCUAGUAUUUUUAAAAGUCUUUUCUCCUUUAAUGUUAGGUCAUAUUUGAUUGACGGGAUAUAAUAUAAAAUAUAAUAAGAGAGGGGAUUAUUUCAUAUUUGGUUGGUAAUGAGUUAGGAUAAAUAAUCCCAUCACUUAUCCUAUCCCAUGUUUAAUCAAAUAUGGGAUAUGAUAAAUGGUGAGAUAUUGUGGACCCCGCAUUUCGGCUCAUGCGUUUUCCACUCGAUGGCAAUAUCGAUUUUUAUUUGAAAAUGAUUUUUAUUGUUUAGAAAAAUGACUUGAAGUCGCCACUUAUUUUUGUUUUAUUUUAAAAGGGUAAACAAAAUAAAAAAUAAAACCCUAAGUGCGACUCCUUAUUUUGGAAAAGAUGAUAUACAAAAAACCGGAUUGGGUUCGAGGGUUAGGUUACUUAUCGAGAAGGUACGGUAAAGACCGUAGCACCCCUCUAAGUCCCUAAAGUCAGGUCUCUACAGAUAAAAUGAAGCUGACGUGGCAAUCAAUAAGAAAAUCAAUGGAUACCUAAAUCGAUCAUGCAUGCGUGGGAAUCAAAACAUGCAUAGACAAUGAUCAUAGUGAAAGUGGGUGCAUACCUGGACAACAGGCCACCACGCGCUAUCAAGAGAGAGGGUUAGUGCACAGUAAUAAAUACAAAGUAUGUCACUCAUAUCACCAAAAAAAGAGGAAAAACCACCGGUAGCACGCACAACAUUUUGUUCAAAUUCAUUUUUAUUUUAAAGGAAAUUUGAUGUUGAGCCCCCACCAAAACCCAAUUAUUUUUGCAUGAAUUAAUUUUAUGAACUCCAUCACCUGGAAUUACAAAAUUGAAAUAAUGCUAAUUUUAAAACAUUUAAAAAAAAAAAAAAACUAGAAGAGAUGUGAAAAUUGAAUUGCCAAAGAGAAAAUGGCAAACUGUUUUAUUGAAAAUGAGAUUUUGGAACCUAGAAACUCUAAGAAUAAAGUUACAAAAAAAAAAAAAAAAACAAUCUAAUUGCCUUGAUAGAAAACAGAUUUUAGAAAACUAAUUUAGAAUGGAAAAUCACAAGGAAAUGAAAAAUGUGCCAUAAUGGGAGGAAAUGGCCAUGUAGGAGCGGGGUCUGUAGGUAUGAUUGAGACUGCAUAUUUGGUGUGUGGGUGCCGCCACUGGAUCAUAUGAUUUUGAGCCCAUCCAGUAGUAUACAACUUCAAACCAGUCAAGACAUGGCGUCAUGUAUGGCAAAACUUGGCAAAGGUGAGGAGCAUUCUCAAUAACUUGCCUACUCUCCUCAAAUGCAUGGAAUACCAGCUUUGAGUGUGUACUCAAAAGAAGUGUUCAUCAGCCCACCGUUGCAUCCAGAGUCACAUGAACCCAUUUCCUCUGGAUCGCACUCAUGGUCACACUCCACAAGCAUCAUUGAGCUUCAUAUCAAGUUUGGUUAGUAUCCUCACAUUGCCGACAGCUUCCACCUUCUGUGUGAGUCCAUAAUGGUUUUUUAUUCCACAUCCUGCAGCAACCUUGCCGACAAAAGCAGUAGAGUUGGCACUUCCAGCCUUGCCAAAUGCUCCAAACAUAGGUCUCAUCAUCACCAGUUCAGGUGUAGGGAUGCUAGCAUUUAGAUUACCCCAUGUUAGCCCAUGCAAUUACACCACCUUUUAUCACCAUUUCUGGUUUUGCCCUAAAGAAAGAUGGAUUCCAGAGAACAAAAUCAGCCACCUUCCCCACCUCAAUGGAGCCGACAAAUCGCGAAAAGCCAUUAGGCCUUGCGGGACUUAUAGUGUAUUUUGCAACGCAUCGUUUAAUUCGGAGGUUGUCGUUAUCCACUCCACUAGCAUCAAGUGAUCCUCUUUGUGACUUCAUCUCGUGAGCAGUUUGCCAGGUUCUAAUUAUUUCAUGUAGCCUGUCUGGUUUGGCAAUAUUCCCUUUUCCUGUUGAACCAAAAUUCAGUGGCAGGUCAUCAGCUGAUUGCAGCAUGAAUUUCAUAUGUGAGGAUGCUGAUGUACAAGUAGUUGCAUGAGUUCCAUCAGCAGGUCCCGUUCCGCUGCUCACUAAUGUUGUGAUGCCACUUGACAUGGCUUCAUAGGCCAAUUGAGGGCAUAUAAAGUGCACAUGGCAGUCUAUGACCCUUGCAGUCACAAUCAUUCCUUCUCUAGCGAUGACCUCGGUGCUAAUCCCAAUGAUCAUGCGUGUACCAUGCAUGUAUCAUGGACAAGGAAAUGGAUGAUAACAUGUGGCUACCAAUUCACUGCCACGGCCACUAUACCCACCAUAAUUGCCAAGCCUACUGUCAAUACCUCCAAAUACCUGGUAGGAAACAUGCCCAUAGCCACCACUGUGAACUCAAAGUUGUUUUGUGGCAGAGGGCCCACUGUGUACAAACUUCUCUCUCCAUGAUAUGCAAAUUUCUUCCCAGCAAAUUCAGAAGAGUACGUUAGGUAAAGUCGAUCGAUCACUUUUUUUUUCGACUCCCUUGCCAUCAACCAUUCUCUUAUCCUCUGAAGUAAUGGAAACACUGCACUGAUAAAACAUUGCAUCUGAAAUAUUCAUAGAAACUUAGAAGUGGUUCGUGAGCAGAGAUAUGCGCCGCCCCACUUUUAAGGAAUUGGAACUAAAGGUAAGCAUGCUCCGCAAUCAAUUCAACCAUGAUAGUUUCAUCUCACCAGUGCCUGUGCACUGACCCUCCCCUUCAUCCUGGCUGUCGAAGAGGGUUUCAUCGGAGCAGUCAAGGGAUGCUCUACGUGCCAAGUUGUAAGACUAGCAUGCUGAUAUGGCAUACCUGAAGCCUAUUGUCACCACCCUUGUCACACUUUUGGAUCGAGAUCCAGCAGGCUAGCCAUUUUGUAGAAACUCCAUUAUCACAGUCCCCUCCAUGAAGACUGCAUUGUUCAUCACAAACAACAGUAGAACAGUUGAUGCCAGUGUAUCCAUUAACAUAUUGAUGGACCUCAGAUGGAAGGCACUUGCCAUGUCUAUUACAAUUGCUAGGGCAAGAACGUUUACUACAAUCAUGACCAUGAAACCCACGAAAACAAUGACACCUUCCAUCAACACAGUCUCCAUUGAAGUCACGUGAAUUGGGACAGUGCCCAACUACAGGAAACGGGAAUGAAUAUUCGGGGAUGAUGAGCUUGGCAUGACGCCUCAGGCAGGGAGCGAUAUUGCUCGAGGCUUAGAUAUGACGGAAAAAUGAUGUGAAUGGAGGGCUCGGAAAUGGGUUUAGGGUGGCCUUUGCGUGGUGCGGAGGAUGAAGAUAGUGAGAGAAGCGUGUUUAGUAGGGUUGGAAAUAUGAGGGAGUGUGGUGAUAUGGGUAUGGUUGUGGUGUAGAGAGAGAAAGGUGAUAAGAAGAAGAAAUGGGUGUGAAGGAAAUGGGUAUGGUGUGCAUGAAGUGUGAUGAACGGUAUAUGGCAUUGGAUAUGUUGGGGUGGUAACUGUGGGUAUGAUAUUAGUAUGAAGAGAUGGUCAGUGGGUAUGAAAUAAUGAAGAUGGGGUGGUGAGGAAAAGAAUGGAUGAGUAAUAUGGCCAUGCAUGGGGGUAUGGGUGACAUAGGAUAGGAUAAGUAAGAUGGAAAUGGAUGAGGUGGGCAUGAAACAGACGGUGGUUGAGGCAUCCUAGGCAGGGAAACUGGCUGCAUCUCUAUGACAAUAUCCCAUGAGUUGCCACCAUGCACGAGUGAUUUUCAGAAGAACUCAUAUAAGUUUUCCAUGGAAUUCUCCCUCUGCCUAUAUAUUAAUUCGGUAGUGACAAACCAGUGACGGCGGGCACCCAAGGCACGUCAGCGCAAACUGUUUUCACCGGAGGAGCAACGAGGGCAAGUCCCUAAGAAGCUUCUUUUUCAAACCAACACCAAUAAACCUCCCUUGCAGCCAGUUUACAGGCUUGGUGUAUUUGAGUCCAUAGGCCCAGUAGAAGGAGCCCACUCCAUGAGCCAUGAAACAAUAGUGAGCCACACUCAAAACAGAUGUUAGCAUGAGGAACAGGUUCUGCCGCCUGCAAUUUUGGUUUCAUCUUUUCGGACCAUGCAGCGAGGGCUACCUAUCCUUGUUCAGUCCAUUGUAUAGCACGAUACCCUUAGGGGCCUUGUUGUCAUGGGUAUGGUGUGUACGUUCCAGAUUUAGCGGAUAGGGUGCGUUUGUGAGCAAAGUAGAGACAUCAACCAAAGCAUUCACAGUACCCAUAUUCUCGUGAUGAUUUAGCUCAAGUUCUUUUCUCCGGACGUUCCAGUGAGGUUCCCAUAGCUCAUCAAGUCUCAAAAACAUCCCCAAUCAUGAUAGUCACUCCCAAACGAGAUAUUUAACACUCAAACCCGACAAAAGCAGAAGAAUAAACACUAAAGCAUGAACUAGAGUGAAAACUGAGAGUAGAGCAAACAAGUGAGCAUGCAGCAUAUGAAUAUACAGGAUCUCAUAUCAGGUGAUAUUCAUGGGUUCAAAACAGGGGAUGAAGGAGAAAGUUAAAUCAAUUCAUACCAGUCCAUGUAUGUGAUAACCUCAAAUGAAAUCCAAGAGGAUGAGAUAUUAAUAGAGCAAGCAUGUCCAAACAUCAAAUGGAACGACCAAAGAGUAUAUGAACAAACCAGAAAUUAACAAAACUUAUGCAAGACUCCUGUUGUCCUUGACCAGAUGAAACAAACGGAACCCCAAGUAGCCAGAGAAGGAAAUGAAAGAACGAUGAUAAUGAAGAUGAAGAGAGGUACACAGUAAACUUACCUGAGAAUUCCUUCACAGUUCUUGUCUGGCCAGAGAAUCCCCCUUCUCCCUCAGCAAAAACUCGCCCUUCAAGCUCUCCUUUGCUUUCAAGUCCCUCUCUCUACUGGCUCUUCUCUCAAGCUCUCUCACUCUCACCAGCCUGGAGACCCUCAGAAAAAACCUCCUCCUCAGCAAGAGCAGCUCCCCCUAGCUCCAAAGUCCCUCCCCAACGGAAUACCCUCUAUCACUCCUUAUCUUGCUCCUCCAGUCAAACCAAUACCCUCCUUCUCCUCACAAUGACCUCUCUUCCUUGUAACCAGUAGCCUCCCCUCCAAAAAAUCCUCUCAAAAACUCCCCUGUAAAACCAUUACCCUCCUCCCUUUUCUCUUUUUCCCUCUACCAGAUUUGUCCCUCUCGAAAAUAUCUCCUAACUAACUUCCUAAAAAGCCAACCCUACUCUUUGCAGAAUCCUCUCUCUCAUCCGCUCCUCAUAACGGUCUGCAAUAUCUUUUCCAGAAUCUUUUUGACACCUGUCAUCAUCUGAUUUGUCUCCCAAAAAGCAAGGUUGAUUCUCUUAUAACCACUAAGGAAGCAACACGUGGCUCGCUGGGUAGUGGCGCUGGCUAAAAAAAAAUCUGCAGGAAACAAAAAUGAAUCAUGCCUACAGAUAUAUUAUCCAUUUUUUUAUUAUCCCUUCUACGUGAUAUGUUAAUCUCAUGCCAAGACAUGAGACAUGCAUAUACCAUCAUGUAUAAUAAAUUUAUUUAUUUUUAUCAAAAUUUUUAUUUUUUUUAUAUUCAUUUUGCAAAAUAUUUUUUUUAUUAUAAAUUAAAUUUAAGGUUAAAAAAGAAAAAAAAAAGAAUUAUAAACUAAUACUAAUAUAUAAUAUAUAAGUUAUUUUUAUAUGUUGAACAACAUAAUAUAAAAUUUUUUUAUUUAUAAAGUUUAAAUAUUUUAAUUAUGAAUAUUGUUAAAUAUAAGAGAAAUUUUAAUUUUUUAAAUAGAAAAUAUUAGAAUAUGAUAUAAUUUUUAUUUUAAACAUCAAAAAUAAUAUAUAUUUCAUAUUUAUUUAUUCAUUUUACAAAUUAAAUAUUAAUAUAAUAUAACAUAUCAUACCUUAUUAAAUAUGCUACCUUAAAAUAUUAUGUUCAUGAGAUAUCCUAUUGGAAAUCAUAUAGUAGGAUAUGCAUUUCUUAUCUAAUGAGACAUGAUAUCUUUGGAUAUUUACAUCCUACUCUAUCCGUAGCCUUAGUGUUUAGAAGAAUUAAGGAAUGGGUUUGCACCAUUAACUUGAUUUGGUCUCUUUACAAUUAUUUUAGGUAUUCAAUAAUAUCAAAUGCAUGCUAGGUAUAAUAUUUUAUAAAACAUAUAUGCAUAUUAAAUAUUAAUUAAAAAUAUUUCUCAGUGUCUCAAAAAACAUUUAUACUUAAUUUGCUACUGACUUAAGUUAGUUAAGAUACAUCUAUGAUCUUUAUUGCCUUUCUUGUAGACAUAGUCAUAUUUGGAGGAGUUUUAUGAACUUUUAAAAGCAACAUUUGAAUGUUGUAUACUUUCAAACGUGUAGGAACAGAAAUCUUAAAUGUAGGUUCUCAUUUCCUAAUAAGAUAUAUCUAUAUAUAUAUUUUAGACUACUUAUGCUCAAAUAGUAGGCACUAAGACAUUUGCUUCUUACGCUACUAAAAUCAGAAUUCAAAACCUAUUUUGCAUACACUCACAAUGACAGUCAAUCUUCUUCAGUUAUUCUUAACCAACCAAGUCUUAUGGGUUGCAUUCAGAAUGCUGCGCCAACUUUUCUUUCCUCUCUUUUUAAGUAUCAACCAGGAUUUUCUUAUGGGUCAUCAUGUUCAGUUUCAAACUUCAAUCAAAAUUAUACCUUCCUUGGUAAGUCCUCAUCUCUAAUUGCUGUUAUGUGUGUGUAUCCAUAUCCAUAUCCAUAUCCAUAUCCAAGAAUAGUGCAACCUUCUUAAUUUAUGGACAUGCUAUGCAGCAAUCACGAGGCCUUACAAUAAGAUUAAAAAUACAUUCCAAUAACUGAUGAAGAUUGAAUGCAAGAACAACAUUUAAACUUAAACUUAACACUAAGAUAGAAAUUGUCUAAAUCGGACCAAAUGAUUUACAUGUGUGUUGGGUGUAUCACAGAAGCCCACAUCGAAUGGAAAAUCACCCUCACCUCCCUGGGCUUGUUCCACCAUUCCACCAUACGAUCCAUGAUUCCCUUUGUUUGUGUUGUAGUUUCUUCUGCCCAGAGGCUUGAGAUAAGCUCCCCUCCAGAACUACAAAUCGAAAAGUCAGUUUCUUGAUCCAUUUGGGCAUGCCCAGCUAACAGGCUUUCCCACCAUGCAAUAUCAUCACUUGGUUGCGGUAACCUGGAUGAUGGCUUACUAGAUGUACUAACUUGCGUGUCAAAAGCAUCAUUUGGAUUAUGACUUUUAAUAAUGGACUUUUAUCGAUGAACCUCACGAUGAAAAAUUUUCAUCACAAAGAAUUAUUGUUUAUUUAUAAUGAAUACUUUUGUGACAAAAACCGAUAUUAAUUUUUUUUAGUGUGUAGGUAAAUAAAAUUUCUUUUGGGCUUUUGUCGGGAAUUCUUGUAAGUGUUCUUAAUUGUAGGUUUUUGAUUGUACAUUGGUUGUGAAAGGAGUUUUGUUGGACCCUUAUUGGUUGGUAUUUAAAUUUAUUUGGUUUUUGCAUAGAUACAAAUCGAUUUUUUUUUUCUAUUUCUCAAAUUAUUUCUAGAGAUUCUCUAAAUAAUUGAUGUCACAUUAAACAAGCCUCUUUCAACCACUAAUUCAAGAGAAAAUCAACCCCACUUUUGGAACUAAUCCACCUUAUAUUUCUCCAUCUUUCGCUAUCAUUUAGAACACUCUUCUUGAGGUAACUAUACCCAAAUUACCAAUUCUUUACUUGCAAAGACUCCUUACACUUGGGAAUUGGGAAUUGGCACCAUCACAUUUGCAUUUCAAGCAAGGACAUAGGCCUCUCAUUUCCAAUAUAUGCAAGUUUUGAUUGUAUACCAUGGUAAAUUAGAUGAGAAACUAAAUUAAAUUGGACGAAAAUUAAGCCUGGGUGAGUUCUCUCAUUUGGGAAGGAUGGUGUAAGGACCUAUAGGUGGAUAGGGAUGUAGGUGAAUUUUAGGAAAUGACAAGCCUGCACCUAAUUAUGAUUAUAUUUUGAUGAAUGAUUAUGUUCAUAAAUUAUGUUGGAGUUUUCUAUUUAAUAAAUUAUGUUCAUAUUUAAUUAGAAAGUUUAAUUUAACAUCACAUUAUUUAGAUCAUAAUUGGGACAUUAGAAUGGAAAACAAAAAAUGAGAAUCCAUUCCAUUUUUCAUUAAUGAACAUGUAUGAAUUACUUACUAAAAAUAGAAAUAGGUCACCCACGUGAUGAGAAAAUUGAAAUAGGCCAUCCAUGUCCUGGGAAGUCAUGUCUCCCAAAGCAAAACAGGUCCCUAGAAUUCAACCUUGUUUGGCUUCUAGGAUGAGUUUAUCAACCUAACUAUUACAAAUGAUGAAAAUAUCGAUAAUUAAGAAUAUAUCAGUACUUCGAUUUUAUAAAUAUAUCGUAAAUAUCGAAGAUAUAUCAAUGGAUUUUUUUAUACAAAAUAUCGGUGAUGUAAUAAUUAAUGAAAAUUAUGAAAAUAUUAAAAAAAAAACUCUAAAAAAUUAUAUAAAGAGUUAAAAUAGACUUUUUAUAGUGUUUUUUUUUCAAAGAAAAAUUGAUAUACAUAUAAUUUGUCAUAUUUGAUAAUAAUAUGCUCUAUGUCGAUAAAGAUUUUAUAAAUGUACAUUUAUUAUUAAGUUGUAUUAUAUAUUAUUUUACAAUAAUAUUAUGACAACAUGUUUAAUUUUAAAAUAUAUUUAAUAUUAAAAUUAUGAUUUGAUUUAAUUUAAAUGUAUUCAAUGAUAUCAAAUAAAUAAUAAUGUCUAUAUAAGUUUUUUUAAUAUUCAUAUUUUUAUAUUUAAUAAAUAUAUAGAUUAUAUAAAAAAGACCUACUAAUAAAAUUAUAUUUUUAUAUAAUAAAUUAAAUCAAAUGCAAAAAUAAAAUAAUUAGAAUGCAUUUAUUUAAUAAUUAAAAAAUAAAAAAUCGAAAAAUUGGUGAAAUAUGGUAAAAUAUCCUAACAUAUUGGUGAAAUAUCAGUUGAAGCAAGAAAAAAAAAAAAUUGGUGACAUAUCCAAAAAUAUCGAUUGAUGGAACUAGGAAUAUCAAAUAUAUUGAAGAUAUAUCUGCCAUAUAUCUAGAUAUUUUAAACCUUGACUAUUAUGCAUCAACCACUGUGGCAUUGUUACUUAGUCAACUAAAAAUAUUUCUUCCAAUUACCUCUAUCUUGGUAUUUGAUAUGUUUAAAUUAGAUCUCAUUCCAUGUUAAUUGCCAAAAUAGCUUUUAGGGAAAAGUGAGUUUCGACUCACUAAUUUAAAAAAAUAUAGAAAAACAGCUUCAACUUUUAUAAAUUAUUUUUAUUUUCAUCCAUUUAAAAAUAUUUUAAAAUACAUGUACUUUUUCAUAAAUCAAAUAAUUAUUUUUUAAAAUACUCUUUGACUUAAUAAUAUUAAAUAAAAUUAUAAAAAAUUAAAUUUAUCAUUUUAAUUUAAUAAAAGUAUCUUACAAAUAAAUAUAUUAUAAUUUUUUAUCAUAUAAUAUUAUAUACAAAUCAUUUUAGAAAAGUUUUCGAAGAUCCUCAAAUGAUAAAUAAAAUCUUUCUAAUUCCUUAAUUAAUAAUGAUUUUAUAUCUUGUAUAAUAUAACCUCACUCAUUUUCUCAUCUUUUGUUAAUAGAAUUGAAUAAAAAUUUUGUUAGUUGACAUCAACAAUAAAAUAAGAAAUUUUAAAAAUUAAAAAUACAACUAAAACUAAAAUACUUAAAAAUUAAAUAUAACUAAAACCAUAAAAAUAAAAAAUUAAAUACAAUUAAAACCAAAAAACUUAAAAAUUAAUUAUUUUUUUUCUCUCAUUUUAUUUCCAGCUCUUCUUUGAUAUUUAGAGUUUCUACAAGUAUGAUUUAGUGAAGUAAAAGUUAAUAUUUUUAGUUUUAAUUAUAUUUUUAAUUUUUAAAAUUUCUCAUUUUAAUCAGUUUUCAUGAUAAAAAAAAUUGUUAAUUGGUGUUAUUAACUUCACAACUAAAAAUGUUAUUUUAGGUUAUUUGACUUAUAAAAAAAGUGCAUGUGUUUUAAAAUAUUUUUAAAUGAAUGAAAAUAAAACUGAUUUAUAAAAGUUGAAGUUCAUUUUUCUAUAUUUUUUUAAAUUAGUGAGUAAAAAUUCACUUUUUUGUAUAACUGGUAUGUUAAUAAAUUUUAUAUUUGGAAUUUGGACAUAUUGAAAAUGUUUUAAUUGAAAAUAAAGAUAAUUUUAAUAUUUUCAAAUAUUUUAAUCAAAUAAAAUUAAUUUGGAAUCCCAAUUUUUUUUUUAAAAAAAAGAUAUAAACAAAUAUCUUAUUGAAACCCAUAUUUAAGAAUCCUAUGUAACUCUUUUUAAAAUUUGUGAAUGACACACAAACAUUCAUUGAACCUAAAAACUCUCCUGGACAGGUUUAAAUUAAUACUUGAAAUUUCCACCCAAAAAACUUGCACAGUACGUAGCUUCUUUGAGGUAAAUGUAGUAGUACUUAAACUCAUAAUGGGAAUCGCUCAAUAGUUAACCAUGAAGAUGCCCUUGCUAAACCCAAAAAAAAUUAAAUCUGUGGUCAACCUGCGGAGGAUCUGAUAUCAAUUGUUCAUAUGAUGACACAACAGCCCAGCUAUCAAUUCAUGAAUUAUAUCUAAAUGAGGAGACAUACUGCUCCUUUGGACAAAGGUAGAUUUUGUUUUUAGUCCCCAACGAGAUUUUUUUUCUCCAGAAAAGCUAGAAAGAGAGAGAUGUCUCAGUAUUCGUUAACCAUUAGAGGCAAUCAUUGAAGUCCUUCUAUCAUGUCCAAAAUUGGUACCAUAUUUUCCAUUUUCAACUCAUUUUCCUUUUACUGAUAGAAAUAUGAUUGAAAAUUUUCAAAUCAUAGAUUUUAAUUUGGGGAUGCAAAUACUGUGAAGAAUAUUUCAAAAUGUCUUCUUUUGUCACUUCAAAUGAUUGGGUUCAUUAAUCUUAACCAUUCAUUCAUUGCUUGAGUUUGGAUGCCGACAUGAAUCAUUUUCAACUAUUGUUUACAUCCAGUACUGUUCACAUCUGUUCACAUCCAUAUCCACCAUUGUGCACACACAUAUAUACAUAUAUAUACACGCAUAUAUAUUUGUAAUUUUGGAACUUAAACAUUAAGAUAGAAAUGGUCUAAAUCAGAUCAAAUCUUUUACUUGUGUGUUGGGACAUCCCAGAAGCCCACAUCAAAUGGAAAAUCACCCUCACCUCCCUGGAUUUGUUCCACUAUACAAUUUGUGGUUCCCUCUGUCUCUGUUGAAGUUUCUUCUGUCCAAGAACGUCUCCAGAACUACGAGUUGAAAAGUCAGUUUCUUGAUCCCUUUGAGCAUGCCCAUCUAACAGGCUUUCCCACCAUAUGAUGUCAUCAUCUGGUUGUUGUGACGUGGAUGAUGGCUUACUAGAAGUACUAACUUGUGUGUCAAAAGUAUCCACAGCUUUAGUUUUCAGUUCAAACCUUGGCAAGGUUUUGGAGAACUUGUAAGGCCGAGGGUUUUAGAACUUUUGUCUUAGAAUGUGUUUGGGGUUUAUUUCUCCCUUCUUCCCGGAACUGAACCUUCUUUUUGAAGUGGUGAGUAUGCCAAUAAUUCUUGACAUCAUUAGCAGUCCUCCCUGGAAGUCUACCAGCAAUUAAGGACCAUCUAUACAAGCACAACAACAGAUAAGGUAUCAACUGAUGAACAGCUCUUUUGUCAGUUCUAAAUUCAAGGGGGCUCUUCUAAUUUGGAAUAUAGCUUUACAAUUGAUACAAUAAUAUCAUGUCACCAAUAUGGUUAUCAAGCUAGUUAUGACUUGCCUGUUCCCCAACAAAUUGUGAAGCCUAAUCACGAGAUCAACCUCGUCUAAUGCAAACUCUCCUCUCUUGAUAUUCGGCUUCAAAUAGUUGACCCAUCUCAAUCUGCAGCUUUUUCGGCAUCUAUUCAAGCCUGCAAACUCAAGAAAACAAAAUUCUUUAAGCAAAACAAAAGGGGAAAAAGAACACACACACAAAUUAAUACUGAUCACUUUCUCUUUCAUGUUACCUGCUAUGGGGGGGACCAGAUGCCGCUUUCCUUCUCCAUAUUUCUCAACGCAUUUCCUCAGGGGAGCAUCUUCUUUCUGGCUCCAUGCACCUUUUAUAACUCCUAAGCUCUCCAUAAAGUGAGCUCAACACGAGAGCAGCUCCUUCCUUUAUUGUUGCUUGAUAUAUAGGUGCACGUAUAACAACCACAAAACUGCAAUUCCUAUCUAUAUUUACCAUGUUCCUUGCGACAUUUUCCUUUUCUUAUAACCGGAUGCUAAACUUAAGGGUUGAAAAGAUCAAUAUAAUAACCUUUAACCAUGUUCUAUGUCAUGACUCGGACACCGGACCCCUUAUUUGUUUAUUCAAGACGUUUCUUAUGGGUACGAUAGUGCUUUGAUUGGCUGCCAAAUGUACCGGCGGCCAUGGACCAGGGUGUGUGCCAUAAGAGAUAUUAAGUUGCAAUUUACCAAUUAUGUAUCAAUUUAUUAUAAAUCUACAGUUAAAAUGCAGUCUAGGAAUGGCUGAUGAACAGGUACCCACUGGUGUUACCCUUUAUGAACAAUCUCUAUUUUGUUAUCCAAAUGUAUAAACUGGAGUGGUUCUGAAGACGACAACUUGCAGCCAUUUUUUAUCGUUCAGAUGAAUUCCUCCGUACAUUCAUAGGAUGAAUGGACAUUAAUUACAUGGACCAUAGAAGAUUUGAAUUCUGAUCUUAAGAUAUUCCUCUGGCUCAUGGAGGAUCUUGUUUCUGACCGGUAACCUUGUCCUACCAUGUACUCUCCUCAUUGAGAAUUAUUUUCCCUCAAAUAUAUAAAUAUACCUAAUCUUAAAAGUAUAGAUUUUGAUAGAAUUGUUGAUUUGAGUUUUAUGGAAAUAUCAAAGAAAUUUGCAUUAGAUUAAAAUUAUUGUAAAAAUUAAAAAAUGAUAGAUGAAAAUUGAUAAAAGGGAAACUUGUAUUUUAGGGCCCUUAUUUAUAUAUAUAAAAAAAAUGAUAUUCAAACCCCAAGUUUAUGAAAUUUGGAAAACAAUCAUUAAUGGGCAAAACAAUAUGAGAUUUGUGCACUCUAUGCUGAGUCAAUUUUAUCUACCCAAAUUGCCUUGGAUGUCUUCUGCAUUAGCAGUCAAAUAGUCUCCACAUCAUACUUAAAAAGAAAAAAAAAUGUGAAAAUUAAUAAUUUCAUAAAAAACCACCGGACCCGACAAAGAGUUGGAAAAAAAAAAAAACCAAUUCUCUAUUUGAACUGGAAAAAAUUCCCAAAUCUGAUAGUUCUCCAUCCUUAAUUUGUCUCUCCCAAAUCUGAACAUUUGGUUGUCCCCUUCUCUCUCUCUCAUUUUAGCCAAAAAAAACCUUGAGCUGAAACUGGAAUGGACAUCUAACUUUCUUCUGAAAAACUCUCGUAGCCCUAAAUCUGCAUUUUAGUUUGUCAACAACCAAAUUUGAGAUUUUCCCUAGGCUAGAAUCUCAAAAACUUGACAUUUCAGAAGGUCAUUUGAAAUCUGAAUCGGCCAAAACCUUCACGUCCAACAAACCCAACUGAUACCGAGACUAAAAUUUCCCUUUCUUUUGUCCUCUCAAAGUUUGGGAACAUUUUUCUCCUUUGUUUUCAUGUCCGCAGCUAGCUGGAGAGGAGACCGUGUUUAAAAUUGAAAAUUUUCACACAUUUCAGUGAAAAAACCAUGAAUCGAAAACCAUGUUUAAAUUUGCAAAAUGUGGCACAUUUUUUAUAAGAAACCUUCAAUCAAAAACCUGAAACUAUAUUUUUCUUUGUUAUGCAGUUUCUGAAGAAACAAAUGAAGCACUUCGUGGUAAUAACGUCUAGUUAAAAAGAGGGUUUGAGGAAGCAACAGUGUGAUUCAAAUUUUGGUUCAACUGAGUGAACCCGAACGAAAACGGCAAGUGUGAAAUAUUGGCUUCGUGAAGAAGAAAUCUCCUCUUAAUCUGAUUGGGUUGCAUUUUGGCUUAACCCACACCAAAAUCUUAAGGUAAUUAAUUUGUAUUUAGUGUUGUUUUGUUUGUUUGUUUAAUUUUUUUUAAUGUAGCACAUCAGCGAUUGUGGAGUGGUUGUUGGACUCCGAAAUAUGUGUGCAGUGGUGAGGUGAUAGCUUCAUGCGUAGGUGGAUUUUGGAUCGCAUGCUUGUAGGCUCGAUCCAUGCCUUAGCACACCUUGGCUUGUAACCUUUGUGAACCUUUGCAACGUGCAUUAUUUGCAAUUUUUAUGAGUUUGUUCACCUUAGAUGUAAGCACUGCUUGACUAAGCCUUAGGUACUACCUUAGUAACCCUUAGUUACUAUCGUAAUAAACUUUAGGUACUACCUUAAUGUCCCUUAGGCACUAUCUGAUUGUACCACAUUGUCUCCACAUUUCGGAACCUUAACGAUGCACCUGAGCACAACUUGGGUACUAGCUUCAUAAACACUCUAUGGUUAUUUUUUGAAUUCUAGGUACUACUAUGGUCAAUCAUAGGAUGUAUUUUUGUCAUUCAAUUUCAUCCUAGUUUGAUACAUAACCAAGCCAUUUGGUUCAAAAUGAUAGUUUCUUUAAUUGAGCAUGACAUUGUUAUGUUGUAAUAGGUUAUGCAUCCCAUUCACCUUAAUUCAUACCUUAUUACACCUGAUAACCUACCUUAAUGUCGCCAAGGCACCACCUUAAAGUGGCAAAGGUACUAGUUUAAUGUGCCUAAGGUACUACUUUAAUGUGCCUAAGGUACUACCUUAAUGUAGCUUAAGUACCUUAGUGAGCCUUAGGAGUACUUCUUGACUGCAGCUUAUGGACUACCCUAUUGAACCUUAGGAGUACUACCUUACUGCAACUUAAGGACUACCAUUGUCAACCUUAGUUAUUAACUUAAUGAAGCUUAGGUCGUGAGUUCGUGAACUUUGGGUUGUUCAUCAAUCCUAGGUAGCACUUCCCUCAACCAUAGAACCUACGCUUGACAUUCAAUUUCAUCUUAAUUUGACGUUGAAUGGAUAUAUGUCCAGCAUCUUCCCUCAGUACACAAUGUCUUGAAUUGACCUUGGCAUUAGUUAAAAAUAAUUUAUUUUUUAGAAUGUUCUCCUUAGGUACUACCCUAAUGCACUUCACUUACUAUCAUCAUCCACUUUAGGUUCAACCUUAAUGCAUCAUAGGUGCUAUCUCACUACUCUUUAUGUAGUAAGGUCCAAUUGGUUAUUUUCCUUAUUACACAUUGGAGAAAUGUUGCACUUUUGAACUGAAGACACAUUUCUUUCAUUCCAUUACAGAUUCGAUAAUGGCCUUACUUUGUCUUAAUUGGUUAGUCACUUCGUACAUUAUCGACUCAUAAUAGUGUGAAGGUGCUAUCUUAAUGUACCCUAGGUACUAUCUCAACGUAUCAUAGGUACUACCUAAAUGUCUCUUAGGUACUACCUUACUAUAACACUUUCUCCACAGUUCAGUACCUGAAUUGUGCAACCGAGCACAACUUUCCUACUAGCUUUGUUUCCCAACCAGUAGUUAAUUUGUGAAUCCAACGUACUACCAUGGUCAACCAUAGUAUAUAUGCUUCGACAUUCAAUUUCCACCUAGUUUAAAAAAAAAAAACCAAGCAAUUAAACUGAAUAGACAAUUUCCUUAAUUGAGAAUGACAUUGUUAUGUUGCAAUAGGUUAGCCAUCUUUUUCACCUUUGGUAAUACCUUAUGGCAUCUGAGUUACAACCUUGAUGUGGCUAAGGUACUACCUGAAUGUGCCUACGGUACUACCUUAAUGUGCCUAAGGUACUACCUUAAUGUGUCUAAGGUAUUACCUUAGUUAACCUUACAACUACUACCUUACUACAUCUUAGGGACUACCCUAGUUAACCUUACGACUACUACCUUAUUGGAGCUUAGGGAGUACCCUAAUGAAUAUUAAUUGUACUACCUUAUUGCAACUUAGGGACUACCAUUGUGAAUCUUAGUUAUUAACUUAAUGGAGCUUAGGUAGUGAGUUCAUGAACCUUGGGUUGUUUAUCAUUCUUAGGUAGCACCUUCCUUAACCAUAGGUCAUACACUUGACAUUCAAUUCCAUCAUAAUUUGACAAUGAAUUAAUAUUUGUCCAACAUCUUCCCUGAUUACACAAUGUCCUAAAUUGUCCAUGACAUUAUUUACAAAUAAUUUAUUAUUUAGAAUGUGUGCAUUAGGUACUACCCUAAUACACUUCACUGAAUAUCAUCAUGCACUUUAGGUUCAACCUUAAUGCAUCAUAGGUGCUAUCUCACUACUUGUUAUGUAGUAAGGGCCAAUUAGUUAUUGUCCUUAUUGCAUGUUGGAGAAAUGUUGCACUUUCGAACUGAAGACACAUUUCUUUCAUUCCAUUACAGAUUCGAUAAUGGCAUUACUUUCUAUUAAUUGGUUUGUCACUUCAUACGUUAUAUACUCAUAAUAGUUCGAAGGUACUAUCUUAAUGUACCCUAGGUACUAUCUCAAUGUAUCAUAGGUACUACCUAAAUGUCCCUUAGGUACUGCCUUACUAUAACACUUUCUCUCCACAAUUCAAUACCUGAAUCGUGCAACCAAGCACAACUUUCCUACUAGCUUUGUUUCCCAAAGUGUAGUUAAUUUGUGAUUCCAACGUACAACCAUGGUCAACCUUAGUAUGUAUGCUUCGGCAUUCAAUUUCCACCUAGUUUAUAAAAAACGAAGCAAUUACACUGAAUAGACAAUUUCUUUCAUUGAGAAUGGCAUUAUUAUGUUGUAAUAGGUUAGCCAUCUUUUUCACCUUUGGUAAUACCUUAUGGCAUCUAAGUUACAACCUUGAUGUGGCUAAAGUACUACUUGAAUGUGCCUAAGGUACUGUCUUAAUGUGCCUAAGGUACUACCUUAAUGUGUCUAAAGUACUACCUUAUUUAACCUUACGAGUACUAUCUGUCUGCAUCUUAAGGACUACCCUAGUUAACUUUACGACUACUACCUUACUUUUGUUGUUUAUCAAUCCUAGGUAGCACAUUCCUCAUCCAUAAGACCAACACUUGACAUUCAAUUCCAUCAUAAUUUCACACUGACAAAGAUAUAUGUCCAAGCAUUAUGGACUAACCAAUUUUGAUGGCCUAUAGUCCCUGUAUACAGAUUUUCAUCCACAUCUCUCUAUUACUAUAAAGAUAUGUAUACAAUGAUUUGGUACCAUAAUGAUGACAUAAUUUUAUACGAUAACACAUAUAUGUGGUAUACACUAUUGUGAACAUUUUUUUCCAUAUAUGCACAUUUUAGUUUGAACUCCACAUUUGUUGGGUUUCCUUGUUUCAUUUUUUGUCCCCUUGUUGUCUUUGCAACUUUCCUUAACCAAUGUUAAUUGUUUUUUUAUUAGGUAUGCAACGACCACGUAAUUUCUAGAUCGUCAUUACAAGCCAAAAUGCAAAUUCAUCUUCUCCAUGAACCUUGACAGUAGCUUCCAAUUAUUGUUGCCACUCUAACAUCUUCUACUCUUCAUCUGCUUGCAUUUCUACCUGAUUAGCUCACUGUUGAUUCAUGCCCAAUUGGUGUCUCAGCUGAUUCGUGUCCAGCUGGUGCUCCUUGAUUGAGGGAGUAAUCAACAAAAUUUAUAACCUAUUACACCAUUUACUAGGGUAGCAAAGACAAAGCUACUAUAGCAUAGUGGCUCUAGGAUCGUUCACUGGGAAGAGUUUCCAAAUUACAAAUGAUACCAAUUCAAAGUGAAUUGGUAUUGUUUCAUUUCAAGGUUAGUUCAAGAAAUAAAAUACAAACUUUGAUUGGCAAAGAUUUAGAUUUAAAAUGACUACCAAGCAAGUGAUGGAAAUUACUUAGGAAGAAAACAUUCCUUGGAGGGUCAGGUUCACUGGGGAGGUUCCUCAUGCAAAAGACAUAGCUCAGGUCAGUUUGUUCAUUUCCUCGCAUAAGAGAAUCAACAUAUAGUCAAUUCUCUAACCGGUGUUGUACAGAUACAUCCUUUAAUUAGAUUUCAACUUUUAUUCUCUCACUGAUGCAACUUGCAAUGGUUCAAGUCUCUCACUAAGCCUUAACCAUUCAAGGUGAUCUUUAACCUUGGACUUCCCUUCUCAAGCUCGCAAGAGAUAACUAAUGGAUGUCUCCUUGGAGUCCAAAAGCUUACCAAGUGUUGGCAAUUCUAGAAUCCUACCUUAAAGUCACCUCCCAGAGGCUCGCAAGGGGUAAACUAGUGCAUCUCCUUGGUUGGAGAUCACUUGCCUUACCAAGUGUUGGCCCAGGUGACUCUAAGGUGUUUUAAGUUAACUAAAAACAUAGAAAUCACUAAAGGAUUUCACUUCCUCUUCAUUGAUGGCUGAAACCACAAAGCUUUGCAUUCUUGCACUUGGAACCUUCCCCGGCAACCUUAGCUCCAAGGAACUAGAGGUUUAGUUACUCAUUCUCUGGGGAAAAUUCCUCAGAGAGUGCAUAACUUAGUAAGAAAUAAAUAAUACAAAGUGAGAAGGUAAGGCAAAACAAAGGGCCUGAACUUUACUUGCUUUUCAAAACUUUACAAAGGGUCUCCUCUUUGAGAACAGGCUCUCGAAGAGUAUAUAUAUGAACAUAAUACAAAACUAAUUAUUACAUAGAUAUUUUCUCUUUUUACUAAUUUAAAAGCUAAGGAAUCUUGUAAUUGGUGGCUUACAAGGAGUAUUUUGGGAUUUAGACAACAAAAAUCUGAUGGAAAAUAUCUCCCAAUGUUGGUAGCAAAUAUCGGGAAGUACUACGGACCAUUUCGCAAGAGAAAAUGAUGUCUGCGAGAUUUCGCAGACACACAAAAGGGCUGCGAAAUCACUUCGCAGCAAAAGGUUAUUCUCGCAGGGCUGCGAAGUUAGCUUCCAUCUUGAGGUUCUCAGCUUCCAACUUGCGGCAUAUAUCGGGCAACUUCAGGAGGAAAUACACCACACUGUACAAAAAGGCUGCGAAAUCACUUCGCAACAAAAGGGUGAUUUCGCAACACUUUGCAAAAUGCUUCCUUCAGCUUGGAGUGAUUGACUUGCAAUGGCUGUAACUUCUUCGUUUCAACUCCAAAUUGUGCACCAUUUGAAGCAUUGGAUUGUUGACUUCCUGAGAUUUGAAAUGGUAUAUAGAAUGCAUCAAUUGGACUUCAGAAAGUGCUCCAAAAGUGGCUGCCACGACUGUCAUCAAGAAUAUGCUUCAUGGCAGAUUCUCUUAACUUCUUCUCCUUGCAUUCCGGAUUUACUCUUGGCAAAUGACUUCCAAGCUUUGUCCAAGAUUCCUCAUAACUCUCCUCAAUCUUGGAUUGCUUUGGUGAUCAAAUUACUAACAAAAACACCAAAACUUACACAAAGUGAUUAAAAUUGCUUUCAAGGGUCCUUAACAUGCCAAUUGAGUUAAAAGGCCAAAACUACUACUCAAAAGUGUUUAAAAGGGUUUAAUACAAGCUACCAAAGAGCACUUUUUGAGUAGUAAUCAACUGUUAAAGCUAAAAAAACUGGAUACUCUAAAGGAGUUUUUCAUAUUAUAUUGUGUUAUAAUAAAAAAAAAUUCAUUUAUCAUACUAUUGUCGUUUUCGUAAUUAUAAUUGUAUGUCCUUUGUUGUGAUUUAUUGCUAAUAAAAGUAUUUGCAUAUUUAUACAACAUAUUUUAUACAACAUUAUUAGAAUCAUUUUCCUGAUUCUCAUAUAAGUGUUAUUCAUGUCAACACUGCCUAAUGAAACUCUAUAAAAAAAAAAACCUUUCAGUAUAAUCAAUGCGAAGUGGGCUCUAAUUGUAAUUUUAAUACUAAGCGGUAACCAUUUUUCUCCUGAUUUACCAAAUUGAUGCCAAGCUCGCACAUUCUGUUCGAAAUUUUAGUUUGAUUUUUCAAUUGUUCGUCUAUGUUUAACUAAUUUUUAGUUUUCAACAUAGUUAAUUAUAACCUAACUCAAAUUCCUUGGUAAGUAAGCUGUCAAUUACUCGAUAAAUAUUAACAACAAUAUAGGAAGUAAUGGAAGCUUUUUAUAACUCAAACGUGUUACAUCUGACUAUAAAAUAAUAUUCUAGCAAUUUAUCUUAGUUUUGUUACUUCGUUCGUGUAUGAACACCGUCCAUCCUCAAGAACCUGUUUGUGCUUUAUGUAUAUUUUUCAUAGGUAAAUAUGCAUAGGAAUAUUUCCAAUGCACCAAUUGAACAACUAUAUAAAGCUUUUUAUCACCAUUAACAACUACAUGUCAUGCCCUACUAUUAAAUGUCUGUCCAUCAUAAUUCUAUUACACAUUUCGUGGGGUUCAGAUUACAAACUGUUGUAAAAUUUUCAGAAGCACUUUAAAUUGCUACCAUGGAAACAUGCAUCCAAUUAUCCUUAUUGUUCUCCUAUGACCCACCUAUACUUCUGUUAGGCUGAACAUAAGGAAAAAAAAUUAUCAUCAAACACACUAUUAUCUCACAGAUUAAAUUCUGCUUCUAUGCUUUACAUAACAUAGCCAUCUCAUUCCAAUAUAAAUGAAAGUACUUGGGCAUAAAGCAGCGAUAUCCUACUCAAGUUAAUUAACAUUUAAAUUUCAGUCAAUCUAAUGAAACAAAAGUUACUGAUUAGCCACAUGCCUCUAGCAUCUAUGGAUAGGAAUUGAUUUGAAAACAUCUAGAUCUAGGUAUGGGAUACAUAUCUCUAGAUCUAUAGUUAAUAAUGGUUUUUAUUGUCAUUUUAUUCGACUACGAUAGAUUUAUAGAUGUCUAGGGAUAAAUACAUGCACCCUAUGAGAUUUAGGGCAUUAGAACAAAGUAAUUUAGGAUUCCCAACACUAAGACUUGUUAAUUGCACAUGCAAUAAAAGGAUCUAUAACUCAAGGAUAGUGGAGGUAGUCUUGAAUGACUGAUAGCUUUCACCUUGUUAGACUACGAACACCAAUUCAUAGGGAGACUAAAUACAAUUGAUAGCAGGUCACAGACCCGAAUACAUGGUGUCUUAUUGUUAUUCACAUAUGAUACUAGAGUUUGGUUGAUUCUUUAUAAUGGAAUGUUGAAUCCUUUUAAGCUCAUAUACCUUAUUGGCACGAGUUAUAAGGGUCGAAUUGGCUUUAGGUUCACUUUUGUGCAUAAGAGUGUUUUAGUAAUUACACAAGAUUGCAUCGGAGUAAGUAAGCAAUGUCUUUGGAUUGAACUAAUUGAUUAAUUAGUAAACUUUGUUGGGUUAAUUAAUCAAUUAGGACCCAUUUUGGGCUAGAUUAAAUGACCUAAGCUCUUAGAAGGCUUAAGUCGCUUAAGUCUACUGGGGAACCAUAUAAAUACCACCUUAGGGGUUAAGGUAACUUUUUAUAGAGUAAUUUUUUCUAGAGAACCUUCUUCCACCUUUAGAAAUAGAAAGAGCCAUAGCCUCUACCAUCUCUUCUAUCACCAUCAAAAGAGUGUCAAGAUCAAGGUUCGAGUCAUUGGAUGGAAGACUUCGGGUUUUUUAGACUUCCUAUGACUUCAUUUUUCAUUUUCUUUUCAUGGCAUUGAUUAGGGAACAUCUGAAUCUUAGGUACAUUUUUCAUUCGCAUAUUCUAAAUUCAAAUAAAGUUUAAAAAUGAAAUUUUUUUUUGUUGUGCAUAAGAUUUAGAAAAGCAUAGGAUAUUUUUGCAUGUUCCUAAUCUAAUAUGGGGUUGGGAAGUAGAGAGAUUCGGGAUUUUUCCAUCAAUCUCCACAACAUCCCAUGUUUUAUUAUUCUCUAGAGCUAACAUUUCUUCUUUUAUUAUGUUUCUCCAUUUCGGUAUUCAUAAAGCUUCCUAUAUAGUUUUUAGAACUUCCACUGGUACCAGAUUAGUUAAAAGAACUUGAAUAGAUGAUGGCAAGUAAUUGUAGGCUACAAGCUUGGAGAUUGGGUGUUGAGUACAAGAUCAUGUUCCUUUUGAAGUUUGAGUACCUAAUACUGAUUUAGAUUCAUGGAUUUGUAAGAGGUUUGUUAGGUGUUCCGCUUUUCGAGUAUUCUUUAGUCUUGAAUAAACAAUUGGCUUAAGAGAUUGGAGUUGCAAGUUUCCCUUUAUCAUUAAACCCUUGUUUAUUGUCAUAGUAGAUUUAGAAGAAGGUGUUUGUGGCUGUUUAGGCUCAAGUAGUAGUGUUUGUGGUUGUUCAAGUUCAAGUAGUAGUGUUUGUGGUUGUUCAAGCUCAGAUGUUUAUGAUUGUUCAAGCUCAUGUGGUAGUGUAGAUAUAGGAGCAAUGACAUCGAUCCCAAAUAUUUUUGUCUUCACUAACUCUCUUUCUCUAAGGGAAACUUUUGGUAAAAAUUGUCAAUUUUCAAAUAAUGUCACAUCCAUAGAAGUGUAAUACUUGCGUAUUUCAAGUGAGUAAUAUUUGUACCAUUUUUGUGUAGGAGAGUAUCAUAAGAAAAUACAUUUUUGAGCUUUGGGGUCAAGUUUACUCCUAUCAUUACCAUGGAUAUGUACAAAGGAAGUACAACUGAAGACUCUUAAUGGAAGUGAAGAGAUAAAUGGGUUGUGAGGAUAGGCUUUGAAAAAACAAGUUAAAGAUGUUUCAUAAUUGAGAACCUGGGUUGGCAUUCUAUUUAUUAGAUAACAUAGUAAGAACAACAUCCCCCUAAAGGUAUUUUGACACAUUAUUUGUGAAUAUAAUGGCUUUAGCUACUUCUAGAAGGUGGUGAUUCUUUCUUUCAACAAUGUCAUUUUGUUGUGGGGUUAUUAUGUAGGAUAUUUGAUGAAUAAUGCCUUUCUUAGAGAGAGAACUUCCUAGAAUAUAUUUAAAAUGUAUUUUUUUUCAUUGUCUAUUUUGAGAAUUUUAAUGUUUGCAUUGUAUUGGGUGUUAAUCAUGACAUAAAAUUUUUUGAACACUCGCUCUACUUCUGAUUUUCCUUUCAAAAGAUAUACACAGCAAACCUAAGCGUGAUCAUCAAUAAAUGUGAUAAAUCCUUUUUUUUCAUUAAAGGUUUAACUCAUGAAGGGCCUUAAAUAUUGCUAUGGACUAAUGAAAAAGAUGAUGAAGACUUUUAUUUUUUAUGAGAAUAAAUGAAAUGAACAUGCUUGGCUAAGUGACAAAUUUCAUAUUGAAAGAAAUCUCCAUUAUGAAAUAGUGAUGGAAACAAAGUUCAUAAAUAUAAAAAGCUUAGGUGGCUUAGUCUAUGAUGCCACAACAUUAUUUUUGGGUUCUUUAGAAAGAGACUUACAAUUCAUAGUUUGAGAUUGUUUAUUCAAUUUGACUUCCUUCUCUAAAUAAUAUAACCCCUCAUGUUCUCUAGCAUUGCCAAUCUUCUUCCCCGAAGUCAAGUCUUGAAACACAGAAGAAGACUCAAAGAAAUGAGCACCACACUUUGAAUCUUUAGUCAACUUACUAAUAGAAAGAAGGUUGCAAGACAAAUUUGGAACAUGCAAUACAGAGUGUGGUUCAAUAUUAGGACCAAUUCUAAUAGCUCUAGUUCUACCACUAUUGAAAGAGAUCUAUCUGCUAUUUUAUCUUUGAAACUUCCUAAACUAGGAUUGUAUGAUGAGAAUAAUUUUUCAUAGCCCAUCAUGCGAUCUAUGGCUCUAGAGUCAAUCACUCAUGGUUCCAGAUCCCUACUGUAACUACUAAGAGCUAAGAAAAAAUUACCUCCCUAUGCUAGUAAUAAAGUAGUGGUGUCCUGUAAUGGUUUGAGUAGUUUGUACAAUUUUUUCAUUUUCUCUUUGGUAAGCAAGAACUAUGUACAUUCUCCAAAUUUUGCUUCAAGUUAGGACCCGGUUUGUUAGAAAUCUCAGCUAAAAUUUGAAAACCAGAGAGAUCUCAAUUUCCAACCCUACUGUUCUUUGAAUUUGGUGGCUUACCAUGUAACCUCCUGUACCAAUCUUUAGUGUGAUUUGUUUUCUUAUAGAAAUCACACCAAAGAUUGUUUAUUUUUUACUUCUUAGGCCAUUCUUAACCACAAACUUUGAAACUUCAGGUAAUGAUGGUUUUGAUCCACCUAUCAUAACCCAUUUUCUACUUGACUCUCUUUGACCUUCAACAAAUAUUUAAAUAAUCAAUGGGAGAGGUUUGAUUCCUAGAACUCAACCCCUGACUUCAUCAAGAUUAGGAUUUAAUCCUACCAAAAAAUCACAGACUCGUUCUUUUUUAACCUACUUUUGGUAAAGUUUAGCAUCCCUAGGAUUUGACCAUGGAAUUUGGACAUAAAGAUCAAUUAAUUUCUUGCCACAAGCGAGUCAAGGCAUUGAAUUAUUAGGUAACAUCCAACUCCCCUAGUUUCAAAUCAUGAGCUCCAUUUCGAAGUUCAAAAAAUUGGGUUGAGUUUUCCAUGUCUAAGCAUGCUAGAGUUAGUGCAUCCCACAUCUCCUUAGCGAUCGAAUAAUAUAGAUAAGAUACCUUGAUAUCUUCUUCCAUGGGGUUCAUAAUCCAUGCCAUAACCAUAGAGUUUCAUUCAUCCCAUGUUGGAAAAGAGAGACUUCUUGGAUUAGGUUUUUUUUAUUGAACCAUCCACAUAACUAAGGCGGUCUCAUCCUCAUAUCACCAUUAGAGCAUAUGGAGACCAUUGAAGGAAACUUUGAUUAUUUAGUUUCGUGGUUGUAAUUUGAUGGGAAGAAUUUUCAAAAAAGGUUGAAAACGAGGCUAUAGUGGAUGAACUUGUAGGGAUGGGCUAAGAGACUUUUGAAAAGACCUCAAAACUAGCAUCCUUGCACUCACCAAUGAAGGUUGUUUUAUACAUCUUUUUUGUCUCAACUGACACUAUCUCUAAUACCAUGAAAUUGGGUAGGAAAAAAAAACUAGACCAUAAAGUGGAGAUUGCUUUUGUUUUAUUAUUUUAUUUCUUCAAUACAAGUAGAUUUAUAGGAUAGGUUUUGUAACAACAACCCUUUAUUUUAGGAGACUGACACCAAUUGUUUUUUAGGAUAUUCUAAUAAGUUGUAAUAUCACAACUAGGAAUUAUCCUUAUAUUAGAGAAUAGUAAUUAUCCAAGAUUCUCUAUAAUCUAUUUCCUACUUACCUUUGGAUCUCUAUUUUCUUUACAAGAUGCCACUAGUGGAGGAGCUUUUAGGAUAACAUUUUGGGACCUAUAAAAGCCCUCAUAUCCAUUAGAAAUGGAAUUUUGGGUUAUUAGGGAGAAGGAAAGAAGCUGAGGAGUUUCAUCUAACAUCUUUAUUAACUCUUGGCUUUUCUUAAGCUUAGUAAUUUUUUGUCGCAUUAUUCAUAUGUAACUAGCCUUUGAUUUUAGUCUUAUUCCUCAAAGUUUUUUUUUAGAGAUUUUGAGCACUUCAUGUUUCAUCAUGACGUUGAUUUUAAUUGUAGAUUCUAAGCUGGUUUUCUUUGUUCUUCUAAUUUUGAGUUGUGAGUAGUUUUCUAAGCUUGAGAGGAGGAGUCCAUGAGGCUUCUUUCAUGCAAAACUAAUUUACAUCAUGGGAUGAAUGGAUAGUGUUUCUACCUAGUAAUUGGAGUCCCUAUUUUGUCUAGGAAGAAACCCUAUUUUCCUCUUCUUGAAAUGGAAACUUAGAGGUGGUUUAUUUUAUUUUAUUUUUAAUUUUAUUUUUUGGUUACUUCAAGUUCUUGAGGAUCUUGGGCCUUAUGACUUGAAAUCACUUUCAUUAAGCUCUAUGUAAAAUGCAAAAUGAAUUUAAGAUUACAAGGUUGUGGAGGUAUUUAAAUAAAAUUUCUUUUGGGCUUUAGUUGGGAAUUUCUCAUAAGUGUUUUCAGUUGUAGGUUUUUUUUUAUUGUGCAUUGGUUGUGAAAAGGAGCCUCAUUAGACCCCUGAUCCUUAGCAUUUAAAUUUCUCUUUUAGCUACAAAAUGGUAGGAUCAAGUGUCAAAAUUUUGUUAUUUUCUAUCACUUUUUUUUUCAUCAUAAAAUGUGAUUGUUCAGUGAUAUUCCAAUUUGGUCACCAACACUUAAUUUUUUGUGAAGAAACAAAAGAUUCAUAGAUCACGACUUUUAGUAAUGAGCUUUUGUUUACAAAUUUCAUGACAAAUUUUUUUUAAGUAGUGAUGAAUUAUUAUUUAUUUAUGACAAACACUUUCAUGACAAAAAUUGAUACUUGUUGUAGUGAGGUAUUUAAAUAAAAUUUCUUUUAGGCUUUAGUUGGGAAUUACUCAUGAGUGUUCUCAGUCCUAGGUUUUUUAUUGUGCAUUGGUUUUCAAAGAUGGAGCCUCAUUUGGUUUUUAAAUAGAUACAAAAUCAAUUUUCUUUUAUUUCUCAAAAUAUUUUUGGAGGUUCUCUAAUUUAUUAACCUCAUAUUAAACAAGCCUCUUUCAACCACUUAUUCAAGAGAAAAUGAUCAAUCCCACUUUUGGAACUAAUUCACCACAUAUCUCCUCAUCUUUUGCUAUCAUUUAAAACACUCUUCUUGAGAAAACUAUACCUGAACCCCCAGAUUCUUUACUUGCAAAGACUCCUCAUACUUCGGAAUUGGCACCAUCACAUUUGCAUUUCAAGCAAGCACAUGAUAGGCCUCUGAUUUCCAAUGUAUGCAAGUUUUGAAAGAUUAACCCAAGAUGAGAUCUUUCUCAAUUUGGAAGGGUGGUGCAAUGACCUAUAGGUGAAUAUAGAUGGAUGUAGGUGAAUUUUAGGAAAUGACAAGCUUGCACCUAAUUAUAAUUAUAUUUUGAUGAACGAAACAAUUUUUUAAUAUUCUAUCUUGGUGUUAAGUUCAUAUUUAAUUAGAAAGUUUAAUUUAACCUUGUAAAUGCAUGCAUGGUACUUUAUACUCGCAUUGUUUAGAUCAUAGCUGGGACGUUAGAAAAAAAAAUGGGACUCCAUUACAUUUCUCAUUAAUAAAUAAAUAUGUAUGAAUUACUGAUUAAAAAUAGAAAUAAGUCAUCCAUGCCAUGAGAAGUCAUGCCUCCAAAAGGAAAAAGCAAAACAAGUCCUUACAAUUCAAUUCAACUUUUUUGGCAUCCAUGAUGAGUUUAUCAACCUAACUAUUACCCACCAACUAAUAAUAAUUGUAGCAUUAAUGCGAGUCAACUAACAAUCCUCUAUCUUGGAAUUUGAUCUAUUAAAUUUUCUUCCUUUUACCUCUAUCUUGGUAUUUGACAUGUUAAAAUUGGACCCUCACUCCAUGUUAUUUACCAGCAUAGUUUUUAAGUAGAAAUAGGUAUAGUUGCUAUGCUACUAAAUUUUAUAUUUCGAAAUUGGACAUAUUAAAAAUGUUUUGAUUAAAAAUAAAGAUAAUUUUAAUGUUUUCAUAUAUUUUAAGGAAAUAAAAUUAAUUUGGUGUCCCAUUUUUUUUUUUUUUCAGGAUCAAUAAAGUGUGAACCCCAUAUUUAAGAAUCCUACGUAACUAUGUUUAGAAUUUGAAAAUGACAUAUAAACAUUCAUUGAACCUAAAAACUCUCCUUGAGAGGUUUAAUUAAUAUAUACUUGAAAUUUCCACCCAAAAAACUUAGCACUGACCUUGUUUGAGGUAAAUUUAGUGGAAUGCAUUAUGGGAAUUGCUCAAUAGUUAAAAAUGAGGGUGUGCUUGUUAAACCCAAAAGAUUAAAUACAUGGUCAACCUGAUACCAAUUUUUUAGAUGAUGAUACAAUAACCCAAUUAUCAAUUCAUAAAUUUUAUAUAAAUGAGGAGACAUAUAUUUUCAGAGAACAUCUUUUAAUAAUUUUUCAUUGUUUUUGCAUUUUUUUUAGUGUAAUUUUAAAAAAUAAUUAUAUAAAUAUGAAAAAUGAUUAAAAAUAAGGUACUAGAUAUACAAAUUAUUUUAAAAAUAGGUUAAAUACAAUUCAGGUCCUAAAUAAAAUUUUAUUUUAUAAAACAUUAUAAAAUUAUUUUUUUAAACUGUUUUUUCACAACUGUUAUUUUAAGAAUAUUUUAAAAUGUCUUCUUUUGUCACUUCAAAUGAUUGGGUUCAUUAAUCUUAACUAUUCAUUCAAUGCUUGUGUUUGCAUCCACUGCUCACAUCCAUAUCCACCAUUGUACAUAUUGAUAUAUUUAUUUAUUUUUGUUUUUAUUUCUAAGAUUAACAACUUUGGAACAUAAAAUGAUUAGGGAGUAGAGUAUGAAUGCAAGAACAACUUUUGAACUUAAACAUUAAGAUAACAAUGGUCUAAAUCAGAUCAAAUGAUUUACUUGUGUGUUGGGUGUAUCCCAGAAGCCCACAUCAAAUGGAAAAUCACCCUCACCUCCCUGGAUUUGUUCAAUCAUACCAUCCAUGGGUCCCUUUUUCUGUGCUGCAGUUUCUUCUGUCCUGAGGCUUGCGAUAAGCAUCUCUCCAGAAGCCGAAAAGUCAGUUUCUUGAUCCAUUUGAGCAUGCUCAGCUAACAGGCUUUCCCACCAUAUGAUGUCAUCAUUCGGUUGUGGUGACGUGGAUCAGCUUACUGGAAGUACUUACUUGUGUGUCAAAAGUAUCCACAGCUGUAGUUUUUAGUUCAAACCUUGGCAAGGCUUUGGAGAACUUGUGAGGGUGAGGUUUUAUAGCUUUGGUUUUAGAAUGUGUUCCCUUUUUCUGUGUUGCAGUUUCUUCUGUCCAGAGGCUUGCGAUAAGCAUCUCUCCAGAAGCCGAAAAGUCAGUUUCUUGAUCCAUUUGAGCAUGCUCAGCUAACAGGCUUUCCCACCAUAUGAUGUCAUCAUUCGGUUGUGGUGACGUGGAUGAUGGCUUACUGGAAGUACUUACUUGUGUGUCAAAAGUAUCCACAGCUGUAGUUUUUAGUUCAAACCUUGGCAAGGCUUUGGAGAACUUGUGAGGGUGAGGCUUUAUAGCUUUGGUUUUAGAAUGUGUUUGGGGUUUUUUUCUCCCUUCUUCCUGGAACUGAACCUUCUUUUUCAGGUGGUGACCAUGCCAAUAGUUCUUGACAUCAUUAGCAGUCCUCCCUGGAAGCCUACCCGCAAUCAAGGACCAUCUAUACACGCACAACAUCAGACAAAGUAUCAACUGAACAGCUCUUUUGUAAGUUCUGAACAGCUUCAGAACUAAUAUAAUAUCAUUAUCAAGCUAGUACUUGAGUUAUUAUAGACUUGCCUGUUCCCCAACAAAUUGUGAAGCCUAAUCAUGAGAUCAACCUCGUCUAAUGCAAACUCUCCUCUCUUGAUAUCUGGCUUCAAAUAAUUGAGCCAUCUCAAUCUGCAGCUCUUUAGGCAUCUAUUCAACCCUGCAAACUCAAGAAAACGAAACUCUUUAAGCAAAACAGAAGUAAAAAAAACACAAAUUAAUACUGAUCCCUUUCUCUUUCAUGUCACCUGCUCGGAGGGGAACCAGAUGCCACUUUCCUUCUCCAUAUUUCUCAAUGCAUUUCCUCAGGAGAACAUCCUCUUCUUGGGUCCAUGCACCCUUUCUAACUCCUAAGCUCUUCAUCGAGUCAACUCAACACAAGAGACCGGCUCCUUCUCUAAUUAUUGAUUGAUAUAUAACAACCUCGAACCUGUUCUAUCUCAUGACUCGGACACCAGACCCCUAAUUGGUUGAUUCGACACGUUUCUUAUGGUGCAUUACCUGGCUUCCGAAUGCGAUGGACAUCAUGGACAAAGGGUGUGUGUCAUAAGAGAUAUUUACCCAUUAUGUAUCAACUUACUAUAAAUGUACAGCGAAAUUUAGGAAUUAAUUGCUGACUAGUAUCCUUUAUGAACAAUCUCUAUUUUGUGGUGCAAAUGUAUAAACUGGUGUGAUCCCGAAGACAACCACGUGCUACCAUAUUUUAAUGUCCAGAGGAAUUCAUUUGGACAUUGGUAGGAUGAAUGGGACAUUACGUAGAAGAUUUGGAUUCUGAUACCACUGUUUCCUUGACAAAAAGCAACCAAGUGAUGGGAACCUUUGAGGGCCACCGCUCCUCUUUCAACUUUAACAUUUUCUUUUGUCGACUAACCCAUGUUCACUGAAAAGGGAAGCUCCAUGGGUCCUCUACCAUUAUAUUAUGGCCGCUAUGCAGUGGCAGCAGCUAAUUCAUGGGAAUUGUCAGCGAAGAAAGGUACAAUCAUUAGGAUAUGCCUCUGGCUCGCGGAGGACUUUGUUUCUGACCAGUAACGUCGAUAAAAAUACAUUUUAGAACUUUUUCUAUUGUCAAUUCAAUGACCGGGUUCAUUCUCAACCAUCCAUCUGUUGCUUGGGACGUGUGUCAUUUCCUACAAUGUACUCUCCUCACUGACAAUUAUUUUCCCUCAAAUAUAUACAAGUAUAAAAAUUUGCAUAUAAAUUAAAAUUGUUUUAAAAUUUGAAAAAUGAUGGAAAUUGAUAAAAGUAUAAAAAUUUCACCUGAACCUUUGAAAUUUUUUGAUAAAAUAAGUAAUGUGUAGAUAUUAAAUUAUUAUAUUUUAAAAAAAUUAAUAAAAUAACAAAUAUGAGUUUUCAAGUGAAUAUUUUGAUUAGUAGUGUUAAGAAAAAAAAUUUGUUAUUGUUAAUAAAAAUAGAAGAAAGUUAUGAUUUUGCACACCAGUAAUUCCUUAAUUCUGCAUGCAUCAUUUUCUCCAAAGACCUUUUGACAUUAAAGAAGGAAAAAAGAAAAAGAAAAAAAAAGAGCUUAAUAUAGAGGCAGCAAUAAGAUAUCUUAUUGAAGAAGACGUUUUUAGACUUAUGUGGGAACAUUAUAGGCUUUAAUGAAAUUUUUAUAAUAUCAUUUUUAUCUUCUUUUUUUCUUAAUUAAAAAAAGUUGUUAUUCCAAAUAUAUCAUUUUCUAAACCUAAACUAUUUAAUCGGCGUGUAUUAUUGGUUUAAUGCGAAUUAAAAACCAAAGUUCCUUCAUUUUUUAUUGCUUUAAUGUGGAAUGUAAAAAAAUUAAUUGGUUAAAAGAGAUUCAAUACUCCUCGUAUUUGUGAAUUUAUCGCUUCCUUCUUUUUACUUGAAAAAUAACAUAUUUUUUAUUAUAUAAAUGUCACUUAUCAUCUCAAGUAUUUAUACAUAAUUUUAAGAGAAAUGAUUAUUUUUAUAAGAAAAAAGUGAGGAUAUUUAUACCAAAACGAAGCCAAAAAAGAAUGGAGGGUUAAACCCUAUUUGGUAACUAUUUUUUAAAACCGUUCUAAAAAAUAGUUUUUGAAAAUUAUUUUAUAAUUUUUUAUAAAAUAAAAGUCGGUUUGAAAACCUAAAAUAUUUUUAACAUAUUUUAAUAUUUUUAAAAAUAACAUUUUAUAUCCAAUGUUUUAUUUUUAAAUUAUAUUAUAUGUUUGUAUAAUUAUUUUUUAAAAUAAUUUUUUAAAAAUAAAUAAAAAUAAUAUAAAACAAUUAAAAUAUGUUAUAUAAAAAGACUUUAUUAUAUAUUCUUAGAAACAUAAAACAAAAAAAAAAAAUUCUAGUUGUAAGACUGUAGACCCCUUUUGUGGUGAGGGCCCGGAGAGUUGUUAUUUCUUUCCUUUUCAUUAUAUCCUUGGAAGGGGGGACCUCCCUGAAAGCAGCUGCAUGGUUUGUGGUGAGGCCCCGUGAGAGUUGUUAUUUCUUUCCUUUUCAUUAUAUCCUUGGAAGGGGGGACCUCCCUGAAAGCAGCUGCAUGGACGUGUAGCAAGAGAGGAUGGUUGGCCAUGGUGGUGGGUGAAUAUGACGGAUUGGCGGAAUGGUGCACAGUGGAGCGGGUGAUGGCUUGCUGCAGAAGACAGGAACAGGGGGGAGGAGAUAUUUAGCUGAAAUUUUCCUUUGGCUUGACGGGGGGGAAGACCUUUUUUUCGUGAGGCUUUUGAGAAGAAAACCAGAGGUGUGCUGAGAAGGAGGGGCCUCAACAAGGAGAAACCGGAGGAAGGGGAGAGCUUUCCAGGGACCGUGAGAAAGAAGCAGGGGAGGAAUCGCUCAGGUUUGAUCAUACCUUACCUUGUGUUCUUCACCUUUCUUUUAUCUCAUUUUAUUUUGAUGGUCACACUAAUGCUUCUAGUUGAUGUUUGGAUGCUUGCUCUGAUCAUUUAAUGUGUUAAAUCUGCUUCUUGUUUUCGUUUGCUGGGUCUCUGUCUUCCCUUGUAUGAGCUGUGUGAUUAUUAUGCUGUUUGUCUAUGUGAUAAGACCAUUCGGACCCUCUCACCAGCUUCUUUUGAAAGCUCCUUAAUUUUCAUCAAAAUGGGGCUUGGAUUUAACGGCAUCAUCUUCUCUUCUAUAUACUCUGUUUUUUUUUUUUUAUCACUAUCAUCCCUGUUUCUGGCAUUUUGGAGUGUUGAACAUCAUGUCGAAUCUGGCGAAAUCAGACCGUCUUCGCUUCACACCGUUUAUGAUCUCAGCCAUGAGGAGUGUUGCUAACAUUCAGGUAUGAAAGAGAGUGAUGUAAGGAGUGGCCAUGGGCGACGUUAUGAAGCCAAGAAAUAAUCCUGAGCUAGCCAAUUUUAAAACAGUCCUAACUCUGGGACGGUUGGGUAUGUAUAUGGUAUGGCGUUCUUCAUUAUUGAUCUACUAGCCUAGGCAAUUUAGAUUAUGGCCAAGUGUUCUGAUAGAGAUGGAGAAGCUAUAAGGCUGCCAGAGGACCAAUUCCAAAAGAUGGAAAAUCAUGCUCUGAACGAAGAGCCGCUGUAUGCUUUUAGAUUGAGUUGUGGAGCUGCAGAUACAUAAACAGAGGGCUGCGGAGGAAUUAUCAUCAUGUAAGAAGCUUCCCGACUUGCCUCAGAAUCAAUCAUCAAGCAAAGCCCUGCCAAAUUUAGAGAGAGUGGAAUCACUUGUACAGGUGAACCUUUCCAACAAUCAUUUGCAUGGCAGUUUACCUUCCACCAGAGCAUUCUUCGCCAUCAAUUCGAGCUUAGUCUCAGGAAACAAUCCUUGUGGUGGGGACACUGCAAGUGAGCCACCACCAUGCAAGAGGUUAAAAAUCCCAGUUGGAGGGUUCUUCGUCACUUGUCUCCUAGUUGUUUCGGUGGUGCUCACUCUUGCUGUUUUUGCCGCUGUGUUCAUCCUACACCGAGAUGGGUCAGAGCUCAAGAGGGUAGAACAUGAAGAUGGGAUGUGGGAAAUGCAGUCCUUUGAUUCCAAAGUCUCAAAAUCGAUCACAAUCCAAAGCAUACUGCCGUUUAUAAUAGAAAAUAAUGUGAUUUCAUACAAGGAAAAGAUUAAAAUGGUGAGACGGCCUCCCUUACAGCUUUGAUGAAUCGACUUGUUAUUCAUCUAAAAAAGGCUCAUGGAUCAGAAUCCUAUGAGACCAUCUAUAGUGUAUCUUCUGAAAUUGUCAUAAGAGGUCCAGGCCCACUUUUGCAUGGUGCGCCUCCCAAAUACCCCACUUACCCAUCUUUUUGUUCCCGCCACCUUUCCUUUCUCUAUCACCACAUGCAUCUCUCAAGCCCACCAUGCCCAUAUUUCACACCCACUGAACCCAUGUUUCUCUCAUCACCCCUCAUCCGAUCCCACACGAGCUCACCACCUUCAUGUGUUCAUUCCUCACUCAUACAUGUAUGGAACCAUGCAUCCAUGGCUGCCCAUCAUUCCCACUCCCGUCUCGUGCCAACUGCCCAAGCCAUUCCACUUCAUCACCUUUCCACCCCCCAUGCUUGCCACAUUCAUUUCUUCCAACACCCUUUAAACUCACUCCAUCCGCCACCCAUUUAACCCCAUUGCAAACAUGGCCACCUCAUACCCAUUUCUCUUACUCAUAAUUCCAUUCAACACUUCCCAACUCACCCCGUUUCCCCGCCAUCUCUCAAUAUUCCUUAACCCAUUUAUCUCAUUAUCCCCUCCACCAUGUAACCCACUGUCUUCAUGCCCCGCUAAUCCCAUACCCGUCACCACUUUCUCUCUCUCUCUAAAUCUUCAUCCAUACCCAUUUCUCUCACUCACUACCUUUCCGUUCUUUCCAAACCCACAAAACCAUCUCAUCCCGCCACCUUCCAUCCUCCGUUCCGCCAAUAACCACCCGAAGACUAAGAAGAUUCUACAGUUCCAGCGCUCGAGACAAAUAAUUACUGGCGUCUUUUCCGAAAGAGAACAAGACAAUAAUGAGUAUGCUGCACGGGUUGAUCCCUAUGUGACAUGCGGGUAUCCUAUUUUAAGGGGUGUCUAGGAAUUGAUUUGCAAGCCAGGAUACAUAUCCGCCACAGCGAAGUGCCUGGCUUACGUCAUUUGCAUCACAAGACAAUCAUGAGAUGCGAGUAUCGUUUGCAUUGGAGUGAAGUGUACUCUCCAUAAUUGGUGCUCUUGGAAGUAUACCUACGAGAUGAAGCAGAUAUAUUAUCUGUUUUAUUUGUGUUAAAGUAUAUUAUAUUAUGGGCUAUAGGCCCAAUUAGGUUAUUUGUAUAGUACUUGUACUAUACACUUGUAUCGCACAGUAUUUGUACUGCACACUUGUACCGCACCCUUGUACUGCACCCUUGUACUAUACACAUAUGCCUCCUAUAUAAAGACACUGAUGUAUAUUCUUUUAAUCACAUAAUAGAAUACAAUUAUUCUAUAUUUCUAACAUGGUAUCAGAGCCACUGUUCUGAACUUUUUUUUUUUUCUUAGCAGUCUUGUUUUCAUUAGUGUGACUUCCUUCUUUCACUAAGUCAUCCCGUCGUCGUCCUUGGGUUCCGGACCUGCAGCUGCCAUCGUUAAGAAGUUUCACACUGCACAGACCACUGCCCUUUGCAUCACCGCUGCGAAUAUUGCUCCGAUUUCAUUUUUGAAGGUACCAUUGAGAUCGUCCAGCGCCGAUCUACACAGUACUUGUACUGCACACUUGUACCGCACCCUUGUACUACACCCUUGUACUACACACAUAUGCCUCCUAUAUAAAGGCAUUGAUGUAUAUUCUUUUAAUCAUAUAAUAGAAUAUAAUUAUUCUAUAUUUCUAACAAUUUGAUAAUGGAUAAAAUCAUGGUGACUUUGUGGUCUACUCCAUCGAGAAGUCCUCUCAAGAGAUAGGGUCGUCUUAUGAAGGCACGUCGGAUUUUGACGGUGUAAGAGUUGCUGCAUGGAUAGUGCUGUCCAUCUCAAUUCCACUUUCAGAAGCUCGGAAGGUUUGCGGCAUGCUAUCUAGAAUUCUUCAUCGCUCUUGUCGUGGGAUUGAUUGGCUUCAAAGAGAUUGAAUUCUUCCUCUUGAGUUAGACAGGUUGCUCAGGCAGGAGGCUAUCUUGUCUGCUCCCCUCUUGGAGCCUAUACACAGGAUGAGGACGACCUUAGAAUACAGAGGGAAAUGGUUGUCCUUGCGGAAUGCAUAUGUUGGAGAAUAGCUGUAAAAAAGGAAUCAAACCGUCAUUUGGCAGAAACCUCUGACCAAUGGUUGUCACAAGGAGCGAACGCCUGUUACUCGGCCUCCAGCAUGGAUGAUGCGCUAAGCUGGAAGGUACAUGGCUGUUUACAAAAAACUUGCAGAGAAAUACCCCCUCCUUCAGACAGAGAGGAGGUGAGAGGCCCUGUUAUCCAUUCUCCAAUUCGCUCCGAGGAAGGAGGUGGGGGGACAAGCUGCUGUUCCGGGUUUUGUGGGAGUACCUUGAACAAUGGGGACAUGUAUAGUGGAAGGCGGUACAACUCGGGCACAUACGAUCAUAAAAAGCGUGUGUCAUACAACACCAAAUGUAUUGAGGGCUUUUCUUUCUCAUUUGACGCUUGUAAUAUCUGAAUACAUUGUUUUCUAAGUUGAAUCUGGGGCCCACUGUAUUCAAAUAUUUGACUCUUGGGGUGGUCAACUACCGCCUGAUAUGGGGGAGUGCUGGUCAAAACCCUAUAUUGGAAGAGUUGAGGUAGAAGAAGAUGGUGAUAUCGGCAUCAGAGCUACGAAGGAGGGUUUAGGGCUCCAAGCAGCUGGAUCGGAUAGCUUCAGGGCUGACUUAUGCUGGAAUGGGAUGCAGGGGUCCACAAGGAAAGAGAUAUUUUAUACCAUCUGGACCCACAACAGUCAUUGGUAUUCCAUAUUCGACCACCAUUGCACAAGACCCCUUGCAUGGCCACCUUUUGAUAGGCCAUCAUCAAAACCCGUGGCUCCCCUCCUUUUAUUUUCAUGCAAACCUCCAGAACCUGAUUUUCGAGGAUCAUCGUUUUUUUUUACGUGAUUUUAAUUCUUCACUUUUUUUCUCUUUUUCUUGAUUCUAGGUACCAUUUUCAACUAGACUUGCCUAUUUUCGUUCAGUUUAUUUAUUUAUUCAUUUAUUGCUAUUAUUAUUAUUAUUAUUAUUUUCAUUUUUUGUUUUCAUCCUUGUUUUUAUUUUUAUUUCCUAUCCUUGACUUUAGAUAUUUUCCAUUCUUUAAUAAAUUUGGUAGCCACAUUCCUUCUCGACCAAUAUCUUUCAUAAAUCCUCUUUUAUUUUUAAUGAUUUUCUAAUUUUCACGUUUAAUAAGCCAAGAUUUAAUUUUGUGAUUCCAAUUAAUGGAAUUUACGAAAUUAAUUCAUUGCUAAAAUAAAUUAGGUUUUGAUGGGAGCCUCACAUGUGAUUUUAUAAUUGAUUGAUCGUUUGAUUGAUUUGAUUGUUAUGCAUGAUCGAUCUAUUAUGUUCUAAGACAUGCAUGAUAUUGUUCCUUAAUUGUGUACUAACCCUCUCUCUUAAUAGCGCAUGGUAACUCAUUGUCCAGUUACGUACCCACUUUCACUCUGAUCAGUGUCUACGCAUUUUCUGGUUCUCACAUGUGCAUGUUUUAUUCUAAGUAUUCAUUGAUUCACUCAUCCAUUAUCAUGAUUACUUCAUCUCAUUAGUAGAGACCCGGUUUUAAGGAUUUAGAGGGGUGUUACGGUCUUUACCGUACCUUCCCAAUAAGUAACCUGACCUCCGAGCCUGACCUGAUUUUUCACAGACUACCUUUUCCAAAAUAAAGAGUCACACUUAGGGUCUUCUUUUUUAUUUUGUUUACCCUUUUAAAAAUAAAACAAAAAUAAGUGGCGACUCCAAGUCAUUUUCCAAUAAACAAAGUCAUUUUUAAAAUAAGAAUUGAGUUCGCCAUCGAGUAAAAAACGUAUGAGCCGAAACAUGGGGUCCACACAAAUAUAUUUUCGUGUUUUUUUAUUUUAAAUAAUAAAAAGUUAUUCUAAAAAACCAUGCUAAGCAAAUUCUUAAAUUUCCGAAAAAACAAAAAACAUAUAAGGUUACCAAGAAAAUUUUUUAUGAGACUUCUAAGUUUUCAAUGAAGAACCAGAUUGAGACUUCAAUUAAAAAAUAGAAUCUUAAUUGACAAUUAUAACUUUAAUUUAAAAACGAAGUAUCAAUUGAUAAUUAUGACUUCAAUUCAAAAACCGAAGUCUUAAUUAAUAAAUAUACCUUUAGUUCAAAAAUAAAGUCUCAACUGUAAUUGUAAUGAGAUCUUAACUAUAUGUUUUAAAAAAUAUAUAUUUUUGAGAUGCUCGUAUGCGGCACUUAAGAGACCAACAUAAAUUUUAUAAAGUAGUUAGAUAUGGGACAUUUUGGCCCAAAACUCCAGCAAGUAGCACCUCUGUUUUGUGCUGGGUACUGGACCAGACGACAGUGGUCAAAGCUGACUGUGACCUGGGCCCACAGGCUAAUUUUAAGCUGCACUCGUGACCAGCGCUUCCAGCGUGCUGGGUCAGACGAGGCAGCGGUGGUGAAAGUGGGCUGUGAGCUGGGCCCACAAACCAAUUUUGUGAAAAUCCAGAAGGUGAAAAUCGGUGACGUGGCACCGACAUGUUCCAAACCGUCGACGUUUUCAUCACUGAAUUUUCCAGCACUUCAGCCAUAAUUUCCAAGUACAUGUACAAGUUUUUAGGUAAAUUAAUUGUCGAACAUAUGAGAGUAUAAGUUUUGGAGCAAAUGAGUUGUACAACAUGUCAGAGCCUCAGUGGAAGGGAAGAGGGUUUAUAUAUUCAAAUAUUACUUAUAUUUAUUUUCUUAAUUUAUUAAACUUAAAAAUAAGAUAUUAUUUAAAAUUUUCUAAUGAAUUUUUUAUUUAUUAUUUAAUUACUUAAAUUAAUUUUUAUUUAUUUUUUUAAAUUAUAGAAUUAAAACUUUUUAUUUAAAUAUUGUUUAAUAAAUUUAAAAUUUAUUUUAAAUUAUCAAAUUUAUGGUUAAACAUAAAUAUUUAAAGUAUUAUAAAUACAUAAAAUAUAAUAGAUUUAUUAGAAAAAAAAUAAAUUAUUGAUGUGAAAUCAUGAUUAUAAAAUAUGCUAUUAUGUAGCAAAUAAGAUAAAAAAAAGAUUUGAAAUUAAGGAAAAAAAACUAUUUUGCCUUAAUAUUUGAAGUUAAAAAAAAAAAAAAACUGUAAUAUUGUUAUUUAAUUACUGAUAUGUGUUUGAAUGCCUAUCUCCUUAAUUUAUUAAGCUUAAAAGAAGUUAUUUGUUUUCUCUGUAAUCUCAAAAGAGACUACAAAAGAGUAUUAAAGUACUUGAUAUAAAUGAUAACUCAAGUCCUAUGAGCUUAAGUAUUCAGAUUAUAUUAAGGUGGUGUUUAUUUUUUUACUUAAUUCUAAAUAGAAAUUUAAUGCUUAAUAGUGUUAAAUAUUAGAUUGUUUAUUUUUAUAGUAUUUUAUUUCUAUUAAGUAUUAAAAAAUAAAAAAAAAUUAAUAUAUUAUUUUUUCUAUUUAAAAAAAAUUAAAUAUUUUGAUUUUUUCUAUUCAAUAAAAAAUUUAUAAUAAGUUAUAAAAAAAUAGAAAAAUAAAUAACCUAAAUUGUGAAAACAAUUUCCUUUCAAUAAUAAACAAAAGGGUAUUAGAGUACGCUAGCUAUCUAGAUAAUAAACUCAAGUCCUACGAGCUUAAAUAUUUAGGUUAUGCCUCAUCGUUGAAUUUUAUCUCAGAAUUUCCCAUGAUUCUUGCAAUAUAACCUGAAUAGUGCAGGUGUGAAGACAUGUAUGGCCCGGUAACUUUUGCUAUUUGUAGUCCUUAAUUAUAUAAUCAGAAUAAAAAUGCGUUAAAUUAAUCAAAUAUUAACUAGGGAGUAUGACAUUACACAAAAGUACGUGGGGAGGGAAGUAACUUGAUAUAAAACUGAUGAAAUCUCAGAUGCUCAUUUAUAUCAUGGCUUCUCCAAUGAGGCCCAUUUCAAAAGGAAAAUCAAAAUUCCCACCUCCAUUGGUAUCUACAGCUGAUGCAGUUUCGUCAGCCAGGAGGCUGGCAAUAAGCUCCUGAUCUUCAAUGGUAUGGUCAGCGAAUAGGCUUUCCCACCAUAAAAUAUCCUGGUUUGGUUGGACCAGUGUGGGUUGCAGCUCACUACAAGUACUGCCUUGUGUCUCAGAAGCAUCCACAGCUGUAGUUUUGAAUGUGAACCCUAGAAAGAGUUUGCAAGGCUUAGGCUUUAUCAGAGUGUUUUCAGAAUUGGUUUGGGCUUUAUCUUUCCCUUUUUCCUGGAUGGGAACCAUCUUCUUGAAGCGAUGAUGGUGCCAGUAAUUCUUGACAUCAUUCGCAGUCCUCCCUGGAAGUCUGCCGGCAAUCAAGGACCAUCUGGAAAAACAUAGCUACAAUUUUUUUAAAAGUGUUGAAUUAAAAUGAUCUUAUUUGAGUUUCUAAUUCAUGGAGGCGUUGUUUCUUUAACCAUCAGCUCCAGAAUUUGGUUUGGGUUAAGGAUCAGACAAGGAAAAAAAUUAAGGGAAGGUAGGUACAAUUCUUUUUUCUUUGCAAGUGAAAAAGCUUAAUUGAUUAAGCUUCUUUUCUUAUUUUACUUCAAUUUUUUUCUUUCAUUUUCCUCGUAUUUUCUCAGGAUUCAAUCCAAACUUGUAUCUCUAUUACCAAUCUAACAGUGGCUAUACUAAAUGUAAUAGGAAAUUAAUAAAUAAACUUGCCUGUUUCCCAACAGCUUAUGAAGUCUAAUCAUGAGAUCGACUUCAUCUGAUGCAAAUUUUCCUCUCUUAAUAUUUGGCUUUAAAUAGUUGAACCAUCUCAAUCUACAGCUUUUGCGGCAUCUACUCAAACCUGAAAAGGCAACUCUUCCAGUUAGGAAUAUUUAUUUAAGCAGGAAAAAAGUUUGCAGGCUUCCUCUCAUACGUAUAUAUUACCUGCUCGGAGUGGAACCAAAUGCCAUUUUUCUUCUCCAUAUUUCUCAACACAUUUUCUUAAAAGAAAAUCUUCUUCCCGAGUCCAUUUUCCCUUUCUAACUCCCAAACUCUCCAUAGCUUUUCCUCAACUCUACGUAGAACAUAUGCAACUUGUCCGAUUAAUUUAAACACUUGGUAUGUACUUCUUAUGAUUUGCGUGCUUUCAUUCCAACCACAGAACUCCAAGUAGUACUGAUUCUUAAUUAAGUGACAUGAGCUGGUUGGUAGCCUUAGUAACAACAGUGUAACAGCCACUUCAGUUUAAACGUGCAGUCAUUCUUAAGCCACAUAAGCCUUAGUAACAAUUCAAGCGUGUAAUUAUAUAUAUAUACACACAACUUGGGAUGUACUUCAUAUGACUUACGAUGCUUGUAUUCCAACCACAGGUCCCUAAGUACGGAUUCUUAAGUGACCCAAUGUUUUUUUUUUAUUCAUUUGAUGUGGAAUACAAAAGAAUUAAUUGAUUAAAAGAAAUUAAAUAAUCAUUAUAUUUAUAAAUUUAAUCAUUCCUUGAUUUUACUUGAAAAAUAAUAUAUUAUUGACAUAAAUGUCACUUAUCAUUUCAAGUAUUUAUAUAUAGUUUUAAAUGAAAUAAUUGUUUUUACAAGAAAAAAAAAAGAUACUUUUAUAAAAUGAAAAAAAAUUAAGGUUAAAUUUAUAAAUUUGAGUUUUUAAUGACCCUUCUAAUCAAAUACUCUAAUACAAAGUCAUCUGUUAUCAUUUCCUCUCUACAACUUCAGGUUUGUGCAUCCUGACUUUGUAGUCUCGAAUAUAGGCAUUAGAUAUCUUAUUUCUAGUCUUAGAUUUAGGUAUAAGGUUGGAAUUAUGAUAAGUGUUAAGUUUCUGGGAUUUGUUAAGGAGAUUUGCACAAUAUUUGUAGAGUUAUUAUUAUUAUUAUUAUUAUUAUUAUCUUGGUUUUUGUUUGCUUGAAUUAUUUGAUUGAUUGGUCAUACCUAGCUUUCUAGCAAGUUUGUUUCUAGUACGGUCGUUUUACCACUCUAGAGACAUGCGGGCAAGACAUAAAAGUUCUAGAUAUUCUUCGAAAUCUGUAUUGCAAUAUCAGGUUGAACAUUAAACAAAGAGAUAGUCACUGCAAUAGUAAGUGUGUGCUGACCAACGUUUUAAAAAUCCAAUCGGACCAGCUGGUCCGAUCGGUCUGACCGUUGAUCGGUCAUCAGUCCAGUUCGAUUCACCCCUUUGAACCGGCCAACCUCUGAACUGUCAUCGAACCGACGGACAGAUUGGUCCGACCAAUUUUUAUUGAACCGAACAAUUCAAAUGAAUUUUUUCCUUGGCUUCCAAAAUGAUGUCUUCCCUUUCUUCUUCGUUCUUCCAGAACGUUCUCCCCCGCCCACAGUUGACCGUGACUCAGUUGACCGUGACUCAAAAUACAUUCCAACAACUGAUGAAGAUGAGGAAGUAGAGUAUGAAUGCAAGAACAACAUUUGAACUUAACCCCAAAGAUUGAAAUUGUCUAAAUCAGAUCAAAUGAUUUACUUGUGUUGGGUGUAUCCCAAAAGCCCACAUCAAAUGGAAAAUCACCCUCACCUCCCUGGACUUGUUCCACCAUGCCAUCCAUGGUUCCCUUUGUCUCUGUUGCAGUUUGUUCGGCCCAGAGGCUUGAGAUACGCUCCCCUCCAGAGCUACAAAUCGAAAAGUCAGUUUCUUGAUCCAUUUGGGCAUGCCCAGAUAACAGGCUUUCCCACCAUGCAAUAUCAUCAUUUGGCUGUGGUAACUUGGAUGAUGGCUUACUAGAUGUACUUGUUAUUUCCACAUUAAAAUUAAGUGGGUGGCCCACUAACCUAGUAUUUAGCCGAUUAAAAGAAUACCUAAAAUAUUUAAACUGUUAUAAAGAUAUUUACCCUUUGAUGGAGUGGGUAAAUUAUUAUAAUAAUAAUAUUAUUAUUUGGAAUAAAAAACAGUUAUUCGAUCGAAUAACACGUUCAUAAUGGUUUUUGAACGUGUAUUCUUGACCCUCUUCUCUUAUCAAUAAGAUAUAUAUACAGAAACCCCUUCAUGUGCGGUGAGUGCUCUCUUCCAUCAAUUACAGAAAACAAUUCUGUGUAUUAAAGUUUGAUAAGGAGAAGAAGAGAUCAAGGAUUUAAGAUCUAUAAACUGAAGGGAAAUCUCUCAUAGCUGCGUGUUCUUCAAACGGUAUGUAAUCUAUUUUAAUUAAUGUUUUUAUUAUUUUAUUUUUCAGAGAUGAGUUUGAAUUCAAUGAUCUGGAAUAUUGUGUGUUAAUUUCUGUGUUAAAUGUCAACAAUUGGUAUCAGAGCAAGGUUGAAUUCAAAUAUUCAGAAUCAUUGUUUUAUAAAGAUUAAAUUUUGAGAUUUAUCAUCGAUUAAUUCGUCUCACUAAAAUGAAUAAAAAAAAUAAUAAUUAAACAAAAUAAAGACCAGCCUCAAUGCGUAGAAGGAAGAUUUUUAUUUUUCCUUGCAACGCCGAUUGGAGCAAUGCCGGUGAGGGGCGCUGGUUUGGCCGACUGGUUUGGCGUUAGUCCGGUGGCCGGUUUCAGGCGCCAGUCAAGGCGCCAUUGCCUGCGCCAUUGAAGGUGCCAUCUCACUGUUUUCAGGCGCCAAUCCAGGCGCCAUUGAAGGCGCCAUCUCGACGUUUUCACGCGCCAGUCUAGAUGCCAUUGCCGGCGCCAUUGAAGGUGUCGUUUCUCCAGCUUUCCGACGGCAGUGAAGGCGCCGUUUUCAGGCGCCAUCUCCAGGCAUCAGGCGCCGUUUCUCAGGCGCCAUUAGAGGCGCUGGUUGCAGGCGCCGUUUCUCAGGCACCAUUAGAGGCGCUAUUUGCAGGUGUCGUUUCCUUCUUCAAGGGCCAUUGGAGGCGCCGUUUGCAGCGCCGUUUCAGGCGCUCUUCAGGCGCCACUUUUCAGGCUCUCCAAAAGUGCCAUUUCAGGCGCUAAUCCAAAGAUCUUAAUUGAUUUAUUAUUUGAUUUGAGUCUGAACCUUUGUGAAAUUAUUAUUAUGUCUGAGGAAUGCAAGUAUUAGCUUUAGUAUAUUCAAUGAAUGCAGAUUUCUUUGAUUUUAUUAUGAUUGAUUAUUGAAUCAGAUGGUUAUUAAACAUACUAUUUCCUUGAUUUUUUAACUCAAAUAAAAGAAUUAAUUUCAUCUUGUGAAUAUUUUAUCUAAAGACAAUUUAUAAAUGUAAGGUUAACUAGUUUAGAUUAUUGCCAAAGCAACCUAAAUUAGUGAGCCUUGUAUUUAUUGAAUUGCAUAAAAGAAUAAAGGGAGACUUGUAAAAUUCUUAAUAAUUCUCUUUAUAAUUAGGAGAAUGAGACUAACCCAAAGGAGAGUCAAUUUCUGCUAAUUAUUAAUUAAUGUUUUAUUUUGUGUUGCUUAGAAAGGUAAAAUGGAUACCCAAAGGUAACAUAUAAAUGACACAAAAUAGUAAAGUAUUUUAAGCUCCCUCCAAGUGAACACUGGAUAUGUUAAAAUUUACCCAAAGGAGAAUUUUAAUGAUAUCAAUAGUUCAUUGCUAUUUAUUUUAUACUUGAGGCCUUAUUGUGAGCAUUGUUCUAUUUUGUACAGUUCCCACUUCAUUACACUCUCUUGCAUCUGGAAUGGCUGUUUUUGAUGGGUCGAACUUUUCUGAAUGGUAUGAAACAAUUCUCACUGGGCGUAUUGGAUCUUGACCUGGCUUUAAUAACGGAUAAACCUCCUGAAGCUACGGAUGACAGUACUCCGGAGCAGGUGGAACAAUUAAAAGCCUGGGCAAGAUCCAACAUACUCAGUUUUAUGUUUAUGAGAAUGAUUAUUGCCAAUAAUAUCAAGACCUCUCUCCCUCAAACCGAGUUUGCCUCGGAAUUUCUGAAAUCUGUUGAAGAGUGCUUCAAACGCGCUGAUAAGUCCCUUGCAGGCACAUUGAUGGCUGAAUUGACUACCAUGAAAUAUGAUGGUCAGAAAGGUAUUCAGCAACAUAUUUUAAACAUGACUGAAAAAGUUGCAAAGCUUAAGGCGCUAGGCAUGGGUAUGGAUGAGUCCUUCUUGGUACAGUUUGUCCUUAACUCACUUCCAUCACAGUUUGCUCCAUUCAAAAUCCACUAUAAUACUAACAGUGAUCAGUGGAACUUGAAUGAGCUCACCAGUAAAUGCAUACAAAAGGAAGUGAGAUUAAGACAAGAAGGACAUAAUCUUGCCCUUGCUGUAACUCAUGGAGUCAUGAAGAAGAAAGGAAAAUUCAGAAAAGGAAAGAAGUUUCCACCUAAGAAAAGCGGACCUGGGGAAGGUAGCCAGAGUCAUGAUGGAAAAUUCACGGUAAGUUGCUACUUUUGUGGCAAGAAAGGGCAUGUGAAGAAGGACUGUAACAAGCGUAAGGCUUGGUUCGAAAAGAGAUGUAUAAAUCUUUCUUUUGUAUGUUAUGAAUCCAAUCUUGCUGAAGUUCCUUCAAAUACUUGGUGGAUUGAUUCUGGAGCCACAACUCAUGUGACUAAUUUAAUGCAGGGAUUCUUUACAACUAGGAAACUAAAGGAAAGUGAAAAGUUCCUCGAUAUGGGAAACCGUCUCAAGGUUGAAGUGGUAGCUGUUGGUACCUAUCGCUUACUAUUAGAGACGAGUCAUCGGAUGGAUCUUUUAAACACUUUUUAUGUACCUUCUAUCUUUAGGAAUUUAGUUUCCUUGUCCAAAUUAGAUGCUACUGGAUAUUCUGUUUUAUUCAGUUUUGGACAAUUAAGUUUGUUGUUAAAUUCUGUUACAGUUGGUUCUAGUAUUUUAUGUGAUGGUUUAUAUAAAAUUUCCUUGAAUCAUGAAUUUGCACAAGCCUUGAUAACCCUGCAUUCAAAUGUUGGUUCAAAACGUGGCUUAAUUAAUGAAAAUUCUUCAAUCUUGUGGCACAGAAGACUAGGGCACAUCUCUAGGGAAAGAAUUGAGAGAUUAGUGAAGGAAGGAAUUUUACAAAAUCUUGACUUAACUGAUUUUCAUGUAUGUGUGGAUUGCAUAAAGGGAAAGCAAACUAAACAUACAAAGAAAUGUGCCACAAGAAGUAAUGAGCUUCUUGAGAUAAUUCAUAUAGAUAUUUGUGGACCACUCUCUGUUCCAUGUUUUACAGGAGAGAAAUAUUUUAUCACCUUUAUAGAUGAUCUAUCUCGUUAUGGUUAUGUUUAUCUAAUGCAUGAAAAGUCUCAGGCCAUUGACAUCUUCGAGAUGUUCAUAACAGAGGUCAAGAGACAAUUAGAUAAAAAGAUUAAAAUUGUGAGAUCAGAUCGAGGUGGUGAACAUUAUGGCAGAUAUGAUGAAUCAAGACAAAAUCCUGGUCCUUUUGCCAAAUUCCUUGAAAAGCGUGGCAUUUGUGCUCAGUACACAAUGCCUAGUACGCCACAGCAGAAUGGUGUUGCUGAAAGGCGUAAUCGCACAUUAAUGGAAAUGGUUAGGAGUAUGAUGAGUUACUCUUCUGUACCUAUUUCAUUGUGGGGUGAAGCCUUAAAAACCGCAAUGUAUAUCUUGAACAGAGUUCCUAGUAAAGCAGUUCCAAAAACUCCUUUCGAGUUAUGGACUGGUAGGAAACCUAGCUUGAGACAUAUACAUAUAUGGGGUUGUCCAGCGGAGACAAGAAUCUAUAACCCACAUGAGAAAAAUCUUGAUGCAAGAACGAUAUCUGGAUAUUUCAUUGGCUAUUCGGAUAAAUCGAAAGGGUACAAAUUUUACUGUCCUAACCACAAUGUGAGAAUAGUUGAAACCGGUAAUGCCAGAUUCUUAGAGAAUGGUGAAAUCAGUGGGAGUAAUGAACCAAGAAAGGUAGAUAUUGAGGAGAUAAGAGUGGAUAUCCCACCACCUUUUUUAACUCAAGAAAUUAUUGUCCCUCAACCUGUUCAACAAGUUGAGGAAAAUGAGCAACAUAAUAGAGAUGGUUCAUUACUACCAGAAAAUAUUGCCAUUGAAAAUGUUGUAGAGCCACCACAACCGGCACCUUAGAGGAGAUCUCAAAGAGAAAGGAGACCUGCCAUUACAGAUGAUUAUGUGGUGUAUCUACAGGAAUCUAAUUUUGAUAUUGGGAUAAGGAAGGAUCCGGUUUCGUUUUCACAAGCCAUGGAAAGUGAUGAUUCUAGUAAAUGGAUGGAAGCUAUGAAUGAAGAGUUGAAAUCUAUGGCCCAUAACGGUGUCUGGGAUCUCAUCGAAUUGCCUAAUAGUUGUAAAUCCGUCGGCUGUAAAUGGGUCUUUAAGACAAAGCGCGACGUUAAAGGCAAUAUCGAACGAUUUAAGGCCAGAUUUGUGGCCAAAGGUUUCACUCAAAAGGAAGGUAUCGAUUACAGAGAUACCUUCUCUCCAGUUUCCAAGAAAGAUUCACUUAGAAUCAUCAUGACACUUGUAGCUCAUUUUGAUUUAGAGUUACAUCAAAUGGAUGUGAAAAGUGCAUUCUUAAAUGGGAAUUUAGAUGAAGAUAUCUACAUGGAACAACCUGAAGGGUUUGCAAAGAAAGGAAAUGAACACCUAGUUUGCAAAUUAAAGAAAUCCAUUUACGGUCUUAAACAAGCUUCCAGACAAUGGUAUAUUAAGUUCAAUAAUACCAUUACAUCUUUCGGAUUUAAAGAGAACAUUGUUGAUCAGUGUAUAUAUCUGAAAGUUAGUGGGAGCAAGUUUAUAUUUCUGAUACUGUAUGUGGAUGAUAUUUUGCUUGCUAGUAGUGAUCUUGGUUUAUUACGUGAAACCAAGGAAUAUCUCUCUAAAAACUUUCAUAUGGUUGAUAUGGGUGAGGCAAACUAUGUUAUUGGCAUCGAGAUCUUUAGGGAUCGAUCUCGAGGAGUACUAGGUUUAUCUCAGAAAGGAUAUUUUGAUCGAGUUUUAGAAAGAUUUAAUAUGCUGUCAUGUUCAUCGGGUAUUGCACCUAUAUUGAAAGGUGACAAAUUAAGUAAAAUGUAGUGCCCAAAGAAUAACAUGGAAAGGGAGCAAAUGAAGAAAAUUCCUUAUGCAUCAGCUAUGGGAAGUUUGAUGUACGCUCAAACAUGUACAAGACUGGAUAUCAGCUUUGUUGUAGGCAUGUUAGGAAGAUACCAAAGUGAUCCAGGAUUCGAACACUGGAAAGCUGCAAAAAAGGCGAUGAGGUACUUACAAGGGACAAAGGAUUAUAUGCUCACAUAUAAAAGAUCAGAACAAUUAGAGGUUGUCGGUUACUCGGAUUCUGAUUAUGGUGGUUGUCUCGAUAGCUUAAAGUCAACUUCAAGAUUUGUCUUUAUGCUAGCAAAUGGGGCAAUCUCAUGGAAGAGUGAAAAACAAUCAAUUACUGCUUCAUCCACGAUGGAGGCCGAGUUUGUUGCUUGUUUUGAAGCUUCAAGUCAUGCUUUAUGGUUGCGGAAUUUUAUCUCAGGGCUUGGUGUUGUCAACUCUAUUGCUAAACCUUUAAGAAUAUAUUGUGAUAACACCGCAACUGUUUUCUUCUCUAAGAAUGACAAAUUUUCUAGUGGAUCGAAACACAUGGAUUUAAAGUAUUUAGUUGUUAAAAAAAGAGUCCAGAAACAACAAGUGUCAAUUGAAAAUAUUAGGACCACACUUAUGGUUGCUGAUCCAUUAACUAAAGGAUUACCUCCAAAGGCAUAUUUGGAACAUGUUAUGAGGAUGGGCCUUUUGACUAAUCCAUAAUAUGUAUGAUAAUGAAUGGUGGUUAUGUAAUUGACAAUUUGCGCAUUAAAAUUGUUUAUGUUUAUUCUUAUUUUCAAUUAUGGGUGCACGUUUUAUUGUUUGAUAAACAAGAAUUGUCUUGACAAGACAAAUUACAAGGGCUAUUUGGCAUUAAGGACUGAGUUAGUAAGGGUUAUUGAUGUGUGGUGCAUGGAAGGAAACAUGACAUUAUGGUUAUGUGACCGCCAUGACUCGCAUUUAUGAUCUAAACUGAUUCAGUAUUAUGGUAUAUGAUUUUGGACGUAUUGGCGAAGUUUAUUGAAAUCGUGAUCACAUGUCAAAUUUAUUUUCCAGUAUAUAUUUUAUGUAUAAAAACUAAAUAUAUUAUAGUUUUCAUAAUCGGUUUAGUGGGCCAAGUGGGAGAAUGUUAUUUCCACAUUAAAAUUAAGUGGGUGGCCCACUAACCUAGUAUUUAGCCAAUUAAAAGAAUACCUAAAAUAUUUAAACUGUUAUAAAGAUAUUUACCCUUUGAUGGAGUGGGUAAAUUAUAAUAAUAAUAAUAUUAUUAUUUGGAAUAAAAAACAGUUAUUCGAAUAACACGUUCAUAAUGGUUUUUGAACGUGUAUUUUUGACCCUCUUCUCCUAUCAAUAAGAUAUAUAUACAGAAACCCCUUCAUGUGCUGUGAGUGCUCUCUUCCAUCAAUUACAGAAAACAAUUCUGUGUAUUAAAGUUUGAUAAGGAGAAGAAGAGAUCAAGGAUUUAAGAUCUAUAAACUGAAGGGAAAUCUCUCAUAGCUGCGUGUUCUUCAAACGGUAUGUAAUCUAUUUUAAUUAAUGUUUUUAUUAUUUUAUUUUUCAGAGAUGAGUUUGAAUUCAAUGAUCUGGAAUAUUGUGUGUUAAUUUCCGUGUUAAAUGUCAACAGUACUAACUUGCAUGUCAAAAGCAUCCGUAGCUGUAGUUUUUAGUUCAAACCUUGGCGAUAAUUUGGAUAACUUGUAGGGCCGAGGCUUUAGAACUUUGGUUUUAGAAUGUGUUUGGGGUUUAUCUCUCCCUUCGUCCGGGAAGUGAACCAUCUUUUUAAAGCGGUGAGUAUGCCAGUAAUUCUUGACAUCAUUAGCAGUCCUCCCUGGAAGUCUGCCCGCGAUCAAGGACCAUCUAUACAAGCACAGCAUGCAACAGAUCAACUAUCAAGUACAAGCACCACAUGGAGGCUUUUCUAAUUUGGAAUAUAGCUUCAGAAUUGAUAUAAUAAUAUCAUGUUACCAAUAUUAUGUUCCUUUGAUGAGUCAAAGCUGGUGCCCUUCUUCCUUUCCUAUUUUUUUCCUUGGAUAAGUCAACCCUUCCCAUUCCACUUUUCUUCAGGUGUUUGGUCUAAGACUCUAAAAUCAUUUUUAAAUUUUGAUUUUCUCUAUUGAAAAUAAUAUUCAUUUUUUCCUUAUUUUUUAAAAUCUACUUAAUUAAAAAAGCAAAAUUUAUUUUUUGAAAGUACAAUUCAUUUAUUCAUUAUUUUUUCAUUUUCUUUAUUAAAAUUUUAUUUUAACAUCAUGUGUAAUUAAAUUAACAUUAAAAUAAAUUAAUUUUUAAUAUAAAAAUACAUUCAUCUAUAAUAAUUAAUAAUAUAAAAAAUAAAAAAUACUAAUAUUUUAAACAAUAUUGAUUUCAAAUAUAUAAUAUUCAUAAUAUUUUUAUAUUUAUAAUAUUUAUAAUUUUCAUAUCAUGAAUCUCAUUUUUUAUAUUUUAUAUUUUUGAACUUUUUUCUAGAAUAUUAAACCUAAAUUUUUAAAAAUAAAAAUAAAAAUAAACACCAUCCACAUGCAUAUUCUGUAUAGGUGGUAACUCAUCUUUAACUAGCUAGUUGGAAAGUAAUUUUAGAAGCAUGCAUAAGUUAUUAUUCUAAUACAUGAUUUGGAUAUUAUUUUCCCCAAUAUAUACUAUCCAUAAAACUCACUUUUUUAACUUCUUAAUUCAUCCAUAUUUUUAAAAUAAAGGACCUUUACAUGAUUCCCCAAAGUUUUUUUAUUGCAAUGCCGCAUUGCUUGGCUUCCAAAUAUACUGAAGUUCAUGGACAAGGAGUAUUGUUCAUAGGAGAUGACAAUUGGCAAGUAGUACAAUUAUUAACUCUCUACGUAAAUUUACUGUUAAGAUACAGUCCAAAUGCAGCCUAGGAAUUGCUAAACAUGUGGUUCAAAUGCAUAUCUUGGAUAGGGUUCAGGCAUCCUGUUAUUAUGACAAAUACAGCCAUGAUCUUCUAACAAAGCUGAGAUUGUGAUCGCUUUUAGGCAUCCUGUUCAUCUUGUAUUUGGGAUUCCAUCAAUUAAUUUCUUAGGAGUUCAAUCAUGCACUAAUUCUUUGAUAAAUAGGAAGAACGAAAAAUACAAAAUAAUUUAAUAAAAUAAACAUUUUCUUUAUUUUUAUUAGAUUCCUGCAUUUGAACUCCUGAAGAAUUCUAUUUAAUAAAAGAAAGAUAUAAUUUGAAACUCCAGACAAGUUUUAAGCAACAAAUUCUCAAUCCAUUUCAAAGGACACUGACACGGACCUCAACCACUACCAUUUAUAGCUGCACGAGUUAUGUUUAAGUUGGGACUUCUAAUUUUAAAAUUAGUGGGAUUGAAACACGUAGAGGAGCAAAAAAAAAUAAAGAAAAAGGAGAAGAUUUUAGCAAGGUUUAAUAAUUAGUGUGAUUUUUACGUUUACAAAGCACAUCAACACUAAAGAAUUCGUUAAUUAAACAAAGAAAUCCCGAGCACUGUAUUGAAAAUUUUGACAAAAACAUUUAAAAGACAACCAACAAAAAUCAAGAAAGCAACAUUACAUCACAAAGGUAUCGAAAAUUUUGAUACAUGAAAUAUUAGCUAGCAUAGGUUGAGCACAACUAUAUAUUUAAUAGAAUGACUUAAAAGUGUUUUCAAAGUCAAAUAUUCUAAUUGGGCUCGCUGUGAUGGGAGCUCAUUUUUUUUUCUUUCUUCAAUAAGCUAUGUAUUGGAUCCCAUGGGUGGACCAUCAAGGAUACUCUCCCCGAGUGAUUUAUCGUUUGGUUAUUACAAUUCUCAACCAUUAUUUUAUAUUUUUCUUUUUUAAAUUAAUCCUUAUACCAUCAAUUUUCACCAUUGCUUUCAUUUUCAAAAUCUAGUUUCUAAACUUUUUGUAUUGCACCAUCUUCAAUCCUUAAAAUGAAUUCUUGUGAUUUGAUAUUUAGCUCACCAAGUUCAAAUAUUACUUGUAAUUGACAACCCUAUGCUCAAAGUGAAUACCAUGCAUUAUGGAUGUUCAACCAAAAUUUUUAUGUUAUUAUUGGGGGAGCUUUUCUUUUUUUUUUCGCAAAUAAUAUGGAUUCAAAUAUACCAUAUUAAUUGUGCCUAGCAAUUUGUUCAGAUUUAUCCUUGGAUCUAUCAACAAUUUUAAAUGUCCUAAAUAAAAGGGUUUUGUUUUAAGGGACAGGUAGAUAAAUUGAAAUGAUUCUAAAUGCAGUGCGGAAAUUAUAGUCAACGGCAACCACGCGGGUGUCCUUGUCAAUAAUGCAGCAAGCGUACGUGUCGUCACCCUGUGCGGGAUUGGUACCAUGUGGGUGUCCUUGUCAAUCAAAGCCCAUCCUGCUGCCUCCUGUGCACCAUCUUGUACCAAUCCCCGUCUUAUGCAUGGUUGCAAAUUGUUGAGACGAUGACAUAUGAGACUGAUCAUUUAUUUAUCAUCAUUUUUCAAUGAAGGUACUAUUAUUAGGCUAUUGCUCUGGCCCAUGAAGUAUUUUGCCUCUCGCAAUAUUCUUUUCUCCACAAAAUAGCUAGAGAACUACGAGAUAUAUGGUAUUGCUACUUGACAAAAACAUUUUAAGUUCUUUUUCUGCUAUCUAUUUAAUGCUGGGUUCGUAUUCUCAGCCACCCAUCCCCUGCUUCUUUUUGAGUGAGUGAGAGAGAUCGGUCAGCGUCAUUAGAUUGGAUGAGUAUGGGCUUACUAGGAUCAACAAAAUGUGUGGUACCUGUUGGUUCCUGCUCAAUAAUGACCCUUUAAGCAGCCGCCCCAGCGCCUCCAAUUUUUUAAGCAGAAAAUUGUGUUUUCAACCCUUAUAAUUUGAUAAUUAAGAUAAAAUUAGAAUGGAUGAAGAGUUUUUAUUUUAAGUACUCAAUUAAAAUAUUUUUAAAUAAUUUAAUUUUAGAAGUGGAUUAUAUCAAUACAUAGUAUAAAUUGAAUUUUUCUUAUAUAAAAGGAUUGAAAGGUAUAUUUACUUAUUUUAGAUGAAAACAAGUAGUUAAAAAUUAUAUAGAUUACAUUUGAGUUUGGUUUUAAAAUAUUUUUCUAGUCUUUAUUUUUUUAUUUUUAAAAAUAAUUUUUAUUUUUUAUAUUGCCUCUUUUUGAAAAUAGCAUUUAAUUAAAAAACUGAAAACUAUUUUUAAAAAUGAAAAUUGAAAACCUUGUUUAGCAUUAUUUUUUUAUAUGAAAAUAAAAAUAAAUAAAUUUAUUUAUUCAUUUAUGUGAAACCAAGGUUUGGUUGUGAAACCAAGGUUUGGUUAAUCUUGAUUUUGAUGAUAACAAAACAAGGUUUAGAACUAAUGAUCAUAUUUCAAGUGUGAUUAGGCAAGACGACUUCCAAAGUGGCAAUCCAAAAACAAAUCAAGCCAAGGAGAAAUCAUGAAGAAGAAGACCACCUCAAAGAGAAGAGUUUUUUCAAGACCAAAACUUCUUAAGAUCUCCUUGUAAAGUUGUUGGUGCACUAGGACUUUCAUGCAUUUCAUUCUUUAUUUAUGCACCAAAAUCAUCUAAGAGUAAUAUUGUUUUAAAUAUCUUAAGAAUCGGAUGAUUUCAUGUUUUCAACUAAAACCUUGUGUUAAAUGAUUUUCAAACUUGUGUUAAAAUGUUUUAAGUUGAAAAAGGUUGAGUGUUGAGCCAAAAAAAAUGGCUCAACCGGUUCAAACCGUCGACCGGUUGUGCUCGUCCGGUCAAGGACCGGUUGAGGGAGGCCAAAAAGUUUUUCUCUCUCCUAGUGGCUUUCUCUUCCCGGUCAAGGUUGAACCUCAACCGGUUGAAGUCCGAUUGAGGCCCAACGGUCACUUUUCCUAACGGCUAGUCAACCGGUCGAACCCCCAAUGGCUAGUUUGGCUUUUUUCUUCUAUAAAAAGGCUUCAAUCUUCAUUGUUUUACAAGCUUAACCUUCCUAAAUCAUUCUUGAUUAUAUUUGAGCCUUGGAAGAGUGUUUUUGAGUGCACCAUUGUUUCAUAACUUGCAUAUCUUUAGUGCACCAUUCAAUCCUAAUUUUUCUUGUAUCUUUGAGUUUAAAGUUCUAUUACUAGGAUUUUUGUGAGAUCAUUAUUUGUAUAUCUUUGUGAGGAAUUUUCUCAAGUGAGGGGUAUCACUUGAGAGGUUGUUCAAGAGAGGGACAUCUCUUGAAGAAGUGUAAAGGGUGCUUAGAGCCAAAAGUCCAAGAGGGUGAAUUGGAACCAUAAUCCAAUUGUAAAGAGAUUGGAAGCUUGGUUGAAGCUUCAAGAUAGUGGAACCCUCACUCGGUUAGGAGGUUGAGGAGAGUGGACGUAGGCAAGGAAGUGCCGAACCACUAUAAACUCUCGUGUUUGCACUCUCUCUUCCCUAACUCUUUUAAAUUAUAUGCAAUUAUCUUUAUUUUGUUUAUUAUAUACUUGCAUAUAAUUGUCUCUUAUUUUUGCAUAGUUUAAAUUUGUGAAAAAGAGACCAUCACCCCAUUUACCCCCCCCCCCCCUCUAGGGUGAUUACCAUAGUUUGGAUUAGCCUCAAAUUCCUAACAAUUUAUUGUGUUACUAUACAAUUGUAUUACACUAAUCGUACAAGGGAAAUGUACUAAGUGUACAAAAGUGGACAAGGAUACCAUUUGUGAAAUAUUAUAAUUGAUUAUGAGUCAUUCCUUUAUUUUUCUUAUCACUCAUGUAUUGUCCACGUAUGUCAUGCACUUUAUUUAAUUCCUACAUGGAAAUUCUAAUACUUUUCCCAAUAAUGAUAUUUGGGGAAAAAAAUUUUGACCUUAAGUCAUCCACCAUCUUCUCAACUAAACCAUUGAAAAUAUGAUUAAACACUCCUACAUAUACACAUAAUUUAAGAGGGAUAUGAAAUUUGUGUUAUUAUACAAGGGUAUUACACUAACUGUACAGGGGAAAUGUACUAAUUGUACAAAGGUGCACAAGAUUACCUUUUGUAAAUGAUUUUAAUCAAUUCUAAACCACUUUUUUAUUUUCUCUAUCACUCAAGGAUUGUACACAUAUGUUAUGCACUUUAUUUAACUCUCACAUGAAAAUUCAAAUAUUUUCCCCAAUAAUGAUAUCUGGGGAAAAAAAAUUGAUCCUAAGUUAUUCACUAUUUUUUCAAUCAAACCAUUGAAAAUAUGAUUAAUACAUCUAUAUGGACAUAUAACUUAUGGGGGAUAUGAAAUUUGUGUCAUUGUACAAGAGUAUUACACUAAUUAUAUAAGGGAAAUAUGCUAAGUGUACAAGUGUACAAGGCUCCUAAUAGGUUUUGUACGAUUUUUAAACAACUUGAGUUUGACAUUAAGAUGAUUAUUGAUAGUUUUGUUUUGUUUUUUUUACCAAACUAUGUCAUUAAGACAUUCCUUACAAAAAUUAACACAUAGGAAAUAAAAUUAAAAUAAAUCAUAUUUGAAUUGUUCAUUAUAAGUAAACUAAAUGAAAUAUAUUUUUUUACUAUUUUGCCUUUAUAAACAUAAUUUUAUUGUUAUCAAUAGAGUUUAAAAAAUCAUAUUUAAAUGGAAUUAAAAAUAAACAAAAAUUAUUUUUAUAACAUUUUUUAUUUUUUUAAAUCAUUAAUUUAAAUUAUGAAAUUAGUUUUAAAAUUAAAAAUAUUUGUUGUAAUUAUAGUUUUGAAGAUUUCAUGAUUUUUAUCUUAUUACUUUGAAAAAAUUGCUUUAAGAAGAAAGUAUUUAUUUUAAUGGUUUUAAAUAUUUAAAUCUUUAUUAAAAAAUAUUUAGGAUUAGUGUGGAGAGCAAUUAGGUAAUUUUGGAAUGGAGAAAUUUUGAAUACUUUGAAAACUUUAAUUCGGCCAAUUACCUUAUUUACACUUUUAAAAUUAUUGGAAGGUUGGUAAAUUAGUCUUAGAAAUAUUGUCUUCUUGAUUAAUAUUAUAUAUAUAUGCAUGUGAGUGUUUACAUUAUUUUCGAAAUAAUAUGAGAAAUAAUAAACAACAUGUGUCUAAUUUGCAAGUUAGAAAAAAAAAUUAAUAAUACUUUAUGAGGUAUUUAAAAAGUAUUUAUUAUAUGUUCUAUAAAUUUGAAAAAAAAAUAUUCAUAAUAUCUAAUUUACAAGUUAGAACAAACAAAUAAUACUAAUAUUUUAUGAGGUGUUUAAAAAUUAUUUAAUAUAUAUGAGAAAUAAUAUAAGUUUGAAAAAAUAAUAAUAUUUGAUGAGGUAUUUAAAAGUUAUUCACUUCAAAAAUGUAUUUGACAAUAAUAAUUUUUAACUAUCUUUCAUAUUCAAUUUGAUGAAGAAAAAUGAUUCAACUUAGUUCCACUAUUAAAUAGGUGAGAAAAUGGUAAAAGAGUUAAAGAGGGAAUGAGAAAGGUAAAGUGAUUGGUUAGUUUUUUCAUUUAAUAGUUAAGGGUAUUUUGGGGAUUUUUUUUAAAGACAAUAUCCUUCCUUUCGAUUUCUACUAUUUCAUUGGGUUUUAAGUUUAAUUAUGAGUGAUAUUAUGACCUUACCUCAAUUACCCAAUUUAGCUGGCUGAAAACACAAUUCUCCAUUUUUUAUGAUUCUGCAAAAAGAUAUGUUUGGAUUUGUUUGGGCAAAUCUCUCCCAUGGCCAAGGCAACUUACAGGAUUUUUGAGGAAUAGAUUUAUGAGGGACCUAUUCUUUAUAUCUGCAUUUCUUGUCACAUUGUGAUUAUAUACGCCGAGCUUUAUAAUUUCCUUCAGGUCAUUAUAACUCCUUUUUAUCUUCACAUUUAGGACAUGUUUGGUACUUGGGAUGAGAAGUGGGAAUGAUCCUGUCAUCUCUUCCCAUGUUUGGAUGAUUCAAAUAUUAAUAGGAAUGGAAUUAAGAACGAUUCCAAAUAUAAUGAAAUCGAGUUGUAAGUGGGAUAUCAAUUCGUUAUUAGGAUGAUGUAUUUUGAUUCUUUAGUACAAGUUAUUUUUAAAAAUAUUUUUCAAAAAUUAAAAAACCAAAAUCUUUUUUUGGAUAAAUUGUUUUUAAAAAUAAAAUUUUAUUUUAUAUUGUAAAAUACAAUUUGUAAAUUCAAUUUAUAUAAUAUAAAUUAAAUUUAAUUCAAGUCUUAUUAAAAAUAAAAAUAUAUUUAAAUUUAUAAAUAAAUUAAAAAUUAAAUACUUCUUUAAUAAAAUUUUAAUAUUAAUAUUAUAAUAAAACCAUAAAUCAUAUAUAUAUAUAUAUAUAUAUAAUUGAAUAUCAACAUCUUAUAAAAGCAUAAUUAAUUUAUUUUAUUAAAAAUAAAUAAUAAUAAUUCAAAAUUAAUAACUUUUAAUACUAUUUUAUUUUAAAUGAAUUUAAAAACAAAUAAAGUUUAAUUUUUUAAAAGUAUAAAUGAGCUAAAUUUUUCAUUACAUUAGUAUAUACAUUUAUUACUCAAUUAUCGACAUGGUACUCUAAAUUUUUUUAUUUAAUUUAUAAUUAAUUAAUCAUUUUUUUAUUUCAAAUCAUUCUUACAAAUUAAAAGAUUCAUUAAAGAAUUUAAGUCUAUUAUUUUUUAUACUCAUUAUAUAUAGUUUUUGAGUUUCAUAUUAGCUUUAAAAAUUAUUAAAUUUAUUAAUAAAUUUAAUACAAAGUUUUGCUUGGUUUGAAAUCCAUUUCUCUAAUAAAAAGAACUCAGCAAAACAAUUCAUUAUUUUAUGUUUUUUUUUUCAAAAAAUAGAAAAAAAAUUACUUUUAGAUAACAAUAGCCAAAUAAUUAUAUAAUUUUUUUUUAAAAUUAUUAUUUUUAAAUCAUACGUCUCAAAUAGGUUUUCUAUUAUUUAGCCAAAAAAAACUCUUAAAGGUGUCUUUUAAAUAAAAAUUAAAAAUUAAUUUUAAUUAUGUAUAAAGUGAGAGGUUUUAUAAUGAAAAUAAAAAAUAUUUUAAACUAAAUAUACAAAUAUUACUAUCAAUUUAUUUCUUUUUUCAUUUUCAUUCUCGUACGUAUUUGGUAUGCGAGAAUAAGGAGUGGGAAUGAAUAUCUCAGUCAUUUUUUCUUUUAUUUCUAUAUUUGGAUAACUUAUAAAUAAUGAUGAGGAUGGAAUCAAAAGCGAUUGCAAUGAGAAUUAAAUCUCACUUAUAAGUGAGUUUUCAAUUCAUUUGAUUAUGAGGUAUUUUGAUUCCUUAAUGUAAGUUAUUUUUAAAAAUACUUUUUAAAAGUAAAAAAAAAAAAACAAAGGACUUUUUUAGAUAAGUUAUUUUUAAAAACAUUUUUUAUUUUGAUUUUAUAAAAAACACAGAUUAUAAAUUCAAUUUAUACAAUAUAAACUAAAUUUAAUUCAUGUCUGGUUAAAAAAAAAAACAAAUUUUUUAGUUACAAAUAAAUUUAAAAUAAAUAAUUUUUAAUAAAAUAUGAGAUGUUCAUUCCCGCUCCUACCAGUACCAAACAUGUCCUGAAAGUAGGUCUCUUCCAAGGCCCUUGGUUAGGAAAUCGACCAAAUUUUCUUUGGACUUGGACAUAUUCUAAAGCCACUGUCCCAUUAGAGAUGAGUCUUUUUACAUAUUUCCCAUUAAAGAUCUCACUAUAUACUCUGAGCAUUGCGGCAUGAUUUUCAUACCACACAAUGAUGGUUGACUCUGCCUUAUUCCAUAUCGGUACUUCUUCUGAUAUAUUCCUUAGCCACUUAGCUUUCUCUCCAGUAAAUGAGAGGGCCAUGAACUCAUACGGAAUUGUGGAAUGAAACCUUUUCUUGUAACCGUGGGAAUAUAUGAGCAUGGAUUUUGUACUAAGGUUGCCUAGACCACAAUGUAGGGUUGACACAAUUUUUGUGGCGUUAGAUCACUUCUCCAAGAUAGCUCACUUUAUUCCUUAUGAGAAUACCAUUGAUGCCUCACAAGUUUCUCAAUUGUUUUUCAAAGACACAGUUCGACUUCUUGAAGUUCCUUGGACCAACAGGUGACACAAGAUUCAUGAAUCAAUUUUGGCACACUCAAUUUAUAAGGACUAAACUACAAUUUUCAAGCACUUGCCAUCCAUAAACUGAUGGACAAUCAGAGAUGGUGAAUCAAACUUUGGGAAAUUUGCUAAGGAGUCCUACUGGUGGCAACCAUGAAAAGAAUAUGUUUUUUUUUCCUCAAUCAGAAGUCCUCUCUCUUGGUUUUUGUUUUUCUUCCUAAAACGACAGUCAAUACUUUUAUGUUGUGAAAAAAAUGAUUCUUAUAUUUAUAGUUUCAUUCAUGACUUGAAAUAAGAAAAUUGAUCAGUAAAACAACCAAUCAGGAUUCUUGGACAUCUUAAAAGGUAAUUCUGAAAACCUUAUUUUACAUCCGAGAUGGUUUAUGGAAAGAGUCAAAUUCAUAAUUUUAAUCAUUCACAUGUUCUAAAUCUAUGGAAGUGUAGCACGGAGGCUGAAGAACUUGCUAGUUAUGUUCUAAAUCUGAAGAGGUGAUUGGGUGAGGGUUUACUUAAGAAGGGAGUGUUUUAUACUAGGCACUUAUCACAAGCUCCAAUGCAAGAAUUUGAGUUUUGUCAGUGAACUACUACAGCUCAAGAUGCAAUUACGGUCAUUAAGAAAAGAAUCUAUGACAAUGAGUGAUUACUUUGCUAAGAUGGACGAUAUUGCAGAUCAAUGUGCAAUGGCUGGUUGUUUUGUCAGUGAUGAAGAUUUGGUACUUUAUAUUUUAGCAAGUCUCGGAUCAGAAUAUGAUCCACUUGUAUGCAGCAUUACCACCUGUAAUAGUACUGAUCAUCUUUCUCUAAAGGGGAUUCAUGCUCUUCUACUCAAUCACGAAAGUAUAAUUGAGCAAUUGUAUGCAACUAAUUCAGAUUCACACCAUUUAUUUGCCAAUUUUGCUGCUCAUAAAAAUGGAGGAAAUCAUGGUCGUGGAAAAGGAAAUUUGAACCCUCAAGGUCGAGGUAGAGGAAGAAAUGGAGGUUUUUCUAGUAGAGGCAAUGGCAAUAAACCUAUUUACCAAAUUUUUGGUAAAAAAGGACACAUAACCCUCACUUGUUGGCAUAGAAUGGAUGAGAACUUUCAGUCUACAUCAUCCGUUACUAGCAGCAACAAUUAUAAGACAACAGUCUACAUGGCCACACUAGAUACAAUGAUUGAUUCAAUGCAGACUUACUUCCGGUAGCUUUUGCCAUAACUUCUAGCAUCCAAUUUGGGUUACCAAAACCACCUCAAACCCCACUCUCAGAUGUUCAUACCUCACCUACCUCACAACCAUCUAUGUCUUUAUCUGCUCAUGCUCCAACUCCAUGUCACCCCAUGAUUACCCGAGCCAAAGCUGGCAUUUUUAAACCAAAAGUGUAUGCUGCCCUCAAACAUCCCUUGAGUUUCUCACAUGGUCCUAUUGAACCUAUGUGUGUAAAGCAAGCUCUUGCUUAUCCAAAUUGGAAGAUAUCAAUGGAAGAAGAAUACAAGGCUUUAAUGAGGAAUCACAUAUGGGACUUGGUACCUUAUCAGCCCCAAUAUAAUGUAGUGGGCAAUAAAUGGGUGUUUAAGUUGAAGUUUCACCCAGAUGGCACUCUUAAUAAACAUAAAGCUAGGUUUGUUGCCAAGAAAUUCCAUCAAACCCCAGGUGUGGAUUUUUCAAUAACUUAUAGUCCUGUGAUUAAACCUGCCACAAUUAGAGUUGUACUAACUCUAACAAUUGCUCAAGGAUGGGAAAUUAGGCAACUGGACAUAAAUAAUGCUUUUCUCAAUAGAUAUCUGCAAGAAGAUGUGUUUAUGUCUCAACCUGAAGGUUUCAUUCAUCCUACCAAGCCUCAUCAUAUUUUCAAACCGAGGAAAGCUCUCUAUGGUUUGAAAUGGGCUCUAAGGGUCUAGUUUGAUAAACUUAAAGAUGCAUUAUUGCAGUGGGGUUUUCAAGAUUCAAAGUCUGAUGUAUCUUUGUUCCUAUAUAAGACCAAAGGAAUCAUACUCAUGCUAUUGGUAUAAGUAGAUGACAUCUUGAUUACCGGAAAUAAUAGCAUAGUAAUUUCGGACUUGGUUCAUGACCUCAAUAAGAGUUUUCUUCUAAAGGAUGUUGGUUCAUUACAUUACUUCCUAGGAAUUGAAGCCUUUCGAGAUGAAACAGGUCUCUAUUUAACUCAUUCAAAAUACAUUGCCGACCUGCUUCAAAAGACAAAUAUGGAUACAAUAAAGCCCUUACCAACACUAGCUAUUUUUGGAAAAGUGUACUCCAAAUCAAGUAGUGAUCUAGGGAUAAUCCAAUCAUGUAUAGAAGCAUAGUUGGAGCCUUGCAAUAUGUUACAAUCACAAGACCUGAUAUAUCAUACAUGGUUAGUAAGUUGAGUCAGUUCUUACAAAGUCCAACAGAGAUACUUUGGAGAGCUUGUAAAAGAGUAUUACGAUAUUUGAAAGGAACUAUCACUCAUGGUUUGCAUUUCCAGCCAAACCAAUCUUUAAAUCUUGUGGGUUUCAUAUAUGCAGACUAGGAUAGCUGUCCAGAUGAUGGAAGAUCAACAAGUGGUUAUUGUGUGUAUCUAGGAGGUGAUCUUAUUUCUUGGAGCUCAAAGAAAUAAAGUGUUGUUGCUAGGUCUAGCACCAAAUCAGAAUAUCGAGGCUUAGCUCAUGUGACAGUUGAGGUGAUUUGGCUCAAGUCCCUAGCAACAAAAUUGGCCCUUCAAUUGAGAUUAAGACUGGCAAUCUAAUGUGAUAACCAAGGAGCCGCCUCACUAGCUGCUAAUCCCGUUUAUCAUGCUAGAACUAAGCAUAUUGAAAUUGAUAUACAUUUCAUUUGUGAUAAAGUACUUAAAAAAGAAUUGGAUAUAUGGUUUGUACCCUUAGUAGAUCAAAUAGUUGAUUUGUUUACAAAACCACUUUCAAUCACUCGAUUCUUGAAACUUAAGGCCAAACUCCAGGUGAAAGAAUCCUUCUUUUGUUUGAAGGGGCGUGUAACGACAAAUAGUGCACAACUGAAGAACAUAAUUGCAACAGCUUCAGCCAUGUCAUCCUCUCCGGAAGCUUCUGCCAUGUCAACUAUUAGCUAAAGAUUUGUUAGAUUCUAUUUUUGAUUAGUUAGCAUUAGCAAAUUAGUUAGCAAUAGAUUAGUAAGCAAAAUAGAACACUCUGCUUUUGUAUAUAUAUAAGUAGAAUAGAACCAACCUCUGUUUCAAGUAAUGAGAAACAUAAAUAGUUUUCUUCACACAUAGGAUUUGUUAUUUUUAUUUUUCUAAAAAUGUUAUAUAUUAAAGGAGACAUAAUAUUUACGGGGUUCUAUAAGAAUGUGUUAUCUAGAUCCUCAAAUAAUGAUUAAUCCAUUAAUUUUCAAAUCAAAACUACAAAGUAAAUUAAGAGAGCUUUCUCCACAUAAAUUGGUUAAAGCCUUUAAGAUUGGCAAAAACCACAAAGAUGGACUAAAGUUAUUCUAACAACUCUACCUAAAGUCAUUCUCACACACUCAAGCCACACUCUAACCAAAGGAAUUAGACUUCUUACUAGGACCACAAACCUUCAGAAAACCAAUUCCUACUCUUUGUAGUACAAAGACUCCUAACAUGUAACAAAUUAAUUAUCAAAUCAUAAUCCUUUAGGACAAAGAUUCCUAAAAUACAUCAAGUUUUUAAUUUUGUUAAAAAACAAUAAAUCUUUACCUUAAACAAAUUUUAAAUUUUCUUCCAACUUUCCAAAUUCAAAACAUUCUUUGAUAAGCGAACACUUACAUAUAUAAUCAGAAUAGUGCAAUUAUAAAGAUGUCUUAUGCGUGGAAUAUUGAAGCCAAGUCAACUGAAAUGUUGAUACUGGGUCAACUGAAGGUAGCUUCUCCAUUGGUUGUGAUAGUGGAAGCUUCUUCCCAACAACUGGAGACUGGGUCGACUUCUCCCUUACACAAAGGAUGUUCGGACAGGUUGUCCGAGCACACUCUCCGAAGCUCAAGUCAGGCACCAAAUGGAUAGGAACCUUUAGAAAGGAGAGUAAAUAGGGGAACCCUCUAGUCUUGCGUACCUGGGCUCUGUUUUAAGAGGAUUUUUAUUGUGCUCAAGGGGAAAAGCACUGUAGUGCUAAGUUGGCACCUUGACCUAAUCUGUAAUAAUGGAAGUGAAGAGAUAGAGGGUUAUGAGGAUAGGCUUUGAGAAAAAAAGUUAACGAUGUUUCAUAAUUGAGAACCUGGGUGGGCAUUCUAUUUAUUAGAUAACAUAGUAAGAACAACAUUCCCUUAGAGGUAUUUUGACAUAUUAUUUGUGAAUAUAAUGGCUCUAGCUACUUCUAGAAGGUGGUGAUCCUUUCUUUCAACAAUGUAAUUUUGUUGUGGGGUUAUUAUGUAGGAGAUUUGAUGAAUAAUGCCUUUCUUAGAGAGAGAACUUCCUAGAAUAGAUUUAAAAUAUUCUUUUUCGUUGUCUAUUUUGAGAAUUUUAAUGUUCGCAAUGUAUUGGGUGUUAAUCAUGACAUAAAAUUUUUUGAACACUCACUCUAGUUCUGAUUUUUCUUUCAAAAGAUAUACCCAACAAACCCAAGCGUGAUCAUCAAUAAAUGUGAUAAAUCAUUUUUUUUCAUUAAAUGUUUAACUCGUGAAGGGCCUUAAAUAUUACUAUGGACUAAUGAAAAAGAUGAUGAAGACUUAUUUUUUAGGAGAAUAAAUGAAAUGAACAUGCUUGGCUAAGUGACAAAUUUCACAUUCAAAGAAAUCUCCAUUAUGAAAUAGUGAUGGAAACAAAGUUCAUAAAUAUGAAAAGCUUAGGUGGCUUAGUCUAUGAUGGCACAACAUUAUUUUUUGUUCUUUAGAAAGAGACUUACAACUCACAGUUUGAGCUUGUUUAUUCAAUUCGACUUCCUUCUCAAAAUAAUAUAACCCCUCAUGUUCUUUAGCAUUGCCAAUCUUCUUCCCCUAAAUCAGGUCUUGAAACACAGAAGAAGACUCAAAGAAAUGAGCACCACACUUUAAAUCUUUAGUCAACUUACUAAUAGAAAGAAGGUUGCAAGACAAAUUUGGAACAUGCAAUACAAAGUGUGGUUCAAUAUUAGGACCAAUUCUAAUAGCUCUAGUUCUACCACUGGUGAAAGAGAUCUUUCUCCUAUUUUAUCUUUGAAACUUCCUAAACUAGGAUUAUAUGAUGAGAAAAUUUUUCAUAGCCCAUCAUGUGAUCUAUGGCUCUAGAGUCAAUCACUCAUGGUUCCAGAUCCCUACUACAACUACUAAGAGCUAAGAAAAAAUUACCUCCAUAUGCUAGUAAUAAAGUAGUGGUGUCCUGUGAUGGUUUGAGUAGUUUGUACAAUUUUUUCAUUUUUCCUUUGGUAAGCAAGAACUAUGUACGUUCUCCAAAUUUUACCUCAAGCUAGGACCCGAUUUGUUAGAAAUCUCAGCUAAAAUUUGAAAACCAGAGUGAUCUCGAUUUCCAACCCUACUGUCCUUUGAAUUUGGUGGCUUACCAUGUAACUUCUUGUAGCAAUCUUUAGUGUGAUUUGUUUUCUUAUAGAAAUCACACCAAAGAUUGUUUAUCUUUUACUUCUUAGGGCAUUCUUAACCACAAACUUUGAAACUUCAGGUAAUGAUGGUUUUGAUCCACCUAUCAUAACCCAUUUUCGGCUUGACUCUCUUUGAACUUCAACAAAUAUUUAAGUAAUCAAUGGGAAAGGUUUGAUUCCUAGAAGUCAACCCCUGACUUCAUCAAGAUCAGGAUUUAAUCCUACCAAAAAAUAUCAGACUCGUUCUGUUUUAACCUACUUUUUGUAAAGUUUAGCAUCCUUAGGAUUUGACCAUGGAAUUUGGACAUAAAGAUCAAUUAAUUUAUUGCCACAAGUGAGUCAAGGCAUUGAAUUAUUAGGUAACAUCCAACUCCCCUAGUUUCAAAUCACGGGCUCCAUUUCCAAGUUAAAAAAAUUGGGUUAAGUUUUCCAUGUCUAAGCAUGCUAAAGUUUGUGCAUCCCACAUCUCCUUAGCAAUGGAAUAAUAUAAGAUAAGAUUCCUUGAUAUCUUAUUUCAUGGAGUUCACAAUCAAUGCCAUAACCAUAGAGUUUCGUGCAUCCCAUGUUGGAAAAGAGAGAUUUCUUGGAUUAUGUUUUAUUAUUGAACCAUCCACAUAUAACUAAGGUGGUCUCAUCCUCAUAUCACCAUUAGAGCAUACGGAGACCAUUGAAGGAAACUUUGAUUAUUUAGUUUCGUGGUUGUAAUUUGAAGCGGAGAAUUUUCAAAAAAAAAGUUGAAAACGAGGCUAUAGUGGAUGAACUUGUAGGGAUGGGUUGAGAGACUUUUGAAAAGACCUCAAAACUAGCAUCCUUGCACUCACCAGUGAAGGUUGUUCUAUACAUCUUUUUGUCUCAACUGAUACUAGCUCUGAUACCAUGAAAUUGGGUAAGAAAAAAAAAAACAGACCGUAAAUUGGAGAUUGCUUUUGUUUUAUUAUUUUAUUUCUUCAAUACAAGUAGAUUUAUAGGAUAGGUUUUGUAACAACCAACCCUUUAUUUUAAGAGAUUGACACCAGCUAUUUUUUAGGAUAUUCUAAUCAACUAUAAUAUCACAACUAGCAAUUAUCCUUAUUUAGAGAAUAGUAAUUAUCCAAGAUUCUCUAUAAUCUAUUUCCUACUUACCCUUGGAUCUCUAUUUUCUUUACAAGAUGCCAACUAGUGGAGGAGCUUUUAGGAUAACAUUUUGGGACCUAUAAAAGCCCUCAUAUCCGUUAGAAAUGGAACUUUGGGUUAUUAGGGAGAAGGAAAGAAGUUGAGUUUCAUCUAGCAUCUCUAUUAACUCCUGUCUUUUCUUAAGCUUAGUAAUUUUUCGUUGCAUUAUUCAUAAGUAACUAGCCUUUGAUUUUAGUCUUAUUCCUCAAAGUUUUUUUUAGAGAUUUUGAGAACUUUAUGUUUCAUCAUGAUGUUGAUUUUAAUUGUAGAUUCUAAGAUGGUUUUCUUUGUUCUUCUAGUUUUGAGUUGUGAGUAGUUUUCUAAGCUUGAGAGGAGGAGUCCAUGAGACUUCUUUCAUGAAAAACUAAUUUACAUCAUGGGGUGAAUGGAUAGUGUUUCUACCUAGUAAUUGGAGUCCUUAUUUUGUUUGGGAAGAAACCCUAUUUUCCUCUUCUUGAAAUGGAAACUUAGAGGUGGUUUAUUUUAGUUUAUUUAUUUAAUUUUUUUUUUUUGGUUACUUCAAGUUCUUGAGGAUCUUAGGACUUUUGACUUGAAAUCACUUCCAUUAAGCUUUAUGUAAAAUGCAAAAUGAACUUAAAGAUUACAAUGUUGUGGAGGUAUUUAAAUAAAAUUUCUUUUGAGCUUUAGUUGGUAAUUUCUCACAAGUGUUUUCAGUUGUAGGUUUUUUUAUUGUGCAUUGGUUGUGAAAAUGAGCCUCAUUAGACUCCGAUCCUUAGCAUUUAAAUUUCUCUUUUAGCUAUAAAAUGGUAGGUUCAAGUGUCAAAAUUUUGUUAUUUUCUAUUUUUUUUUUCAUCAUAAAAUGUGAUUGUUCAGUGAUAUUCCAAUUUGGUCACAAACACUUAAUUUUUUUUGCGAAGAAACAGAAGAUUCAUAGAUCACAACUUUUAGUGAUGAGCUUUUAUUUACAAAUUUCAUGACAAAUUUUUUUAAAUAGUGGUGAUUUAUUAUUUAUUUAUGACAAAUACUUUCAUGACAAAAAUUGAUACUUGUUGUAGUGAGGUAUUUAAAUAAAAUUUCUUUUAGGCUUUAGUUGGGGAUUACUAAUGAGUGUUCUCAGUCCUUGGUUUUUUAUUGUGCAUUGGUUUUUAAAGAUGAAGCCUUAUUGGACCCCCAAUCCUUGGUAUUUAAAUUAAUUUGUUUUUUGCAUAGAUACAAAAUCAAUUUUCUUCUAUUUCUCAAAAUAUUUUUGGAGGUUCUCUAAUUUAUUAACCUCAUAUUAAACAAGCCUCUUUCAACCACUUAUUCAAGAGAAAAUCAUUCCCACUUUUGGAACUAAUUCACCACAUAUCUCCCCAUCUUUUGCUAUCAUUUAAAACACUCUUCUUGAGAAAACUAUACCUGAACCACCAUAUUUUUUACUUGCAAAGACUCCUCAUACUUAGGAAUUGGUACCAUCACAUUUGCAUUUCAAGCAAACACAUGAUAGUGUAGACCCUCAAUUUUAUCCCUUUAGCACAUGUCUUUAAGUUCACUUCCAAUGCUUCACAGUAGUUCCUUGGUGGCCCAUAGCUACUCAUACUACUUACAUUUUUUGAGCCACCUUGGAGACUUUGGUUGAGGGAUUUAUCUAACCCCGUUGUGACUCUUGGCAGCCUUAAUUUAGACUUAGGCCCACUUAGGCACCCUAGACCCAUUUAGAUACACUUGGCCCAUUAGGCAUUACCUUAGGCCCAUUUAGAUGCACUUGGAACCUUCUAGCUUGCACACAUUCACCCUAGGUUACUUAGUCAAUCUUUCAGAAUAGGUCACUUGGACACUUCUUUUGGAAUAGUUCACUUAGGCAUGUGCUUGAUUUUGGUUAUUUAUUUUUCAGGAUAAGAUGAGUGUUGGCUUGACUUUUUAUUACAUGAAAUGAAUUUUUUAUUCUAUCUUUAUUUUAUUUUUAUUUUUAUUUUUGAAGGUUUGAGUUUGACAUUUAAAUUAUUAUAAUCCGUUGCAUUACUUUAUUUUCUUGAUUUUUUUUAAUUGCAUACGUCUUAUAUUUUUUGUUAUACCCUUAUCGAUUUAUUUGUUUAUUUACUCACUUAUUCAUUUAUUCUUUAAUUCCAUGAAUUGACAUUUUGGAUUUUUGUGGCUAUGUGAUUUGAUUUUAUAUUUGAUUUUAUUCUAUUUCCAAUUACAUGAUUUCUUAUUUCAACUUUAUUUUAAAUUUUGCAUGAGACUUGGAGCCAUCAAGGAGAGGAGAUCACGACCAAAGAGGGAAACUUGGAAGGAAUCCGGGCUGCAUAUAGAAAGUGGGCAGAUCACGACUUUAAGAAAGAAUCCGGGCUGCAUAUGAUUUGUUUGAAGAAAGAAUCCGGGCUGCAUAUAGAAAGUGGGCAGAUCACGGUUGAGGCACAUCCGGGAGCAUAUGGAAAGAAGAUUAAAGGGGAUCUGAUCACUUACCAAACAAGAUACGACUGCAUCCUUGGGGAAAUCUCCAUGUGAGCCACACAUAAUGGGCUUCCCAUAUCCACGCGCAUGUAGGAAAAAAUGGAAAUAAGAUAUUCCAUAAGGAGUGGGUUGCCUUAUAAAUAAAGGAGAGAAUCCAAGCAUAAGAGGAAUUUUUUUUUCGAAGGGGAAUAGGCCGAAAGAAUUUUCAAACGGAGACUUUUCUUUUGGAGGGCAGAGAGGACACGAGAGCAAUUCUUUUGAGAAGACGUGUGAAGAACAUUGAAGAGCCGACACAUAACCAUAAAAAAGGGAGGAGCAGCCCACAAAAUCUCCACAAAUAACGGUUUAUAGGUAAGUGUACGCUUUCAAAUUUAUCUUUGAUUUCGUUUUGAUUCGUCCUUUUAGUCUUGAGUGUUUUAAUGAUUUUUGUUCUUUGAUUUAAUUAAUCCUAUAUAAUAAAUUUCUUGUUUUAAUUUCGAUUUAGUUUUAAUUUAUUUUUCUUCUUUAGUUUGGAUGUGUUUGUGGUUUUAAUUCUUUAGUUUAAUUUAUCCCAUUAGAUAAAGUUCCUUUUUUUAUUUAUUCCAAUUCGAUUUAGUUUUAAUUUAUCUUUUAUGUUUAGAUGUGUUUGUAGUUUUCUUUAAUUUAAUUGUUUUUAUUAUAAAAGUCCCUAUUUUUAAUUUUGAUCUAGUUCAAUUUUAAUAUAUUUUUUAUGUUUAGAUGUGUUUGUGAUAUUAAUUCAUCAGUUUAAUUAUUUCUAUUAGAAAAGUUUUGUUUUUAAUUUUGAUUUAGUUCACUGUUAAUCUACCUUUUAUGUUUAGUGUUUGUCGUUUUAAUUCGUUAGUUUAACUGUUCAUAUUAGAAAAGUUCUUAUUUUUAAUUUCAAUUUAGUUCAAUUUUAAUCUAUCUCAUAUAUUUGUGAUUUUAAUUCGUUAGUUUAAUUAUUCCUAUUAGUAAAGUUCUUAUUUUUAAUUUCAAUUUAGUUCGAUUUUAAUCUAUCCUAUAUGUUUUUGCGAUUUUAAUUCGUUAGUUUAAUUAUUCGUAUUAGAAAAGUUCUUAUUUUUAAUUUCAAUUUAGUUCAAUUUUAAUCUCUCCUAUAUGUUUAAAUGUGUUUGAGAUGUUAAUUCAUUAGUUUAAGUAUUCCUCAUAGAUAAAGUUCACAUUUUUAAAAUCCCAAAUUAGUUUAAAUUUUAAUUUAGCUGUUAGUUUAAAUAUGUUUGUGAUUUUAAUUCCUUAGUUUAAGUAAUUUAAGAGAUAAAGUUUAAUUUUAUUUUAUUUUUUUUUGGAUUAAUUUAGUUUUAGUUUAUAAUUUAAUUUGAAUGCGUUAAUGAUUUCAAUUCCUUAGUUUAAAUAAUUUGUGAGAUAAAGUUUACUUUCUUUAAUUUCAAAUUAACUUAGUUUUAGUUUAUGAUUUAAUUUGAAUGUGCAAGUGAUCCUAAUUAGUUUGAUUUUAAUUUGUUUUUAGUUUAAAUAAUCACGCUAAAUAAAGUUUGUGUUUUUAAUUCCAAUUACUUUAAUUUUAAUUCAUUUUUAACUUAAAGGCAUUCGUGGAUCUUAAUUCUUUAGUUUAAAUGAUUGUAUCAAGUAAAGUUUGAGUUUUUAAUAUUCCAAUAAUUUUAUUAAGUAGAAUUUAAUUUCAAUUCAGUUUGAUUUUAAUUUGUUUUAUAAUCCGAAGGUGUUCCUGAUUUUAAUUCAAUUGUUUGAUUAACCCUCUUAGACAAAUUCCAUAUUUUUAAUUUCGAUCUUAGUUUAAUUUUAUUUUGUUAAUUUAUUUAUUUGCUUUAGUUUAAAUAUAUUUGUGAUUUCAAUUUGAUAGUUUAGCCAAUCUUAUUAGAUGAUGAUGAUGUCCUUAAUUUAAUCUAGUAUUAAUUAUUUUUAGUAUUGAAUGUGUUUGUGUUUUUUAUUUCAUUAACUUUGAAUUUAAUCCAUUUAUAUCCAAUUUUGUAGUUGAUUAUAAUUUGGUUUAAUUAAUUAAGUCAAUCACGUGUAAUUAUUUUCAUGUUUUAAGUAUGGUAAUUUUGGCUUUGAUCUAUUGACAUUUAGUAUGAGCUUUAGGAAUUUUAGAUAAUUAAUCCAGUUAAUUGUAUGUCAUUGGUUUCAUACCUUCAAGAUUUUUGAACUUUGGUCUUUGAUUCAUCAUAUUUUGUUAAAAUGCUAAUUUACCUUAAUUAAUUCCAUAUUAUUAUCUCCAUAUGCUAAGUUUGUUGGCUUUAAUAUUUGAUUGGUUAUUUUUAUUUUAAUUCAUGUGCUUCUUGAAAUCUAAAUGUUAGUCUUGGGUAAUAUUUUGUUAGUUUGUUUUAUUAGGAAGUCAUAAAUUUGAUGCCUUAGUGAUUGUUAGUUAAAUUCUUAUUUUUUGAAGGCCACUGGAAACUCAUGAAGGUUGGUCUUACCCUCACCACUUUAAUUGACAUGAUUUUCUAAAUCUUUAUUUUGUGAUUUUCGCUUUCUUUUGUUUUGAUUGGUAUUUUGUUUUCUAUGUUUUAUUAUUUUAAAAAUUAAUUCCUUUUAUUUUAAAAUCAAAACCUUUUUCUCCGAAGACCCCUUUAAGAAAUUCUUUUUUUUUAAAAAAAAAAGAAGAAAAAAUUCAUUUAGAGUUGUUAGAAUAAAAAAACCCCAUUUUCUUAAAAUAAUAUGCAACCAUUUUUUGAUCGGUUUGCAUCUUUCUCCGUUUUUUAAUGAAAAUUUUGGUUUAAAAUCAGACACGAAUCCAAGCUUAUGGUCCCACAUAAAUGGGAUAAUUCCAGGUUAGAUUUGUGUAUAUCAAUCGGGGAAUUGGUGAAACCCCUACAUAAAAAAAAAAUAAUAAUAAAAAAAAAAUAAAAAAAUAAAAAAUCUUUUCAAAACUUAUUUUUGCUACCGUCUUUGUUGGUUGUUACAAUCAUAUCUAUUUUUUUUGGAAUUGUACAUAAGAUGUGUGUAAUAAUUGAUGAUUUCGUAUUCUUUGAUCAUUUUUGCUAUGCCAAUUAGUUAAGCAUGUUAGGGUUUCUUAUUUUACUAUUUAUUAUCUAAGCCCCCCCCCCCUCUCCUGCGGAAGCACACUAUGAGCUAUAUAUGCUAUCCAGGUACGUUCCCUAAUACCCACUUUCUAAACCCCGUGAACAUGAUUGUCAUUGCGUACUAUGCCCAUGCUUGCUAUCCUAUUUGAUUGCCUUGAUAUAUAUUUGAUGCUUGUUUGAUUAUCUUUGACAAAAACACAUGUUGUGAUAUAUUUCUAUAUUAACUUUUAUGUUUCAUGAUAUCACUUGAGAAGCCGUUCAGGUACGCACUUUGAUUCUCUCUUAUGAUCAGACUUUCUUAUUUGACAUGCUAUUUUUUGAAAUCACCUAGCCUACCUAGGUAUCCAUGAUCAACCAUUUAAUUGCCACGUUUCCCUCAACUUAGUCAGUAGAGACCUCUUUAGGGCUUAGAAGGGUGCUACCUCCUAGAGGUACCUUCCUAGUAAGUAACCUGAUUCCCGGACCUAGACUCGGUUUUUUCAAAGAGAUGAUUUUUCCAAAAAUUAUGGAGUCACAUUUUAGGAUUUUUCUUUCUUGUUUUAUUUUCCCUUUAAAAUAAAAAUAAAAUAAGUGGCGACUCCGACUUUUUCCAAAAUUAAUUUUUCACAAAUAGAAAAGCAAGUCUCACCGAUCGAGCCCGCAUGUGAAAAAUACGGGUCCACAAAUUGGCGACUCCACUAGGGAUUUUGAGGAUCAAGCUUGAACACUAAUUGAGAAAAAUGUGGCAUUUAAUUGGUUGAUUAGAGGGUACCCCUUUUUUAGGCAAGGUGAUCUGGUCUACUUGUUUGUUUAGAAUGAUAUCUUAACAUGUUUGAUUGCCUUGAAUGAUCACUUGAUUGCUUACUCACUUCAGCAUGAUUCACUCUCACAUAUGCUAGAUAGGACUUUGAUUGUUUGAUAUUUAUCUGCUUCGCAUGACUGCUUGUUGCAUAACAACCAUUUCUCUUGCGUGUUCGUAUGAUUGCUUGUCUUCAUUCACUAUCUCACUUUAGAUCUUAGGUUUUUCGGAUACACCCACAUCCUUCAUUGUGCACUUUAGAUUAUCCUUGAGUGUUGAGAGAUGGGAGAGCCUUCACCAUAAAGAAACCCCCUAGGGACGCGAGGAAGUGCAUGUGUGGAGGUGAUGACCACCUUGCAUGGAAGCACCCCGUCUCCUUGGAGGCGUGCAGAGGGUUGCGUACCACUGGAGGGUACGAUCGCUUCUGCUAGGGAUCCUUUAACCCACCCAUUUUAUCCUAUAGCCACCUCAACCUUGUAAGUUAACUUAGACCCAAUUAAGAUUUCAUUCCUACACGUGGGUGCAUCUGUGGACCUUCAGAGCUGCCUUGGUCAUGAUUGGGUUCGGUUAUCCCUUAUGUAGUCUCCUUUUGGUGUGAUCAGAGAUGAGUAUCAGAUUGAGUAUAUUUGGGCUUUACUUCUACGCACUUGUCAGUUGAUUCCUACAGAGUCACAUUCGUACCGCACCUUAUCCAGUGUUUCCAUAUUUGUAGGAGGGUUUACCUUGACCGAUCUGGAUUCACUUUUGUGGAUUAGAGUUGAAGGUAGAUUGACCAGAGUAUCAGACCAGUCAGAUUAGAGAUCAGAUCAGAGGGAUAUGGACUCACAGAUAGUUACCGUCGACCAGUUUGCCGCAGCCAUGGCUUCUAUCCAGGAGGCUAUAGCUAACCUUGGUCAGAGGAUAGAUGGACAACAGACCCAACAGGUCCCAAUUCAGGAGAAUGCCCAAUUCGAUACCACAGUACCGCCACCUCCUCCGCCCAGUUAGUCAGUACCAUAGGUUAUACCUUUCACUCUGCAUAGUCAGACCGAGGUUGCCCCGUUUCCUAUCACAUUGCCUAUCCCGACCUCAGAGGACCCACAUACACGUAUGGAUAAACUUGAGCAAAGGUUAAGACAGAUGAGGGCUUCAGACGGAGUUAUUACUUAGGAGGAUUUUGAUGGAGCACCGAUAGCCAGUUUGCUAGCCAAGUUUAGGAUGCCCGAGAUUGAGAGAUACACGGGCAUAGGCUAUCCUCACAUCCAUUUGAGGCUUUAUAGUACAGUUAUGAGGGCCCACGACUGGAUGAGGCCUAGAUGGUUAUGUUUUUCCCUAUGUCCCUGAGUGGUGCGGUACAGCGUUAGUUCGCUUCAUUGGAUGUAUCACACCGUAGGACUUGGGACGACUUGACCCGGGAGUUUUUGAGAUAGUUUGCAUUUAACACUAUCAUUGAUGUUUCGAGGAGAGAGUUAGAGGUUUUGAGAUAGAGGCUAGAGGAAUCAGUCACUUCAUUCAUCUCCCGCUGGAGGGAGAAGAUUUCACAGAUCAUUAAUCGUCCUUUAGAGAAGGAUCCGAUUAGCAUGAUCAUGAGGAGCUUGCAGCCUAAAUUUGCUAGACACUUGAUGAGAUUUCCCCACACGGAUUUUGGAUCUCUAGUACAGGGUUUGUAUGGUAUAGAGGAGGGCAUUGCUAGAGGAUUGUGGCCCGAGUCUUCCCAUACUGAUUCUAAGGGGAAGAAGCCUUUAGGAGGAUAGAGAUCAAGAGAUGUUGGUGCUAUCAGUUUAGCAGGGAUGAGACUUCCUAGACACUAUCAAACGGUUGGGCAAACUUUUGGAUUCUACUAACCACCAUCACCCCAUGUGUAGUAUAGGCCACCUGCUCCCUCCAGACCCAUUACUCCUACUUACCUACAUCCAGUCUCACAGCCUGCUUUUGUCACACAUGUUAUAGAGAGACCUCCUGCCCUAUACACCCGACCCCGAGCUCUGCAGACCACCACUUAUGUGUAGAGGCCAUCACAUUAGUUCGCUUAGUUAGGUAUGCCUUUGAGUCGAGCUUUUCAUAAGCUUAUAAAGGGUGGAUUAUUGACUCCAUUGGCACCCAAGCCAGUACCUCAGCCAGUACCGCCUCAUUUUAGAUUUGACCUACACUGUUCUUAUCAUCAGGGACCAGGACAUGACACGGAUCACUGCAACGCCUUGAGACAUGCUAUUCAGGAUUUGAUAGACCAGAGUUUAGUUAACUUGGGGCAGCCAAGUGUGACCACUAACCCUCUUCCUGCCCAUUCUACACACGCAGUGCUUCCAUCUCCAAGAGAUAUUCAUCACAUGGACCUUAUAGAGGAUGACAGUAUACAUAUGUUGAGUUGGGAUGAUGGGUUACCCGAGCAAAUUGUUUUGCAUGACAGUUAUGAGAUUGAUGGGGUUUCAUUGGGUUCUUAGGCCCCUACACCAUUCAGUUUGAUCCCAGACGAGGCACCAUUCCAGUUGACUCAUCCUACACCCUUGAUUAUUGGAUGUCAUGAUACUUUUGUCCCGUUCACUUUAUGGUCAGAGGAUGAUGAUUCGGAGGGAAGAGAGAUACAGAUUGUGACUUGUAAUGGAAAGAUAGCUCAGCUACUACCACUAGUAGUUAGACCAUUUGAGGGUGCAGCCUCUCAUGAGGAGGUUAGAAUAGAGGAUGAUGAAGUUUUGAGACAGCUACAGAGCACUCAGGCCCGUAUUUCUAUUUGGAGUUUAUUAACAUCAUCCAGUACUCAUAGAGAUGCUUUGAUUCGAGCCUUGAGUCAGAUCAGGGUAGAGACUACCACCACUCCAAAGAGAUUGAUUCAUAUGAUGAAGGCCGACAGGGCCACUUGCAUUGUGUUUUCAGAUGAUGACUUGCCACUUGAGGGUUCAGACCAUGUACGCCCUCUAUAUAUCACAGUUGGUUGUUCAAGCCAUAGAGUCCCAUCUGUCCUGCUGGACAAUGACUCAGCCCUGAAUGUCUGCCCUUUAGCCACUACUGUAACCCUUGGUUUUGCACCUUCAGAUUUUGGUCCUUUUGCUCAGACAGGCAGAGCAUAUGAUAGCACUAAGAGGGAGGUUGUGGGUACCUUGGUGAUUGAUUUGAAGAUUGGUCUAGCCACAUUCUCUACUUUGUUCUAGGUUUUGAGGAUUCCUACAUCCUUUAACCUGUUACUUGGUUGACUUUGGAUACAUAGAGCUGAAGCUAUCCCUACUUCCCUUCAUCAGAAGGUGAAGUUCAUUCAUAAUGGGCAGGUUGUCACAGUACAAUCUACCAGAGAUAUGUUAGCCUCUUCCGAGCCAGUACUUCAGAUUAGUCACAGUGAGGAUGACCUAUUUUUGACUCGAUUUACUUUUGAUGAAAUACAGACUCUCGAGAUUGAGGAUUUUCGUAAAGACUUUGUGGCUAUGUCAUUUGAUUAGCACAGUAGCAUAGUGGUUCUCGAUAUGAUGAGGGGUAUGACAUUUCUACCUAGUAUGGGGUUAGGACGACGCCAGUAGGGACCCAUCAAGUUUAUAGCUGCCAUUGAUCAUGAUACAACAUUUGGACUUGGGUUCAUUCCUACCGAGGUCGAUUACCGUUACAUGACGCGGCUGUGCAAGGAGAGGGUGAGGGCCUGUUUAUCCCACACACCAUUUGAUUAUCCUAUUCGACCCUAUAGGAUGAGUUUAGUCGACUACUUUGUCAGAGGACAAGAGAUUUGACCUCGUAUAGAGGAGAUUCACAGUAUGGUUCAUACAAAUAGAAAGAUUGAGCUUCAACAUCUAUUUCACCAGUUACAGUUGAGUAAUGGGGCUCCUGGCACUUCUGUUUCUAUAUCGAUUACUCCUACGUCUCCAGAUCGAGCUAGCAUGUGGUCUCUAUGCUUUCUAGAGGAGAUCACUGAUGAUGGAGUGAUUGUUGAUCCUACUGAGAUGAUUGAUGGAGUUGUGCCUCAUGAUGAGUACCGAGAUGAGAUGGACAUGAUGACCGUGAGCUAGAUUACCAGCAUUGUUUAGCUUAAGCCUGUUUCACCAUUUGAUAUGUUUGGGAUGUCUACCAUUGAGGUUCUUGAGAGGGCCUAGAUUAUUCCUGUUCCAGAGCUUCUAGAGGAUGAUAAUAGUUUGUUUGAGGGCUCUGUUAGCCCAGUUGAGGGAGCAUCCGACCUUAUGGACCCACCUCUUUCUUUUGAUGUUUUAUCGGGAUUUGUCUCCCGCUUUAACGAUGUUUUUGUUGCUUCAUUUAUGGAUUUGAGUAUUUUUUUAGUAUUCGCCUGCCUCUUGUGAUAGUACCUCUAUAUCUGCACCCCACUCACCCACUUCACAUAUAUUUGAUAUAGAUGAUGAGGUUGCACAACCCAAUCCAAAUAGGGACUCUUCUGAUCAUGACUCCGAUCUCGUGGAUGAGAAAGUUUCACCUGCUACAAGGGAUGUUGAGAAUGUUGAUUUUGGCAUAGAGGAUCAGCCUAGAGAGCUGAAGAUUGGUUCACCCCUAUCUACAAAUGAGAGAGAUAGACUUAUUCAUUUACUCAGGUCAUACUUGGAUGUCUUUGCAUGGUCUUAUGAGGACAUGCUUGGUCUUGAUCCCUCUAUAGUUCAACACCACUUACCUAUCCUACCACAUGCCAAACCAGUUAAGUAGAAAUUGAGACGAUUACAUCCACGUUGGAGUCUGCAGGUGAAAGAGGAGAUUCAGAAACAGCUCAGUGUUGGAUUCAUAUCAAUGGUUGAGUAUCCAGAGUGAUUGGCUAAUGUUGUCCCUGUUCCCAAAAAGGAUGGCAAAGUUAGAGUUUGUGUUGACUUUAGAGAUCUUAAUAAAACCAGCCCUAAAGAUGACUUUCCUCUCCCACACAUUGAUUUGUUGGUCGAUAGCACUGCAGGCCAUUCGCUGUUAUCUUUCAUGGAUGUGUUUUCAGGGUAUAAUCAGAUUUUGAUGACUCUAGAGGAUAUGGAGAAAACAACCUUUAUUACUGAGUGGGGUACCUACUGUUACAAGGUUAUGCCAUUUGGGUUAAAGAAUGAAGGAGCCACUUAUCAGAGGGUCGCUACUACUUUAUUUCAUGACAUGAUGCAUAGGGAUGUUGAAGUUUACGUGGAUGAUAUGAUUGUGAAAUCCCGAGGCAGAGUAGAUCACCUAGAGGCUCUAGAGAGAUUCUUUGAGAGGAUCCGAAAGUUUAGAUUGAGGUUAAAUCUUAAGAAGUGCACCUUCGGAGUGACUUCUGGGAAGUUAUUGGGACAUAUGGUUAGUGAGCGAGGCAUAGAGGUCAACCUAGAUAAAAUCAAAGCCAUACUUGACAUGCCUGCACCGAAGACUGAGAAAGAGAUUAGAGGUUUUCUGGGCAGAUUAUAGUACAUCAGUCGUUUCAUAGCCAGAUUGACAGACAUAUGUGAGCCUAUCUUUUGUCUUUUGAGGAAGAACCAACCAACAGUUUGGAGCGAUGAUUGCCAGCUUGCAUUUGAGAAGAUUAAAUAGUAUUUGCUUUCUCCUCCUGUUUUAUUGCCUCCUACGCCAGGACGUCCACUUCUUCUAUAUUUGUCAAUUUCAGACAUGGCCUUGGGAUGUAUGUUAGCUCAGAUUGAUGACUCAUGGAAUGAACGAGCUAUUUACUAUCUGAGUAAGAGGAUGCUGGAGUAUGAGAUGAAGUAUGUUAUGAUUGAGCGCCUAUGCUUAGCAUUAGUUUGGGCUACCAGGAGAUUGAGGCAUUACAUGACAGAGUACUCACUGCAUUUGAUAUCCUGUCUAGAUCCAUUGAGAUACUUAUUUGAUAGACCUGCAUUAACUGGUAGACUGAUGAGAUGGCUCGUGCUUUUGACAGAGUUCGAUAUCCAGUACGUUUCUCAGAAGUCUAUUAAGGGAAGUAUUGUCGCCGACCACCUAGCCUCACUAUCGACAUCUGAGGAUAGACCAGUUGAUGAUGAUUUUCCAAAUGAGGAGUUUGUUGCUAUGACUAGCUUAUCAGGAUGGUGCAUGUACUUCGAUGGUGCAGCCAAUUAAUCAGGGUAUGGGAUAGGUGUUCUGUUGGUAUCCCCUCAGAAUGAUCACAUUCCGAGGUCUGUUCGUUUGACAUUCUCUUAUCGACAUUCUAUCACGAAUAAUAUAGUUGAGUAUGAGGCUUGUAUCCUUGGUUUAGAGACUGCGUUGGAGCUUGACAUUAAACAGAUAGAGGUAUUUGGUGACUCCAAUCUGGUACUUAGACAAAUUCAGGGAGACUGGAAGACUAGGGACGUAAAGCUUAGGCCGUAUCACGCUUAUUUGGAGUUACUGAUUACGAGAUUUGAUGACUUGAGAUAUGUUCAUCUGCCCAGAGCGCAGAACCGAUUUGCCGAUGCCUUAGCUACCCUAACUUCUUCUAUGGACAUUCCGAUUGAUGUAGUUGUACGUCCAUUGCUGAUUGAGUUGAGAUUUGCACCUACCUACUAUUGUUUGAUUGGAGAAACAGAGGUCCAGGAUGAUCUACCUUGGUAUCAUGACAUUUAUCAGUUUCUUAGAUUUGGCACAUACCCUGAGGUAGCCACUGCCAAGGAUCAGAGAGCACUGAGGCAUUUGCCUAUUAGAUUUGUGAUUUGUGGAGAUACUUUAUAUAGGCGAUCAGCUGAUGGUAUGCUUCUAUUAUGUUUAGAUUGAGCCUCUAUAGAUCGAGUGAUGAGAGAAGUUCAUGCAGGAGUUUGUGGUCCACAUAUGGGAGGACACAUGCUGGCUAGUAAAAUUAUGAGGAUAGGUUAUUUCUGGUUGACUAUGGAGACAGAUUGUUGUCAGUUUGUUUAGAAAUGCCCAGAGUGUUAGAUUCAUGGUGAUCUCAUUCAUGCACCGCCAUCAGAGUUACACACUUUGACCUCGCCAUGGCCAUUUUCAGUAUGGGGUAUUGAUAUUAUUGGGAAGGUUUCACCAAAAUCUUCAUGUGGUCAUGAGUUCAUCCUAGUUGCCAUAGAUUAUUUCACCAAGUGGGUGGAAACCGCAUCAUAUGCGAGGUUGACAUUUGCUAGGGUUGCCAGUUUCAUCAAGUUACACAUCAUUUGUCGUUAUGGGGUUCCCCAUGAGUUGAUUUCAAAUAGAGGGGUGCACUUCCAAGCUGAGGUAGAUACUUUGUUACAGAAGUAUGGCAUCCGACAUCAUAGAUCUUCAGCAUAUAGGCCACAGACCAACAAGGCAAUAGAGGCUGCGAAUAAGAAUAUUAAGAGGAUUUUGAGGAAAAUGGUUGAAACUUCUCGAGAUUGGUCAAAGAAACUCCCUUUUGCAUUGUGGGCAUACUGUACCUCUUUUCGCAGCUCUACAGGAGCUACACCUUACUCGCUAAUGUAUGGUAUGAAGGUUGUUUUGCCGGUUGAGACAGAGAUGGGUUCUUUGAGAGUAAUCCUUAAGCAGCAGAUUUCUGAGACAGAGUGGGUUUAGGCUCGGUUUGACCAGCUUAACCUUUUAGAUGAGAAGAGAUUGAGAGCAACCAAUCAUGUUCAGGCCUAUCAGAGGAAGAUGGCUCGUGCCUUCAGGAAACGGGUUAAGCCUAGACCAUUACAAAAAUGGGAUUUAGUUUUAAGGAUUCUCAGAGGUUUGAUUGGAGACCUUAGAGGAAGUUUAGACCUAGUUGGAGUGGGCCUUAUGUUAUUUGAGAGUUGACUCCAGAAGGGGCUGCAUGGUUGACUGACUUAGAUGAAAACCAGUUUUCAAAGCCUACCAAUGUGGAUCAACUGAAGAAGUAUUAUGUUUGAGAUUAGGGUCGCAGGAUGGAUGGCCAUCAUUUCAGUCAGCCUUACACCUUAUCACAUUUAUUAAUGUAUUAAACCGUUGCUAGCCUAUUGAACCCCACAUGGUAUGUUAUAGCCUUAUUUCUUUCUUAUAGCCUUAAUUACCAUUUCUAUACCCUGGUUAGGGCCCUUUGAUGUUUAUGCAUGCUUUGCUAGGAAAGUCUCAUGAGUUUUAGACUUAUAGGCCUAUUUUCUCAUUCUUGUUACCAUCCCCUUAUCACCCCCGUUUGUUCUAUUUUACUAUCAUCACAUUUUCAUUAUCUUAUUGUGUUUAUCAUUAUUUGCUUCAUCUUAUCUCUUCUCUUUCUUGGGUUGAUGAUUCUUCACAUCUUGGUGCAAAAGAGGGCAGUCAUAUCACUCCAUCCAUCCCAUCAAUUGGCAUCGAUUCAGAGAUUUUAGUUUGAGAGGUUGUCUCAUGGGUUGGGGUUCAUGUAUUCAUCAGUGGUUUGAGAGAGUUUGUUCACUCCUUGUAUCUUUCCCAUUGGAGUCCGAUUUAUUGAUGAUCAGAAGAUGCACAUUCAAAAAAAAAAAAAAAAACGCAAUGACAUGUUUGUGUAUGGUAUCUUGCUCCAUUGGGCACUUAUAUCACCUUUUGAGGUUUAUUUACUAGGUAUAUUAGUCAUUGUGGGUUCUUGUGAGAUUUUUAUACGAGUUUUCACUCCUUGAGCCACUCUUGUUAUGCAUUUGGAGUGUUGGGGGUUCAUGUGAGGGUUCUAUGGUAUCCUAUGCUUCUUGGGUCAUGGUAGAUAUGUGUUAGGUAUGAGAGAUGAGUGACCUUUUACUAGGGUCUCCAGAUCAUUGUCUUAUCCACUAUUACAUCGUUGGUUAUAUGACUUUGCUUUAUUGUACUGAUAUGGAUUGAUCAUCAUUCAUUCCCCUUUCUUAUUGCCUUACUUUGUAUCUCCUUACCCAUUUCCAGAUCUUCAUUCCACUUUUUAUCCAUUUCCUACAUAUUGAUACACGUUUUUUGAUUCGAUACCUUAUUCACAUCAUUUACAUGUUUCAUUGAUGGUUUGACCACUCAUCCUUUCUCUCAUUUCGCCCUUGACAUUUCCUUUGGUUACCUUUAGGUCCAUGGCUCAUGAGGUUUUUUUCUAUGCAUUACAUCUUAUACACGAGAGUAUGGGUUUGAUCAUUGGGUAUUUGAGCCUAGUUUCCCUUCAUUUCUUUCAUCCUAUCACCUUGACCUACGUUAUGUCUCGUGUCUUAAGACCACCCUGAGGCCAUGAGAUCAGGCGUUAUCUUUGACAGUCUUCACUUGGACAGGCUUUUGUAGACUGGUUGAAGUAUAGUCGUUACCAUGUUCUCUUUUAUGGAAGAUACUUUUGGAAGAAUUUGGUCUCUCUCUUGCUUGACAUAUUGAUGUUUGAUGGAUUUUUGAGUUUGAAGACAAUUCAUUGAUGAUAUCGGAUUUAUCCUUUUGUCGACAUCAGAUAUCCAUACUGGGGCAUAUUCCCCUUUCAUUCGGUUGAGAUGAGCCCCUAGUGGAGCACUUUCUUUGAGUUUGGGCUUAUUUUCACUGAUUCGAGAUUCCUAAUAGAGUAUGUUGAGAUGAUAUCAGUUAUAGUGGAGCAUUAUUGAGCUUAUUGACAGUUUUUAUGAUUCUAGGUUCCAUUUGCGGAGUAUUUUUGAGAUAGACUAGUGGAUCAUUUUUAAGUUGGAGGCAAUUUUCAGUGCAGUGUAUAGAUCUUAUAUAUUGGGGUAUAUUUUCCCAUUUUGAGGUCACCAGAUUCCCAUCAGAUUUAGUUAGGGAUUCAUCAGAGAAGUGCUUCUACUCUCGAGAUUAUCAUAUUCCUUAUCAUUUUGGUUAUUCAUUUGAGAUCAGAUUUAAAGUGUCUUCCUUGAGCCAUCGGCUGAUACUUCAUUCUGAUUUCUUAGCGGAUUAUUGUUGAGUUGGAGACAGUUGAUUGAUGAUGUUAGAUUCAUCAUUUUGAUUGUGCAUCAGAUAUCCACACUAGGGCAUAUUUCCCCUUUUCUUUGAGGUUUCUAGUUGUUGUUGGAUGAUAUGACUAUUCCUAUCCAUGGUUAUAGAGAUGUUUGAUUGAUUUUGACGGAUUCUUUAUUGUACAUCAGAUAUCCAUACUGGGGCAUAUUCCCCUUUCCAUGAUGAGAUUAUGUUCGGGCAGCAGUACAUAGAUGGAUGAUCAUUGUUGGUUGUUUAUCUCAUAACUUCGACAUCAUAUAUCCAUACUGGGGCAUAUUCCUCUCUCCUUUACGAGAUUUGUUUGGGUAGUGGUAUGAGGAUGGAUGAUUAGUGUCGGUUGUUUACCUCAUGACUUUGAUAUCAAAUCUUAUACUGGGGCAUAUUUCCCCAUUUUCUUUUAGUAUCCUUGAGAUUGAGACAGUGGCCAGCUUAGUUUUAGAUUGAGUGCCAGUCUGGAGUUUCCGACGAUUGACUUCAUUAGGACCCCCCUAUAAGGAUUUGUUGAGAUAGAGAUGGAUCAUAUCGGGUUUUACCCGAGGAGCAUGGGUGGAUCCUUUAGCCAAAUGUUCAUAGGAUAGAUUUGUUUUCGUCAUUGUUACCUUGAAGAUUGGAUUACCCAGAUGAGCAGUAUUUUGUGCACUUUGAGAUUUGUUUUUAGAUAAGCCACAAUAUACACACUUUGAGAUUUACCUUUUGAGAUCCGUCGACAGAGCAGCUUUUCAGACACAGAGAGAGUUCUUUCAGUUUAGACUUUUCAGAGGUUUGUCAUGAUACAUCGGUUUCUGACCUAUUGAUUUCAACGGAUGAUUGAUUUACUGGUUGUUUCAACACUGCAAGCACCCUAGAUACUGGGGCAUAUUUCCCUUCUUGAGUUCAGUAGUCCAACUCUUGGCAUUUUGAGUGUAUGGUUUUGAGCCUAUUUAUUUCCUAUCCACUUUCGAGUUAGUCUUAUUUAUCUGUUGCUUCUAGACCCUGAGUCUUACAGCCCUGAGCUAUCCACUCCUUCUACGCCCUGAGCCUCGUAACCCUGAGCUAUCAUUUUCCUCUUAGUCCUUGAGCCUCAUAGCCUUGAGCUAUCCAUUCCUUCUAGGCCCUAAGUCUCAUAGCCCUAAGCCAUCCUUCUCCUCUUAGGCCCUGAGCUUCGUAGCCUUGAGCUAUCCUUUUCCUCUUAGGCCCUGAGCCUCGUAGCCCUGAACUAUCACUUCUUAUUUAAGACCCAGAGUCUUUCCAGCCCUGAGCUAAGCCUGCAUCAUUUGGUCGCCCAUGAGUGGUAUGACCUGGAGUUUGCGUAUCGCACUCUCUUUCUAGUUGAUCAGUCAUAGAGCUCCGAGCUCAUGGCCCUGAGCUAUUCGUUGUAACCCUGAGUUACUCAUUGCAUCAUGACCCAGAGUCAUUCAUUCCAUCCAUAGCCUUGAGCUAUUCAUUGUAACCCUGAGUUACUCAUUGCACCAUGACCUAGAGUCAUUCAUGACAUCUUGAGCCUUGAGCUCACGACCCAGAGUCAUUUGCAUCCUUCACAUCCCUGAGAUGUUUCGUUUCAUCAUUCUAGCCAAUUGUGAGUGGCCUCGACCCGGCACCAUGAGCCGAAAAGCAUCCUGAUCGGCUAUCCGUUUAGAGCCCUGAGUUCUCGACCUAGAGUCGAUUUUCAUUUAUGACCUAGAGUAAUUUCUUUCCAUUUAGAGCCCUGGGCUCAUGACCUGGAGUCAUUCACUCCAUCUAUGACCCAUAGUCAUUCUUAGCAUUUAUAGCCCUGAGCUCGCAACCCAGAGUCGUUUAUCCUAUUCAUGACCCAGAGUCAUUUAUCCUAUUUCCGACCAUGAGUCAUUUAUCCUAUUUUUGACCUAGAGUCGUUCAUCCUAUCCAUGACCUAGAGUCAUUCAUCUCAUCCAUGACUUUGAGUCAUCAUUUUCAUAUAUUUCCAUCUUUGUGCUACUUGUCACAUACCUUUAUCUCUUUACUGUCAUUCUCCCCACAUAGAGUAGUUUCAUCCUUGUCGUUGAAGCCUUGUGUUCCAACCUUUCUCUCGCCAUGUGCUAAGACAAAAUCUCUGGUCCUUCUUUAGUUCUUCGGUAUAGUUCACUUUGUUCCAUUCAUUAUUCGUAUUUUUACUCACAUUCAUUACACUCGCAAUCUAUACCGAAGAGGGGCAUAUUUGUAUACCCUCAAUUUUGUCCCUUUAGCACAUGUCUUUAAGUUCACUUUCAAUGUUCCACAGUAGUUCUUUGGUGGCCCAUAACUACUCAUACUACUUACCUUUUUUGAGCCACCUCAGAGACUUUGUUGAGGGAUUUAUCUAACCUCAUUGUGACUCUUGGCAGCCCUAAUUUAGACUUAGGCCCACUUAGGCACCCUAGACCCAUUUAGAUACACUUGGCCCAUUAGGCAUCACCUUAGGCCCAUUUAGAUGCACUUGACACCUUCUAGCUUGCACACAUUCACCCUAGGUCACUUAGACAAUCUUUCAGAAUAGGUCACUUGGACACUUCUUUUGGAAUAGUUCACUUAGGCAUGUGCUUGAUUUUGGUUACUUAUUUUUCAGGAUAAGAUGAGUGUUGGCUUGACUUUUUAUUACAUGAAAUGAAUUUUUUAUUCUAUCUUUAUUUUAUUUUUAUUUUUAUUUUUGAAGGUUUGAGUUUGACAUUUAAAUUAUUAUAAUCCGUUGCAUUACUUUAAUUUCUUGAUUUUUUUUAAUUGCAUACGUCUGAUAUUUAUUUUUAUACCCUUACCAAUUUAUUUGUUUAUUUACUCACUUAUUCAUUUAUUCCUUAAUUCCAUGAAUUGACAUUUUGGAUUUUUGUGGCUAUGUGAUUUGAUUUUCUAUUUUAUUUUAUUUUAUUUCCAAUUACAUGAUUUCUUAUUUCAACUUUAUUUUUAAUUUUGCAUGAGACUUGGAGCCAUCAAGGAAAGGAAAUCACGGCCAAAUAGGGAAACUUGGAAGGAAUUCGGGCUGCAUAUUAUUUGCUUGAAGAAAGAAUCCGAGCUGCAUAUAGAAAGUGGGCAGAUCAUGGCUGAGGAACAUCCGGGAGCAUAUGGAAAGAAGAUUAAAGGGGAUCUGAUCACUUACCAAACAAGAUACGACUGCAUCGUUGGGGAAAUCUCCAAGUGAGCCACACAUAAUGGACUUCCCAUAUCCACGCACACGUAGGAAAAAAUGGAAAUAAGAUAUUCCAUAAAGAGUGGGUUGCCUUAUAAAUAAAGGAGAGAAUCCAAGCAUAAGAGGAAUUUUUUUUUCGAAGGGGAAUAGGCGGAAAGAAUUUUCACAUGGAGACUUUUCUUUUGGAGGGCAGAGAGGACACGAGAGCAAUUCUUUUGAGAUGACUCGCGAAGAACUUUGAAGAGCCGACACAUAACCAUAAAAGAGGGAGGAACAACCCACAAAAUCUUCACAAAUAACGGUUUAUAGGUAAGUGUACGCUUUCAAAUUUAUCUUUGAUUUCGUUUUGAUUCAUCCUUUUAGUCUUGAGUGUUUUAAUGAUUUUAGUUCUUUGAUUUAAUUAAUCCUAUCUAAUAAAUUUCUUGUUUUAAUUUCGAUUUAGUUUUAAUUUAUUUUUCUUUUUUAGUUUGGAUGUGUUUGUGGUUUUAAUUCUUUAGUUUAAUUUAUCCCAUUAGAUAAAGUUCCCUUUUUUUUUAUUCCAAUUCGAUUUAGUUUUAAUUUAUCUUUUAUGUUUAGAUGUGUUUGUAGUUUUCUUUAAUUUAAUUGUUUCUAUUAUAAAAGUCCCUAUUUUUAAUUUUGAUCUAGUUCAAUUUUAAUAUAUUUUUUAUGCUUAGAUGUGUUUGUGAUAUUAAUUUGUCAGUUUAAUUAUUUCUAUUAGAAAAGUUUUGUUUUUAAUUUUGAUUUAGUUCACUGUUAAUCUACCUUUUAUGUUUAGUGUUUGUCGUUUUAAUUCGUUAGUUUAACUGUUCAUAUUAGAAAAGUUCUUAUUUUUAAUUUCAAUUUAGUUCAAUUUUAAUCUAUCUCAUAUAUUUGUGAUUUUAAUUCGUUAGUUUAAUUAUUCCUAUUAGUAAAGUUCUUAUUUUUAAUUUCAAUUUAGUUCGAUUUUAAUCUAUCCUAUAUGUUUUUGCGAUUUUAAUUCGUUAGUUUAAUUAUUCGUAUUAGAAAAGUUCUUAUUUUUAAUUUCAAUUUUAAUCUCUCUUAUAUGUUUAAAUGUGUUUGAGAUGUUAAUUAUUAGUUUAAGUAUUCCUCAUAGAUAAAGUUCACAUUUUUAAAAUCCCAAAUUAGUUUAAAUUUUAAUUUAGCUGUUAGUUUAAAUAUGUUUGUGAUUUUAAUUCCUUAGUUUAAGUAAUUUAAGAGAUAAAGUUUAAUUUUAUUUUAUUUUUUUGGAUUAAUUUAGUUUUAGUUUAUAAUUUAAUUUGAAUGCGUUAAUGAUUUCAAUUCCUUAGUUUAAAUAAUUUGUGAGAUAAAGUUUACUUUCUUUAAUUUCAAAUUAACUUAGUUUUAGUUUAUGAUUUAAUUUGAAUGUGUUAGUGAUCCUAAUUAGUUUGAUUUUAAUUCGUUUUUAGUUUAAAUAAUCACGCUAAAUAAAGUUUGUAUUUUUAAUUCCAAUUACUUUAAUUUUAAUUCGUUUUUAACUUAAAAGCAUUCGUGGAUCUUAAUUCUUUAGUUUAAAUGAUUGUAUUAAGUAAAGUUUGAGUUUUUAAUAUUCCAAUAACUUUAUUAAGUAGAAUUUAAUUUCAAUUCAGUUUGAUUUUAAUUUGUUUUAUAAUCUGAACGUGUUCAUGAUUUUAAUUCAAUUGUUUGAUUAACCCUCUUUAACAAAUUCCAUAUUUUUAAUUUCGAUCUUAGUUUAAUUUUAUUUUGUUAAUUUAUUUAUUUGCUUUAGUUUAAAUAUAUUUGUGAUUUCAAUUUGAUAGUUUAGCCAAUCUUAUUAGAUGAUGAUGUCCUUAAUUUAAUCUAGUAUUAAUUAUUUUUAGUAUUGAAUGUGUUUGUGUUUUUUAUUUCAUUAACUUUGAAUUUAAUCCGUUUAUAUCCAAUUUUGCAAUUGAUUAUAAUUUUGUUUAAUUAAUUCAGUCAAUCACGUGUAAUUAUUUUCAUGUUUUAAGUAUGGUAAUUUUGGCUUUGAUCUAUUGACAUUUAGUAUGAGCUUUAGGAAUUUUAGAUAAUUAAUCCAGUUAAUUGUAUGUCAUUGGUUUCAUACCUUCAAGAUUUUUGAACUUUGGUAUUUGAUUCAUCAUAUUUUGUUAAAAUGCUAAUUUACCUUAAUUGAUUCCAUAUUAUUAUCUCCAUAUGCUAAGUUUGUUGGCUUUAAUAUUUGAUUGGUUAUUUUUAUUUUAAUUCAUGUGCUUCUUGAAAUCUAAAUGUUAGUCUUUGGUAAUAUUUUGUUAGUUUGUUUUAUUAGGAAAUUAUAAAUUUGAUGUCUUAGUGAUUGUUAGUUAAAUUCUUAUUUUUUGAAGGCCAUUGGAAACUCAUGAAAGUUGGUCUUACCCUCACCACUUUAAUUGACAUGAUUUUCUAAAUCUUUAUUUUGUGAUUUUCGCUUUCUUUUGUUUUGAUUGGUAUUUGGUUUUCUUUGUUUUAUUAUUUUAAAAAUUAAUUCCUUUUAUUUUAAAAUCAAAACCUUUUUCUCCGAAGACCCCUUUAAGAAAUUCUUUUUUUUUUAAAAAAAAAAAUCAUUUAGAGUCCUUAGAAUAAAAAAACCCCAUUUUCUUAAAAUAAUAUGCAACCAUUUUUUGAUCGAUUUCCAUCUUUCUCGGUUUUUUAAUGAAAAUUUUGGUUUAAAAUCAAACACAAAUCCAAGCUUAUGGUCCCACAUAAAUGGGAUAAUUUCAGGUUAGAUUUGUGUAUAUCAAUUGGGGAAUUGGUGAAACCCCUACAUAAAAAAAAUAAAAAAUAAAUAAAAAAUCUUUUCAAAACUUAUUUUUGCUACCGCCUUUGUUGGUUGUUACAUUCAUAUCUUUUUUUUUGGAAUUGUACAUAAGAUGUGUGUAAUAAUUGAUGAUUUCGUAUUCUUUGAUCAUUUUUGCUAUGAGCUAUAUAUGCUAUCCAGGUAUGUUCCCUAAUACCCACUUUCUAAACCCCGUGAACAUGAUUGUCAUUGUGUACUAUGCCCAUGCUUGCUAUCCUAUUUGAUUGCCUUGAUAUAUAUUUGAUGCUUUUUUUUUAUUAUCUUUGACAAAAACACAUGUUGUGAUAUAUUUUUAUACUAACUUUUAUGUUUCAUGAUAGCGCUUGAGAAGCCGUUUAGGUACGCACUUUGAUUCUCUCUUAUGAUCAGACUUUCUUAUUUGGCAUGCUAUUUUUUGAAAUCACCUAGCCUACCUAGGUAUCCAUGAUCAACCAUUUAAUUGUCACGUUUCCCUCAACUUAAUUAGUAGAGACCUCUUUAGGGCUUAGAGGGGUGCUACCUCCUAGAGGUAUCUUCCUAGUAAGUAACCUAAUCCCCGGACCUAGACUCGGUUUUUUCAAAGAGAUGCUUUUUUCAAAAAUUAUGGAGUCACAUUUUAGGGUUUUUCUUUCUUGUUUUAUUUUCCCUUUAAAAUAAAAAUAAAAUAAUGGCGACUCCGACUUUUUCCAAAAUUAAUUUUUCACAAAUAGAAAAGCAAGUCUCUCCGAUCGAAUGAGGGCGCAUGUGAAAAAUGCGGGUCCAUAGAUAGGCCUCUCAUUUCUAAUGUAUGCAAGUUUUAACUGUAUACCAUGGUAAAUUAGAUGAGAAACUAUAGUAAAUUGGAUGAAAGAUUAACCCGACGUGAUUUCUUUGUCAAUUUGGAAGGAUGGUGUAAUUUUAGGAAAUGACAAGCUUGCACAUAAUUAUAAUUAUAUUUUGAUGAACGAGACAAUUGUUUAAUGUUCUAUCUUGGUGUUUGGCAUUCAACAAAUUAUGUUCAUAUUUAAUUAAAAAGUUUAAUGUAACCUUGUAAAUGCAUAGUUUAUACUCACAUUGUUUAGAUCAUAUCUGGAAAGUUGAAAAAAAAAAUGGGACUCCAUUACAUAUCUCAUUAAUAAAUAUGUAUGAAUUACUUAUUAAAAAUAGAAAUAGGUCAUCCAUGCCAUGAGAAGUCAUGCCUCCAAAAGCAAAAAGCAAAAAACAAGUUCUUACAAUUCAACUUUUUUGGCAUCCAUGAUGAGUUUAUCAACCUAACUAUUACCCACCAACUAAUAAUAAUUGUAGCAUUAAUGCGAGUCAACUAACAAUCCUUCUUCCAUUUACCUCUAUCUUGGAAUUUGAUCUAUUAAAUUUUCUUCCUUUUACCUCUAUCUUGGUAUUUGACAUGUUAAAAUUGGACCUUCACUCCAUGUUAUAUACGAGCAUAGUUUUUAAGUAGAAAUAGGUAUAGUUGCUAUGCUACUAAAUUUUAUAUUUGGAAAUUGGAAAUAUUAAAAAUGUUUUAAUUGAAAAUAAAUAUAAUUUUAAUAUUUUCAAAUAUUUUAAUGAAAUAAAAUUAAUUUGGUGUCCCAUUUUUUUUUUUCAGGAUCAAUAAAGUGUGAACCCCAUAUUUAAGAAUCCUACGUAACUAUGUUUAGAAUUUGUAAAUGACAUAUAAACAUUCAUUGACCUAAAAACUCUCCUUGAGAGGUUUAAUUAAUAUAUACUGGAAAUUUCCACCCAAAAAACAUAGCACAAUACCUUGUUUGAGGUAAAUUUAGUGGAAUGCAUUAUGGGAAUUGCUCAAUAGUUAAAAAUGAGGGUGUGCUUGUUAAACUCAAAAGAUUAAAUACGUGGUCAACGUGAGAACUGAUACCAAUUUUUCAGACGAUACAACAACCCAACUGUCAAUUCAUAAAUUUUAUAUAAAUGAGGAGACAUACUGCUCCUUGGACCAAGGUAGAUUUUGUUUUUGAGUCUACGUUAUUUUCUCCAAAAAAAAUAUUAUAACUAUAAAAUUGUUUUCUAUUUUUUAUUGUUAAAAACAAAAAAACAUAUAUUUUCAGAUAAUAUCUUUUAAUAAUUUUUCAUUAUUUUUGCAUAUUUUUUUAAUGUAGUUUUGAAAAAUAAUUAUACAAACAUGGAAAAUAAUUAAAAAUAAAAUACUAGAUAUACAAAUUAUUUUAAAAAUAGGUUAAAUAUAAUUCAGGUUCCUAAAGAGAAUUUUGUUUUAUAAAACACUAUAAAAUAGUUUUUAAAAACUAUUUUUUACAAUUGUUUUAAAAAACAAUUACCAAUUACCAAAUAGGGCCCUAAAAAUAGAGAUGUGUCAAUAUUAACUAACAAGCUAGAAAGAGAGAUGUGUUAAUAUUAUAAUUAACCAUUAUAGGCAAACAUUGAAGUCAUUCUAUCAUAUCCAAAAUUGGCACCAUAAUUUUCCAUUUUCAACUUAUUUUCUUUUUACCGAUGUAACUAUGUGGAAAUUUCUUGUUUUAUUAAUUCAAUAUGCAUGAGAUAUUUCAAUGGUCCAUCCGUCUAAUUAAUGGUUGGAAACCGAUAGAAAUAUGAAACAACUUUUUCAUAUUGUUAAGAAUCUUUUAAAAUGUCUUUCUUUUGUCACUUCAAAUGAUUGGGUUCAUUAAUCUUAACCAUUCAUUCAAUGCUUGAGUUUGCAUCCACUGCUCACAUCCCUAUCCACCAUUAUACAUAUUGAUAUAUUUAUUAUUUUUGUUUUUAUUUCUAAGAUUAACAACUUUGGAACAUAAAAUGAUUAGGGAGUAGAGCAUGAAUGCAAGAACAACUUUUGAACUUAAACAUUAAGAUUGAAAUGGUCUAAAUCAGAUCAAGUGAUUUACUUGUGUGUUGGGUGUAUCCCAGAAGCCCACAUCAAAUGGAAAAUCACCCUCACCUCCCUGGAUUUGUUCAAUCAUACCAUCCAUGGGUCCCUUUUUCUGUGUUGCAGUUUCUUCUGUCCUGAGGCUUGCGAUAAGCAUCUCUCCAGAAGCCGAAAAGUCAGUUUCUUGAUCCAUUUGAGCAUGCUCAGCUAACAGGCUUUCCCACCAUAUGAUGUCAUCAUUCGGUUGUGGUGAAGUGGAUGAUGGCUUCCUGGAAGUACUGACUUGUGUGUCAAAAGUAUCCACAGCUGUAGUUUUUAGUUCAAACCUUGGCAAGGCUUUGGAGAACUUGUGAGGGUGAGGCUUUAUAGCUUUGGUUUUAGAAUGUGUUUGGGGUUUAUCUCUCCCUUCUUCCUGGAACUGAACCUCCUUUUUGAAGUGGUGACUAUGCCAAUAGUUCUUGACAUCAUUAGCAGUCCUCCCUGGAAGCCUACCCGCAAUCAAGGACCA
rnacentral:lncRNA from 1 species